rnacentral:lncRNA from 1 species
UGGUGGCUUCUCUCCCUUAGGUGGUUUGCCAACUGGGGUUGGUGGCUUGUGUUCUGGGAGUGGCUUCUCCCCCUUGGGAGGUUUUUCCAAUGGGGUUGGUUUGUGUUCAGGAGGUGGCUUCUCCACUGGAGGCUUGUGUUCAGGAGGUGGCUUCUCCACCGGAGGCUUGUGUUCAGGAGGUGGCUUCUCCACCGGAGGCUUAUGCUCUGGUGGUGGCUUCUCCACCGGAGGCUUAUGCUCUGGUGGUGGCUUCUCGAAUGGGGGAUGCUUAGGGUAAUCAGCAAGUGAGGGGGCGGUGAGAACCACCAGGCCAAGCAAGACCACUAGCAAGUAUGUAGGAGACAUCUUUGGGUUUAGACUCAGAUGGUGCAAAACUAGGAGAAUUGUCUUUUAUAGCGGAUCGCACCCAAUAAUGAAAUGACACGUGUCUUUAUGACCCAUGUGUAAUGGGGUCGAUUUGGGUCCUACAGUGUUGAAAACUUCGACAUCCACUUUUGGCCUUUUGCUUUCUCUACAGCCGCCUUGCUUUUUCCCUCUUUCCUUUUGUUUUCCUCCUGCCCCAUUCUAUCAACUAAACACAAUUAUGUAGUUGUUUAAUUCUUAAAUGAGAUAUUAUCCGUCAAUCGUAUCAUAUUUUAUCAACAGAGAACGGAGUGCAAUGUGGCAAUCCAAAGAAAGAAGAUCCAUAAUGCAGCUGUAAUUUUAUCGUUUACUUUUAUCUCUUGGACCACUGCAUUUUUGUUAAGAGGUGCAAUAAUACACGUCUUUAUCUGCCAUUCAAUGUUUACAGUAAAGAGAGGGCACAAAACUCUUCACUGCUCUGCAUGUGUCCCAAAAAUGCAAUUGGACAAAUUAUGAUUUGCAUGCUAAAAAGAGGCAAAUGAGGUUAAUUCGCACCAUAAUUAUUUUGUUUUCUGGACCCCGGGGCCCUUUGGUUGGUUUGGGGGUCAGAAAAUGAACAUCAUAGGGGGUUUUUCCCUUAUGUGCAUUUGUAUCUGAUGGCUUUAACUCGCCUUGUUACUACAAAGAAAUUGUCACAUAUAGGAACUUAUUCCAGGCUGAGUAUCUCCGCAUAGACCCUAUAAAAGAAGACAAGUCAUAAUGAACAUCUAACCUUUGUUCAAUUUGAUUCAAUGCCCCAUUGUGUCCACCUCACAAAUCUGAAUUAUUAUAUCCAUUGAAUACAUAAAUUAAUGAAGAAAAUAUGAAACCCAAGAUACAUCUCUGCACAACCUCAACCCUGGUUGCUAUGUUUCCCUUCUAUUCACAUGAGGAUAUUGAUUACGGAAUAGGGAAACCUAGCAAGGGUUUACUCGGCUCUGGUUUGAUGCUAAUUGCCAAACUUGCAACAAGCCCUGAGUUUGAAGCUCACAGAAGAUGUUAUACAGGCAGGGAAAAACCUUCAGAGUUCGCUGCCAAAGAUAAUUAUUAAGGAGAUAUCACCAAGAGAAUUCCAAGGAGUCUGAAUCAAAGACAAAUUGGUCGUUCGUGGAGGUUCUUACUUUCUUUUGGGUAUAACUCACUGAGGGCACUGUCUUUUUUAUUUUCAUUUCACAUUUAGAGUUCUGUUCUGGAAACAUAUAAAAGGAGCAUCAGUUUGUUCUUGGGUAACCCAUAGUCGUGAGUGGGUCCAUUUGCAUGCUACUUAGUUGAAAAGUUGGACCAUUUGCUCCGACGCCUACCUCCUGGAUUCCAUGCUCGGAUAAAACAAGAAUAAAAAAAUAUUUAUAAUUUACAAAUGGGGGAAAGAAAAAAAUGUCAACAACAAACUAGGAAAAAAGAGUAGUAAAAUUCAUGUCACAUGCUAGUGAGAGAAGGGGUUGUUACACUCACUCGAAGUUCUUUUCAAAAUAUCGCAUGGUAUUUUAUUUUAUGUGUGAGCGCAGUUGUGAAUGGAACGUGCAAAAGUCCAAAUUGGUGACCUUUAAUAAAUAUUUAAAACAAAAAACGAAAAAAAGGAGGGAAAAGGGAUCAGAAAAGAUAAAACAAUGUGUACAAAAGCUCAAUUAGUUUGCAAAUUACUGUUUGGAUUUUGAUAGUAUUUUAUUUGAUGUAAAAGAGAAUUUAAGAUAUUUCCGAAACAAAAGCAUUAGUUUGCUCCAUGUCAAUUUCGGCAUUUCUCAUAUGUUUCACACAUACACAGAAGAGCAUCGUUUUUUAAAGCAUGCAUUUAUGUUGGAUUAAUUUGGAUUUUGUGGGAACUGGGGCAAGGAUCACAUGGAAGAGAGGUUGACUUUUUUCAGUACUUCAAUGGUUGAGACAGGUGAAGGCCUGAUUGAUACUGAAGCCUGAAAUUGCGACUCCGUCAUUUGUCAAAACAUAUGACAGCUUCCAUGCUCUCGUUUGGUUGCAUUGUUCUGUGGUCAUGCAUACAUGCCACUUAGUGAUCAGUCUGUAACUGUCAAUCAUUGGGCUUUGACUGAACAACAUCAGCCAUGUAUAAAUACUUGCAAAUCAAACGGUCUUCUUCCUCCCAUAAGGAAUUUCGGUUUAAUUAUGAAGCAUGCAUUUGGCUGACCAUCAUAAACCACUUCUUUAAAUUGAUGAAUGAUAGUUUUUCAUUCAUUCUUUCAUUCGUUCAUAUACAGAGUAUAUAUAGAGGGUAAUCAUCAUUCUAAGAAUGGGAAAGAAUGAUACAAGGAAAUAAUGAUAUAAAGAAAUAACAACUAAUAUUCUAAUAUCUCAACUUUCCUAAUAUCUAAACAUUCCUAAUAUCUCAACACUAAAUGAUAUAAAGAAAGAAUGAUAUAAGGAAAGCAUUCCUAAUAUCUCAACACUCCUCCUCAAGUUGGUGCAUAGAUGUCAAACAUGUCCAACUUGUCUAAAAAUUUUGAGAACAGUUGACUUGAGACAUCUUUGGUGAGGAUAUCGGUCAAUUGAUCUUCUGAUCGAAUCUUAGGCAAUUCCACAAUCUUAUCAUCCAACUUUUCCUUAAUGAAAAAUCUAUCCAUCUCGACAUGCUUUGUACGAUCAUGUUGUACUAGAUUAUGAGCAAUGUCACAUGCUGCUUUAUUGUCACAAAACAAUCGGAUUGGUUGCCUAGAUAGGUAACCUAAAUCCUAUAAGAGGAGUCUUAGCCAUAAUGCCUCACAAAGUCCUAAAGUCAUACCUCUAAAUUCCGCUUCUGCACUUGAACGAGCGACGACAUUUUGCUUCUUACUUUUCCAUGUCACAAGAUUACCACCUACAAAGGUAAAGUAACCAGAUGUAGAUCGCCUAUCAUCCACUGCACCGACCCAAACAGCAUUAUACUUCUAUACUCUGAUGAUCAACAUUUUUAGCGAACAAAAUUCCCUUCCUAGGAGCAUUCUUCAAAUACCUCAAAAUACGCAUGACUACAUUCAUAUGUUGCUCUCCAGGAUUAUGCAUGUAUUGACUCACUACACUCAAUGUAUAAGCAAGAUCUAGUCUUGUAUGAGCUAAGUACAUUAAUCUCCCCACAAGUCUCUGGUAUCUUCCCUUAUCGAUUGAUACUUGAUUAGGCUCAACACACAAUUUCAGACCUUCUUCUAUUGGUGUAUUAAUAGGUUGACAUCCCGACAUUCCAGUUUCCUGUAGAAGAUCUAAGGCAUACUUUCUUUGAGACAGAAAAAUUCCUUCACUUGAUCGAGAAACUUCAAUCCCAAGAAAGUAUUUCAGACGACCAAGAUCUUUCAUUUCAAAUUCUCUAGAUAGAUACUUUUGCAAAGCUUUUCUUUCUUCAGGAUCAUUUCCUGUAACUACAUGUCAUCCACAUAUAUCAUAAGUGUCGUAAUCUUACCAUGUUGCUUUUUCAAGAACAAAGUGUGAUUUGAAUUACUUUGAUGAUAGCCAAAAGCUCUCAUUGAUUUUGUGAACCUUCCAAACCAUGCUCUCGGGGAUUGCUUCAACCCAUACAAUGACUUCUUCAAUUCGCACACCUUCUGACAUUGCUUUUCUGACACCAUGCAUCCUGGUGGAAGAUCCAUAUAUACUUCUUCAGAUAAAUCGCCAUGCAGAAAGACAUUUUUUACAUCGAACUAUUGUAAUGGCCAAUCUAGGUUUGCAGCUAAAGACAAUAAUACUCGAACUGUGUUGAUCUUAGCUACAGGUGCAAAUGUCUCUGUGUAGUCAAUUCCAUAAGUUUGAAUGUACCCACUAGUCUUGCUUUAAAUCGUUCAAUACUACCAUCUGCCUUGUACUUCACAGUAUAGAUCCAACGACACCCAACUAGCUUCUUUCCUGGUGGACAUUCUACGAGUUCCCAUGUUUCAUUUUUCUGCAAUGAUUUCAUCUCUUCAUUCAUGGUUGCUUUCCACUUUGGAUCAGCUAAAGCUUCCUGCACACUAUUAGGAAUAGCUACAGUAGAUAAUUGAUUUACAAAUGACUUAUUUGAUUCAGACAAACCAUGGUGUGGACCCGCAUUUUUCACGUGCGCCUCUACUCGAUCGGCGAGACUCGCUUUCUAUUUGUGAAAAAUUAAUUUUAGAAAAGUUGGAGUCGCCACCUAUUUUAUUUUUAUUUUGAAGGGAAAAUAAAACAAGAAAGAAAAACCCUAAAAAGUGACUCCAUAGUUUUGGAAAAAGCAUGUCUUUGGGAAACCUGAGUCUAGGUCCGGGGAUCAUGUUACUUAUUGGGAAGGUACCUCUAGGAGGUAGCACCCCUCUAAGCCUUAUGAAGGUCUCUACUAACUAAAUUAAGGGAAGUGUGGCAAUAAAUCGAUUGAUCAUAGAUACCUAAGUAGACUAGGUGAUUUUAAAGUGUGGCAUGUCAAACACAAUCAAAUUGCAAUAAAGGAGAGUUAGGGCGCGUACCUGAACCGCUUCUCAAGCGCUAUCAUAAAACAUCAAUGGUUAAUUUAAAUAAUAUAUCAUCCAGCAUGUAUUUUAUUAGAAAUAAUCAAACAAUGAAACAUGUAUAUCAGAACACUCAAGCAUUAUUAGACAUAAGCAUUAUUUCACUAUUCACAGAAUUCAGAAAGUAGGUGAUAGAGGACAUACCUGGAUAGCAUAGAUAAUUUGUAAUGUGCUUCCUCAAGUUGUAAGGGGUUAGAUAACAAAUAAUAAAAUAUAGAAAUCCUAGCAUGCUCGUUAUCUAAUUAGCAUAGCAAAAGUGAUCACAGUAUACAGAAUCAUCAAUUAUCACAUACAUCUUGUAUAUAAUUCCUAAAAAAAAUAGAUAGACAUGAUUUCAACAAGUGUCAAAUGUGGCAACAAAAAUAAAUUUUGAAAAGAUUUUCUUAUGUAGGGGUUUCACCAAUUCCCCAAAUUAAUAUACACGAAUUUAGCUUAGAAUUAUCCCAUUUAUUUGGGACUACAAGCUUUGAUUCGUGUUUUUGUUCAAAACCAAAAAUUUUUGUUGAAAAUCAAGAAGGAUGCGAACCGAACAAGAUAUGGUUGCAUAUUAUUUUUAAAUAAAUAAAUAAAUAAAUAAAGGAGAUUUUGAUCCUGAGGACUUUAAUGAGUUUUUUUUUUUAAAAUAGAUUUUUAAAAUGAUUUUUUUGAGAAAAGUAUUUUAUUUUAAAAUAAAAGGGAUUAAUUUGGGAAAAAAAUAAAAUAUAAGAAAUAAAAUACCAAACAAAACAAAAAUGAAACCUCAAAGUAAAAUUUUUUUAGUAAUUAACAAAAAUGAUAAUGGUGAUGGUAGAGGGCAAUCUUCAUGAUUUUCCAAUGGCCUCAGAAAGAAAAUCAAAUUAAAUGAAGGAUCACUAACAGGCAAGACAUUCUAAAUUAGACAAACUAACAAAGUAUCAAUUCAUGAACUAACCGCUAGGAUUUUGAAAGCAUAUAAGCUAAGAUAAGGGUGAUCAGGAACUAAUAUUAAUGAUUUUGAAAUAAAAACUAAAAAAAAGGAUCAAUUCGGGUAAGGAACUAAAAUUAUAAAAGUACCUAAACUAAUUAUGACGAGUUUGACUAAAUUAAACUAAAAACAUGAACUUUCAAACAUAGAAUUAAUUUUACUAAUGAACCAAAGCAAACUAAAAAUAUGUACUUUCAAGCAUAGAAUUAAUUUUAUUGAUGAACUAAACUAUAACAAAUAUCUAAACUAAAUAUAAUGAAUCAAAUUAAAUUAAAGCAACUUAAAAACGCAAACUUUCAAACAUAGAAUCAAUUUUAUCAAUGAAUUAAAACUAUAAAUGUAUUUGAACUAAAUAGAUGAAUCAAACUAAAUCAGAGCAAAAUUAAAAAAAAAAAAGAACUUUCUAACAUGAAAUCAAUUUUAUCAACAAAUAAAUGAAUGAAUAACAAGUAAUUAAAAGAAUAGCUACUACAUGAAUAACUGAAUGAAUAAAAUUCAAAUGUUUUCAAUCUGAAGCAAUCAAUCAAAAUUAAAUAGGGAUCAAAUCAAAAUAAUCGAAAUCGGAAAAACAAUAUGCAAUCUUUCUAAAGGUUUAACCAGACAAUUGAAUUAAAAUUAUGAAUAGAAUAAAUUAAUAAACCAAAUCGAAACCUAAAUUGUACCUAAAAAGAUUAAUUAAUUAAACUAAGAAAUCAAAAUCAAUAACAAAACUAAACUAAGGAGUAAAUUAAGACAAGACUAAUUAAAUUAAACUCACAAACACGUUUUAACUAUCAUAUGGAUUAAAACAAAAUUAGCAUGGACUUAUGAAUUACGAACAAAAAUAAUCAAAACUAUUUUAAAAAACUCACCUCUAUUAUAAGAAAAAAUCUGCCUUUGAUGCGUUGAGGUGGCUCCCCUCUCUGUGUGGAUCUCUCUGCUCCCCAGAAAAAAAAUGUCUCUUCCUCCGUUCUCUUUUGUUUCAGCAAAAUAAUAUAUCCCCUGCUGUGGAUCUCUCUACUCCCAGAAAAUAAUAUAUUCUCUCCGUGUCCUAAAGUGGACCUAGGGUGCCUAAGUGGACCUAGGGUGCCUAAAUGGGCCUAGGGUGCCUAAAUGGGCCAAGUGUAUCUAAAUAGGCUUAGGGUGCCUAAGUGGGCCUAAGUCUAAGUGAGCCUAAGUCUAAAUCAAGACUACCAAGGAUCAUAAUAAGGGGUUAGGCAAUCCCUUAACCAAAGUCUCCAAGGUGGCUAAAAAAAAGUAAGUAGUAUGAGUAGCUAUGGGUCACCAAGGAACUACUGUGGAGCAUUGAAAACGAAUUUAAAGACAUGUGCCAAAGGGACAAAAUUGAGGGUCUACAGAUGGUUAGACACAUAGUUGCUCAUGGGAUAUUUGACUUUGGUAAACAAUUCAGAUUCAUAUGUGGGUUUAGGAAUACCUUUAUUAUGACGGUGUGGUAAUCGUUUCAUGAAUGGAUCAGGUUGCAAAUUAAGAACACCCUCAGCAAACAACGAUUGGUUUGGUAUUUCAGUGAAGACAUCUUCGAACCCAAAUUGUUGACCACUCAUAUCCAACUCACCCGCUUCCUGGUUCACUAGUUCAGAUUGUCCAAAUUCAUCAUUCUCAUAGAUAUGAUAAUCAUAAUCGAGAGUCUGAAUUUCCUUAUGGUACUCCCCCUGAAGUUCAGACUUAGAUGAAAAAUACAUCGAAUAUUCAUGAAACAGCNNNNNNNNNNNNNNNNNNNNNNNNNNNNNNNNNNNNNNNNNNNNNNNNNNNNNNNNNNNNNNNNNNNNNNNNNNNNNNNNNNNNNNNNNNNNNNNNNNNNNNNNNNNNNNNNNNNNNNNNNNNNNNNNNNNNNNNNNNNNNNNNNNNNNNNNNNNNNNNNNNNNNNNNNNNNNNNNNNNNNNNNNNNNNNNNNNNNNNNNNNNNNNNNNNNNNNNNNNNNNNNNNNNNNNNNNNNNNNNNNNNNNNNNNNNNNNNNNNNNNNNNNNNNNNNNNNNNNNNNNNNNNNNNNNNNNNNNNNNNNNNNNNNNNNNNNNNNNNNNNNNNNNNNNNNNNNNNNNNNNNNNNNNNNNNNNNNNNNNNNNNNNNNNNNNNNNNNNNNNNNNNNNNNNNNNNNNNNNNNNNNNNNNNNNNNNNNNNNNNNNNNNNNNNNNNNNNNNNNNNNNNNNNNNNNNNNNNNNNNNNNNNNNNNNNNNNNNNNNNNNNNNNNNNNNNNNNNNNNNNNNNNNNNNNNNNNNNNNNNNNNNNNNNNNNNNNNNNNNNNNNNNNNNNNNNNNNNNNNNNNNNNNNNNNNNNNNNNNNNNNNNNNNNNNNNNNNNNNNNNNNNNNNNNNNNNNNNNNNNNNNNNNNNNNNNNNNNNNNNNNNNNNNNNNNNNNNNNNNNNNNNNNNNNNNNNNNNNNNNNNNNNNNNNNNNNNNNNNNNNNNNNNNNNNNNNNNNNNNNNNNNNNNNNNNNNNNNNNNNNNNNNNNNNNNNNNNNNNNNNNNNNNNNNNNNNNNNNNNNNNNNNNNNNNNNNNNNNNNNNNNNNNNNNNNNNNNNNNNNNNNNNNNNNNNNNNNNNNNNNNNNNNNNNNNNNNNNNNNNNNNNNNNNNNNNNNNNNNNNNNNNNNNNNNNNNNNNNNNNNNNNNNNNNNNNNNNNNNNNNNNNNNNNNNNNNNNNNNNNNNNNNNNNNNNNNNNNNNNNNNNNNNNNNNNNNNNNNNNNNNNNNNNNNNNNNNNNNNNNNNNNNNNNNNNNNNNNNNNNNNNNNNNNNNNNNNNNNNNNNNNNNNNNNNNNNNNNNNNNNNNNNNNNNNNNNNNNNNNNNNNNNNNNNNNNNNNNNNNNNNNNNNNNNNNNNNNNNNNNNNNNNNNNNNNNNNNNNNNNNNNNNNNNNNNNNNNNNNNNNNNNNNNNNNNNNNNNNNNNNNNNNNNNNNNNNNNNNNNNNNNNNNNNNNNNNNNNNNNNNNNNNNNNNNNNNNNNNNNNNNNNNNNNNNNNNNNNNNNNNNNNNNNNNNNNNNNNNNNNNNNNNNNNNNNNNNNNNNNNNNNNNNNNNNNNNNNNNNNNNNNNNNNNNNNNNNNNNNNNNNNNNNNNNNNNNNNNNNNNNNNNNNNNNNNNNNNNNNNNNNNNNNNNNNNNNNNNNNNNNNNNNNNNNNNNNNNNNNNNNNNNNNNNNNNNNNNNNNNNNNNNNNNNNNNNNNNNNNNNNNNNNNNNNNNNNNNNNNNNNNNNNNNNNNNNNNNNNNNNNNNNNNNNNNNNNNNNNAACCAAAGGAAGCAUGUUCCAGACGUCGAUGCCACAACCAAAUUUCAGACUUUUUCUUCUCCUCCUUAGAUCCAUCUGCCAUCAAGGCUUGUUGCAACUUAUUUGAAUCCUUUGAUUGCAAGUCCAAGUAUAGAGUUUCCCCCGCUUAAUACGACAACCAAUCGUCUGUCUUGUUUGAAUGUCCUUAAUCACACAAAAUUCAGGCCAAAAAAUGACAAUACAAGAUAAGGCUGCAGUGAUUUGAGAAACUAACAAAAGAUUGUAAUCUAAAGAUGGAACAACUAAAACAGAAUCCAAAUUCAAAGUAUCAGUAAGAGUUAAGGAUCCUUCCCCAAUGACUGGGGUUGUGUUACCAUUGGCUGUGGAAACAAUUUUUUGUGAGGAAGGUCUAAGGGGUGAAACCUGUCUAGAAUCAAAAGUCAUAUGAUCUGUAGCACCAGAAUCAAUUAUCCAUGCACUAUUAAUAACAGGUGUAAAAGUAUUUAAAAACUUACCACAAUGAUCUGUAGCGGCUACUAAUGCAGAGACUUUCUCAACAACAUUAGUCUUUGUUUUUAUUUCGGUAACAGUUGCAAUCAAGGUUUUCUUGGAAUUCUUCUUCCGUUGAUCACGAUUAUUAUCAUUAAUAACAAAGUGUUGAUAGCCUAAACAUGAUCUAAAGGUCCAUGGUGCAAACCCUCGGUUCCUCAUUGUUUUCCUGGUCAUACCAAGAGUUGUUGCUUUGAAAUUGUGGGAUAUCCAGACUGGUGGGAUCAGUUUUAUUGCAGUGAGUGCAUUUGAAUGUUGACUUAUCAAUAUUAGGGCUUGUCUUCGGAUGGUUGAUUGCUGUUGGACUACCAUAGCGACAAAAUAUCCAGGAUUUCAAUUCCAGGGCUCUGAUACCAUCUUCAAAUUGAUGAAUGAUAGUUUUUCAUUCAUUCUUUCAUGUACAGAGUAUAUAUAGAGGGUAAUCACCAUUCUAAGAAUGGGAAAGAAUGAUACGAGGAAAUAAUGAUAUAAGGAAAUAAUAACUAAUAUCCUAAUAUCUCAACUUUCCUAAUAUCUCAAUAUUCCUAAUAUCUCAACUUUCCUAAUAUCUAAACAUUCAUAAUAUCUCAACACUAAAUGAUACAAGGAAAGAAUGAUAUAAGGAAAACAUUCCUAAUAUCUCAACACCACUUCAUGAUAUAUAUAGUUUCUUACCCUUAAUCAAUGGUUUCUAAGUGAAUUUAUAUAGAAAGAAAUCCAAACUGUAGACAGCAGUAUUGGUAACACUCAAUAUUCUGUAUAUAAUAGAAUAAAUAGCGUCACAGUGAUCGUCGCCUACAAGCAAGGUACAAAUACCACAAAGAGUGACCCACAUAGACAUUCCCCAACAAGAUGUAGUAGUGACUGACACAUAGCCACAAUUAACACGUAGAAAAGGAUAAGACCGGUGCACAGUAGCUCUUAUUUUACAUACUACUUAUGCCAACCAAAGUCACUCAGUUGGGAUGGGAGGGAGAUGGAGGUUUGUGCGGUGGCUUGUGGGGCGGAGUUGAUGGCUUCUUUCCAGGAGCUUCUGGCUUUUUCAUCGGAGCUGAAGGAGGCUCAAUCUUAUGAGGCGGCUUGUACGAGUCUUCUUUGCUCUCGAAAGGAGGGUGGCCAGGGUUGUGACCAUAAUGUGGUGGUUUCUCUCCCUUGGGAGGUUUACCAAUUGGGGUUGGUGGCUUGUGUUCUGGGAGUGGUUUCUCUCCCUUGGGAGGUUUAGUGGGUGACUUGUGUUCUGGAGGUGGCUUCUCCACCGAAGGCUUGUGCUCCGGUGGUGGCUUUUUGGUUGGAGGGGGCUUGGGGUAAUCAGCAAGAGAUGGGGUGGUGAGAACCACCAGUCCAAGGAACAACACUAGCAAGUAUGUGGGAGACAUUUUUGAGUUUGGGCUGAUCAGAUGAUGCAAAACUAAAGCAUUACGUGACCUUUUAUAGCAAGUAGCUCCCAAUACCUACUUGACACGUGUUACUGUGACCCAUAAAUAUUAUGGGGUCUAUUUGUGCCCUACCGGGUUGAAAACUUGGACAAUUGGGCAAGGACCCGCCUGACUAUGGAGGACUACUGAGGUGUGAUCACAGCUUUAGGAUUUUUCUUCCUCUGCAGCCGUCUUGCCGUUGGCAUGAUUUUCUUAAUCUCAAAUAAAGGCAUAGUUAUAGAGUUGUUUAAUCUCUAAAUGGGAUUUUAUAUAUCUUCAGAUAGCCAUUAAUACAUUUGAUGAAGAAAGAAAGACAAGUGCAUACAACAUGUAUACGACUAGCUUUCAUGGAGUUCAUUUAUGAUCAGUUUUCCUGUACAUGUAAACCAAGAUCAUAUAUGUUUUUGUUCCACAACAAUUUUGGAAUCUUGUUUAUCCGUUUUUAUCAUUAUAAUGUCACAUAGGCUGCCAACUUGGGCGCUAAAUUAAAGAUCCAGUUGGGCAAGUUCGUUUCAGAAUUUCAAUGGUGGAUUCAGGAAUUGUUUUAUAAGAUAUGCAAAAUAGUAGAGGGAUGAAUAGUGUUUCAUUAAGAAAAGAGCCCUGUAAAAAUAUUGUUUAAAGGUGCCAUAGAAACUAUAAUCAAUAAAUAACUUUUUUUCCCCAUGGGUGGUGUUUCUUGUGGGGAUCAGUGACUGGUUUGAGUCAACGCCGUGUCUCUUUAGUCCAGAAAUCAACUAUUUUAUGCAUUGAAUACAUCAACAAAGAAAAUAUGAAAGCCAAAUGACACCUCCCCCGCAAAAACUAAACCCUGGUUGCUAACUUUCUAUGUUUCAGUUCCAUUCACACAAGAAUAUUAGUUCAAGUUUGAGAAAAAUGGCGACUUACCUAGUGAUAACUCGGUCUUGGUUUGCGAUUUGACUUUAACGUCAUGGGUUGAAGCCUCCUACAAUCAUCGUGUAUGCUAGUUCAAAGCUCGUGGAAGAAGUUAUACAGGGAGGGAGAAACCUCCACAGCAAGCUCCAAAAGAGAAUUAUCACAUUGAAAGCUCCAGUUGAACACUGGGUGAAAGCCAUAACAAGAUUGGUUUUCUAUCGCUCUUUUAAGUAAUGGAAGAUUAUUAUCUCUGCUUGUCACUACAACCGUGCAUGCUGCUAGAUCUUUCUAGACACUUCAAACAGUGAAACCAAGUAUGAUUCUUUUUCUCUUGAGUGGGUCCACUUGCAUGCCAAUGAACGAGUUGAAAAGUUGGACAAUUGGCCACAGCGCGCACUUACCUUCUGGAACCGAAGGUCAGUGAAGUGGGGUUCCUUUUGGCCCCUUGUGUUUCUGUUCCAACCUACUCCAGGAACCGAAGUUCAGUGAAGUGGGGCUACUUUUGGCCUCUUGUGUUUCUGUUCCAACCAAACAAAAAUGGGAGGGAAAAAUAGCAUUAUGCUUGUGCUAAAGAUCAACGCAUGAUAGCUGAAUAAGGGAGAAAAAGGCAUUGCUAUCUCAAUUUCAUAAACUUGAUAAGUAGUGACAUUAAUAGUCUUCCUCAUAGAUGGAUACAUGGUUUUAUUUUAUUUAUUUAUUUUUAUUUUUUUGUUUUAUGUCAAUGCUAAUGAAUGAAGUGCAUUAGCUUGUUUUGUGACUAGAACUACAAAUGUCCAAAUUGGAGCUUCUCCAAUAUAUUUCUCAGUGAGUUAUUGAUUAGAACUCUUGGAUUGAGUUCCAAGAUUUGAAUCAGACCCCUCUAGCAGCUUCAGGGGUACGUAGCAACCUAUAGCAUAUUAAUGAAGACUUAGGAUUUAGACUUAGGAAUACAAAUUAAUAUGUACCUCAUGCUCUGACUAGCUUCCCUGCGUAUGCACAAAAUGGAGAUGACUCCCAAAAAAAUAGCAGAAUCGCCUUAGUAUGUUUUUGUGGUUAAGAUGAUUCUCCACUUUAUAUAUCCACAUUGGUUCAUUAUGCAAAUUAAUCAACUAAGCUAUUUUUAUUUUUUCUUAAAUGUGAAAUAGGAGCUCCAAAUUAACCUAACCAUUGGCCUGAUUGAAUUGAUUUCACUUGCAUAAUGUUAUAGUAGAAGUCCGUAAUUUGAAUUUUAUUUUUGCAAAAGGUAACGUAAAUGAAGCAUUGUAAUUAAAUUUAUUUGUAAUUACAAACUAAUUUUAUUUUAUUAAGAAUUAAUUUAAUUACUCAUUUAAAAUAAAAAUCAGUUAUACUUUUACCAAGAUGAUAAUAUUCAUAUUUUUCUAGUUAACAUAUAUAAAAUAGUACACUUUUUCAUAUAAAAAAAUAAUUUAUGAUUUAUUAUAAUGUUACUAUUCACAUUUUACUAAAUUGAUGGUACAUGAUAGUGAGAGAAGGGGGUGUCACACUCAGCUAAAGUUCUUUUCAAAAUAUUGCAUGGUGUUUAAUUUUAUGUGUCGGCGCGCGUGUGAAUGGAACCUGCAAAAGUCCAAAUUGGCGUUUCUCCAUUUUCCACAUAGGAUGGUGACGUUAAUAGACAAAGAUACAAUAUCUGUAGACAUUGCUUAAAAAUCGAUGUGAAGUAUUAGAAAUUACAGGGCACUGUACUGGGGGAGCGGCUGCCCCGCCAAAGGAGGAAGAAUGUAGCAAUUUCUUCUGUUAGCCAGGCCUUAGGAUUUAUGCAUGGGAUGCCUAAUAACAAACAGAGAAAAUAUACUUUUGGGGAAGGUAUCCAACAACAGACACCAUCAUUCAGAUGGUGGGAAGGUAUCCAACAGAUGCCAUCAUUCAGAUGGUAACAUAUAUAUACAUUUAUUAGUGAGUUUUUUUAAUACCUAUAAAAAAAAAUAUACACUUUGAUAUUGUGGCUGAAUCCAUUACAUACUCAACUAACCUUGCUCAUUAGGGAUUUGACUUAACAAGGGCAACGUUGCAGUACAAGCUCAAAACUUUAUGCAGGUGACAUUACAUUUGGUAAAGAAGAGGAAAAUAACGAAAGCCAUCCAUAAAAGCAAAAUUCCACAUGGGAUGAAAUUCACAAGCUUCAUUUACGAUAGAGUCGCAUCCAGGCAAUUAAUUCCACAUUAGACCGCCUGUUGACAUGUGUACCAAUCUUUUUUCAAAAAAUAUUUAUAAAUAAUUGAUACUCACAAAAAUAAUUUAAUAUUUAUAAAGGAUAAAAAAAUAUUUUCAAAUCUAUAACAAUUUAUAAAAUAUUAAUAAAAAAUUAUCUCUUAAACUUAGUAUAGUUUUAUCAGAUUAAACUUUUAUUUUGAACAAAUAAUUUUAAUCUAAGUUUUAAAUUCUAAAAUUAUUUCCUUAAAAUAAAAUUUUAAAAUUCAACACUUCAAUUGAAAUUGUCUUUUUAAAAAAUAUCUUCUUAUUUUAAUCCUUAUAAACUAUAGUUGAUUGAAAAUACUAUUGAAGUUCUCUCUUAAAAAAAAGUCUUAUUUUAAUCUUCAUAAAUUGCCCUUGAUUUGAAAAUAAAUUUUCAGUUAUCAUAUUUUAAAUAAUAUCUAUAUUUAAAAUACUCUAUUUAAAAAAAAAUGAACUAAUUUUAAUUAUAUUAUAUUUUAUUUUUUUAUAUAUUUUUAAUGAUAAACCAAACAUAGAAAAUCAUUUUUCUAAAUAUUUUAAAAUUUCUAAGCAACCAAACAUAAUCUUCAAAAUAAAAGGAAAAUAAGGAGGGACAUUUGAGAAAUGGCGAUUAAAAAAAAGUGUACAAAAGCUCAAUUAAUUUUCUUCUAGUCUUUUAUAUAAAAAAGUAAAGGAAUUGAAAAGUAUUGAUAUGUAAAUUAAUAUUUGGAUUUUAAUAGUAUUUUAUUUGUCUUUCUCUAUCUCAUGUAAAAGAGAAUUUAAGAUAUUUCCUAAAGCAAAGCAUUAGUUAUCUGCAAUCAGUGGUGAUCAUGCCCCAUGUCAAUUUCGGACCCAUAUCUUAAAACUGUAUAAUUUGCAUUCAAACAUUACUGAUUUCUCAGAUGUUUCAUACUCCACAGAAGAGCAUUGUUUGUGAAAGCAUGCAUUUAUGUUGGAUUUUGGAUGAUGUGGGAACUGGGGCAAGGAUCAUAUGGAAGAGUGGUCGAUUUUGUUCUGUACUUUAACAUUUGAAAUAGGAGAAGCUCGGGCAUUUGUGGGGCUUAAUUGAUUUUGAAGCCUGAAAUUGCGUUUCUGUCAUUUUGUAAAAAAUAUGGCAGAUUCCAUGCUCUCAUAUGUUUGGUCUGUGGCCAUGUAUAGAUGCCCCUUAGUGACCAGUUUGUAACUGUCAAUCAUAGUGUUUUGACUCUGGCUCAACAACAUCAGCCAUUGACGGAUUUUCAUACUUGCAAAUCAAAUAGUCUUCUUCCUCCCUUAGGAAUUUCGGUUUAAAUGUUAUUAAGCAUACAUUUGGCUGACAAUUAUUAACCACUUCAUGAUAUGGUUUCUUACCCUUAAUCAAUGGUUUCUAAGUGAAUAUAUGCAGAAGGAAAUCUGAACUGUAGACAGCAGUAUUGAUAACUCUCAAUAUUCUUUAUAUAAGAGAAUAAACAACGUCAUAGUGAUCGUCGCCUACAAGAAAGGUACAUUUCCCAACAAGAUGUAGUUGUGACUGGUACAUGGACGCAAUUAACUCGUACAAAAGAAUAAGACCAGUGCACGGCAGCUCUUAUUUUACAUGCUAAUUAUGCUAACCAAAGUCACUCAGUUGGGAUGGGAGGGAGAUGGAGGUUUGUGCGGUGGCUUGUGGGGCGGAGUUGGUGGCUUCUUUUCAGGAGCUUGUGGCUUUUUCGGAGCUGAAGGAGGCUCAAUCUUAUGAGGCGGCUUGUACGAGUCUUCUUUACUCUCGACAGGAGGGUGGCCAGGGUUGUGACCAUAAUGUGGUGGCUUCUCUCCCUUAGGUGGCUUGCCAACUGGGGUUGGUGGCUUGUGUUCAGGAAGUGGUUUCUCUCCCUUGGGAGGUUUACCAAUUGGGGUUGGUGGCUUGUGUUCUGGGAGUGGUUUCUCUCCCUUGGGAGGUUUAGUGGGUGACUUGUGUUCUGGAGGUGGCUUCUCCACCGGAGGCUUGUGCUCCGGUGGUGGCUUCUCCACCGGAGGCUUGUGCUCCGGUGGUGGCUUCUUGAUUGGAGGGGGCUUGGGGUAAUCAGCAAGAGAUGGGAUGGUGAGAACCACCACUCCAAGGAACAACACUAGCAAGUAUGUGGGAGACAUUUCUGAGUUUGAGCUGAUCAGAUGAUGCAAAACUAGAAGAAUUACGGGACCUUUUAUAGCAAGUAUCUCCCAAUACCCACAUGACACGUGUUACUAUGACCAUAAAUAUUAUAGGGUCCAUUUGUGCCCUACCGGGUUGAAAACUUGGACGCUUGGCCGAGGACACACCUGACUAUGGAGGACUAUUGACGUGUGAUCACAGCUUUUGGAUUUUUCUUCCUGUGCAGCUGUCUAGCGGUUGGCAUUAUUUUCUUAAUCUUAAAUAAAGGCAUAGUUAUAGAGUUGUUUAAUCUCUAAAUGGGAUUUUAUAUAUCUUCAGAUAGCCAUUAAUAUAUUUGAUGAAGAAAGACAAGUGCAUACAACAUGUAUACGGCUUGCUUCAAUCGAGUACAUUUAUGAUCAGUUUUCCUGUGCAAGUAAACCAGUUUUUUGUUCCACAACUAUUUUGGAAUCUUGUUUAUCAGUUUCUAUCAUUAUAAUGUCACAUAGGCUGCAAACUUGGGCACCCAAAGAUCUAGGUGGGCAAAUUUGUUUCAGACUUUCAAUGGUGGAUUCAGUAAUUGUUAAAAGGUGUUUCUUCAUUAAGGAAAGAGUCCGGUAAAAAUAUUGUUAAAAGGUGUCAUAGAAACUAUAAUAAAUAAAUAACUUCUUUUCCCCAUGGGUGGUGUUUCUUCUGGGGAUCAGUGACUGGUUAGGGUCACCCAAAAUGAGUCCAGAUUAAAAUUGGUUCGAGUCAAAGCAGUCUCUUUUGUCCAGAAAUCAACUAUUUUGCGCAUUGAAUGAAUCGAUAAAGAAAAAAUGAAAGCCAAAUCACACCUCCCCUGCAAAACCUAAACCCCGGUUGCUAACUUUCUAUGUUUCAGUCCUAUUCAUAUAGGAAUAUUGGUUCAAGUUUGAGAAAAAUGGCAACUUACCUAGGGUUUACUUGGUUUUGGUUUGCGACUAUUUACGCAACCAACCAUGAGUUUGACUUUAACGUCAUGGGUUGAAGCCUCCUACAAUCAUGUAUGAUAGUUCAAAGCUCGUGGAAGAAAUUAUACAGGAAGGAAGAAACCUCCAAAGCUAGCUCCAAAAGAGAAUUAUCACAUCGAUAGCUCCAGAGAUUCCCAAGGGAACUGAAUCAAAGACAAGUUCCUCACUUUUUCUUCUUUUGAGGCCAAAUAUGAACCAAGGAUCACACGACCUCAUUCAACUUCAUAAGUUUGAUUUCAUGCAGUUGAACACUGGGUGAAGGCCAUGACAAGAAUUGAUUAAAAAAUUCUACCACUCUUUUAAGUAAUGGAAGAUUAUUAUCUCUGAUUGGCACCACAACAGCACAUGCUGCUAGAUCUUUCUAGACACUCCAUGCAAUGAAAGCACAAUGGAUCUUGUAAUGAUAGAAACUAAGCCAUGCUACAGUACUAGAUGAGGGGGUAAAACUAGUAGACAUCUUUCUAGACACUCCAUGCAAUGAAAGCACAAUGGAUCUUGUAAUGAUAGAAACUAAGCCAUGCUACAGUACUAGAUGAGGUGGUAAAACUAGUAGACAUGGCUGGCAGUUGAUUACUACUCAAAAAGUACUCUUUUAUAGCUUGAAACUAACUGUUUUAAACACUUUUGAGUAGUAGUUAAUACCUUUUAACUUAAUUGGCACAUUAAGGAACCUAGCAAGGGUUACUAAUCAACAUUUGGCAAGUUUUGAUGUUUUUGGUAGCUAUUUGAUCAUUGAAACAAGCCAAGAAUGAGGGGGAAUUUUGUGAAGUCCAUGGCAAUGCAAGUUAAAGCUCAAAUACAUGAAGAAUCCAAGCUUUGGAGCACUUCAUAGCCCUUUGCCAAGCCAAUCAAAGAUGCAAGGAAGAAAACCAAAGGAAGAAAUCCAACAAUCAGCAUUUUGGCAUGGCUAUGUGAAAUUUCGCACACCAUGCGAAACCACAAGAGGCAGCCAAAGAAUUUCGCAUGGUAUGCGAAAUCUUCUUGUGCACUGACUCUGUUAGAUUUUUAUCUUCAGAUAUUUUGUGUAAUUUCCUAGUUUCUCCUUGUAACCAACUUAGAUAUUUUCUUUUAUAUCUUUUUUUAUAUUUUUUAGGUAACAUCAUAUAUAAGAGGAGAGACAUAAGGAGGAUAUGGAUGUUUUUCAUAGAACACUUGUAAAUUUUUGGUAGUAAGAAAUAUACAAAGCUUUUUGCUCUGCCUUACCUUCUCAAGGGAUGAGUGGCUAGGUUUUCUUGGAGUGAGGGAAGCUAGGUGAAGGACCUGAAUGCAAAGGUGGGAGUUUUCCUUACUUUAAAUGAAAGUAGUUGUUAAACAUUAAUGGUUUUUAUUUUAAGGUUUAGCUUUAAAUCCCUGAAAAACACCUUGAAUGGCCAAUACUUGGUAAGCUUUUUAGAUUCUAUGGAUGCUUAUUGCUAGAUCCAUGGAUGUCUAUUAGUUAUCAUUUACGAGCCAUUGGAAGGUGAUUCAAGGUGAGGGUCUUUAGUGUUUGAAGCCAUUAAUGGGAAGCAAUUACCAUUUUUUCAUGAAUCCUUUGGAUCAAAUCUUAAUUGCUAAAUAUAAAACCGGUUUCGAGAGAUAACCACCAUCCUUUAUGUUAUUAUCCCCAACGCGAGGAGAAGAUCCGAAAUCUUCCUUUUUAUCUAAGGAACCCGAUCCUAGUGACCUAAAGCUCCAAGAUACCUUUUCUUUGUAGUUAACUUCAUUUAUUGUUUUUGCUUAACUUAAAAUCAAUCUUUGCAACCACAAUUCCAUUUUCUUUAAAAGCUAAUUUUUAUAAGGAAAAACACCAUUUUAUUUCCUUCACUAAGUCAACUGUACGAUGAAAACCCAUCCCUGUGGACGAUCCUAGAGCCACUAUACUAUGUUAGCUAUGCUACCCUAGUGUGAGGUGAUUUAGGUUUUAUAAAUUUUUUUGAUAACACCCAUCUGAGCCAGAAUCAAAUGGCACGACUGAACCAGGGACGAAUCAAAUGACGCCGCUACCAAGGAUGGUGCCAAAGUACAUUGACAUGACUUUUGGUGAACACUUGUGAUCUUCACCACAAGUUUGGUGAUUUUUCUUUUACUAAUUUUUUUUAUUUUAGCUUAUCUUUUAUUUAGUUUUUAGUUAACCUUAAAUUUUUCCUAGAAUUGUAUUUCUUUUGUUUUCUUUGUUUUUGUUUCAGUGAUCUUUAGUUGUGCAUGCCCUAUUGGAUAAGAGAUAUUGAGGGAAUACUUGUGAAGAUUGAAACUCCUCGAGAAACUGAGUUAGAAGUGUGCUUGAACAUCAUGGAUGUUCCACCUGAAGACCAGAAUAGCCAACAUGGUUAAGAGGAUAAUUUCAACACAUACCGAUCCAUGAGGAACCGCAUACAUCCACCUUGUAUGAGUGCACCGUCAGGCAUAAUGCCUCCCACUGAGCAGCUAGUAAUCUGACCUCACAUUGUGCCACUCCUACCUACUUUCCAUGGGAUGGAGAGUGAGAAUCCCUACUCGCAUAUUAAGGAAUUCGAGGAGGUUUGUAAUACAUUCCAAGAAGGAGGAGCUUCAAUUGACUUGAUGAGGCUCAAGCUAUUUCCUUUCACUUUGAAGGAUAAGGCCAAGAUUUGGCUUAAUUCUUUAAGGCCAAGAAGUAUCCAAACUUGGAUUGAUUUGUAAGCCGAGUUUCUUAAGAAGUUCUUCCCUACCCAUAGGACCAAUGGUUUGAAAAGGCAAAAUUUGAACUUCUCAGUUAAAGAGAAUGAGAAAUUCUAUGAGUGUUGGGAGAGCUACAUGGAAGCUAUUAACGUUUGUCCUCACCAUGGCUUUGACACAUGGCUCUUAGUGAGCUAUUUUUACAAUGGUAUGUCUUCUUCAAUGAAGCAACUCCUAGAAACUAUGUGUGGAGGAGACUUCAUGAGUAAGAAUCCGGAGGAAGCCAUGGACUUUUUGAGUUAUGUGGCUGAAGUUUCAAGAGGAUGGGAUGAACCAAAUGCUAGAGAGGUGGGAAGAAUGAAGUCUCAACCUAAUGCUAAGGGUGAGAUGUAUGUUUUGAAUGAAGACAUUGACAUGAAAGCAAAGGUUGCAGCUAUGGCAAGGAGAUUGGAAGAGCUAGAAAUGAAGAACAUACAAAAAGUGCAAGCCAUUUCUGAGACAUCAAUGAAAGCUAUGCCUUGUUCCAUUUGUCAAUCUUAUAAGCACCUAGUGGAGGAGUGUCCUACAAUUCCAGCAGUGAGAGAGAUGUUUGGUGAUCAAGCAAAUGUUAUUGAUCAAUUCAAGCCUAAUAACAAUGCUUCAUAUGGCAACACCUACAAUUCAAAUUGGAGGAACCAUUCAAAUUUCUCUUGGAAACGAAAGCCACCUCAAUACACACAACCUACUCAAGCACCUUAGCAAUCCUCGAAUCUUGAACAAGCUAUUGUGAACCUUAGCAAGGUUGUGGGAGACUUUGUGGGAGAUCAGAAGUCCAUCAAUGCUCAACUGAAUCGGAGAAUUGACAGUGUGGAGAGUACAUUGAACAAAAGGAUGGAUGAGAUGUAAAAUGAUCUGUCUCAAAAGAUAGACAAUGUCCAAUACGUAAUCUCAAGGCUUACCAACCUCAACACAGUGUAAGAGAAAGGAAAGUUUCCUUCUCAACCUCAUCAAAAUCCUAAGGGUAUCCAUGAAGUAGAGGCUCAAGAGGGAGAAUCUUCAAAGGUGAGGGAAGUCAAAGUAGUUAUCACCUUGAAGAGUGGUAAAGAGGUUGAUCAACCCACAUCCAAGCCAAAGCAUAAUGAAGAGAGUGUAGCAGAAAAAGAAAAGAGAGGAAAAUAAAGGAAUUAGAAUAGAGAAAAAUACAAAGAAAGAUGACCAUGAGUCUAGUGUGGAUGAAGAGCCCGAGAGGAUGGUGAUCAAGGAAGAUAUGAUGAAGAAACACAUGCCUCCACCUUUCCCCUAAGCUUUGCAUGACAAAAAAAGAACCAAUAAUACAUCAGAAAAUUUUGAAGUAUUGAGGCAAGUGAAGGUCAAUAUCCCUUUGCUAGACAUGAUCAAACAAGUGUCGACAUAUGAAAAAUUCUUGAAGGACUUGUGCACUGUAAAGAGAGGGUUGAAUGUGAACAAGAAAGCUUUAUUGACCGAGCAAGUGAGUUCCAUCAUACAGUGCAAGUCCUAGUGAAGUACAAAGAUCCGGGUUGCCGUACCAUCUCAGUGAGUAUUGGAAGGACUUGUGUGGAGAAAGCUUUGUUGGACUUGGGAGCAAGUGUGAAUUUGCUAUCCUACUCUGUCUAUAAGCAGUUGGGAUUUGGAGAGUUGAAGCCAAUAUCCAUCACUCUAUCUCUAGCGGAUAGAUCAAUGAAGAUUCCAAGAGGGAUGAUCGAAGAUGUCCUGGUUCAAGUUAACAAAUUCUACUAUCCAGUAGAUUUUGUUGUUCUUGAUAUGGAUCCGGUUGUCAAAUGAACUAAUUAUGUUCCUAUCAUACUUGGAAGACCCUUCCUAGCUACAUCAAAUGCAAUCAUCAAUUGUAGGAAUGGAGUCAUGCAACUCACAUUUGUCAACAUGACAUUAGAGCUCAACAUCUUCCAUUUGUACAAGAAGCAUAUCCAUCAGGAGGAAAAAGAAGGUCUAGAGGAAGUGUGAAUGAUUGACACUUUAGUGGAAGAGCAUUGUGAUCGAGAAUGCAAAAAGAUUUAGUUGAGAAUUUUGGGGAUCUUGAUGAAAGGUUACUUGAACCCUCAGAUUUGCUUGCUACCCUACUCCAUUGGAAGAGAAGAGAAGAAAUUCUACCCUUAUUCAAUGAGGAGGAGACGCAAAGAGCUGCAAAGGAGAAACCCCCAAAACUUAUUCUUAAGCCACUACCCACAGAGUUGAAGUAUGUAUACUUGGAAGAAGACAAGAAGUGCCCUAUUGUUAUAUCUUCAACUCUUACCAUUCAUCAGGAGGAUUGUCUACUUGAAGUCCUUAGAAGAUGUAAGAAGACAAUAAGGUGGCUAAUUUCUUAUUUGAAAGGGAUCAGCCCUUUAGUCUGCACCCAUCAUAUUUACAUGGAGGAUGAAGCUAAGCUAAUUCAUCAACCUCAGAGAAGGUUGAACCCUCACAUGCAAGAGGUGGUUCGAGCUGAAGUUCUGAAGCUACUUCAGACCAGUAUUAUUUACCCCAUAUCAAAUAGCCCAUGGGUGAGUCCUACUCAAGUUGCGCCAAAGAAGUCUGGGAUCAUGGUGGUGCAAAAUGAUAAGGGAGAAGAUGUCUCUACACGCCUCACUACAGGUUGGAGGGUGUGUAUCAAUUACAGGAGGUUGAAUGCAGUGAUAAGAAAGGACCAUUUCUCAUUGCCCUUUAUUGAUCAGGUGCUUGAGAGGGUCUCUGGGCUUUUUUUUUUAUUGUUUCUUGGAUGGCUACUCCGGGUACUUUCAGAUAGAAAUUGAUGUUGAAAACCAAGAUAAGACCAUUUUCACAUGCCCAUUUGGAACCUAUGCAUAAAGGAGAAUGCCUUUCGGCUUAUGCAAUGCACCCGCAACUUUCCAAAGAUGCAUGUUAAGCAUUUUCAGUGAUAUGGUGGAGCGUAUUAUGGAAGUCUUUAUGGAUGAUAUCACCAUUUAUGGAAGUGCAUUUGAUGAAUGCUUGGUCAACUUAGAAGCUGUUCUGAACCGAUACAUUGAGAAAGACUUAGUGCUUAACUGGGAGAAGUGCCAUUUCAUGGUACACCAAGGGAUUGUCCUUGGGCACAUUAUCUCCAAGCAAGGCAUUGAAGUUGACAAAGCAAAGGUUGAACUCAUUGUUAAGUUGCCAUCCUCAACAAAUGUCAAAGGAGUAAGGCAAUUCUUUGGCCAUGUCGGGUUCUAUAGGAGGUUUAUCAAGGAUUUCUCUAAGCUUGCAAGGCCUCUUUGUGAAAUAUUGGUGAAUGAUGUUAAAUUCAUAUGGGAUGAUGGAUUUGAAAGGAGUUUUGAAGAAUUGAAGCUAUUUUUGACAACCGUACCAAUAGUGAGGGCUCCCAACUGGCAACUGCCCUUUGAAGUAAUGUGUGAUGUCAAUGAUUUUGCUAUAGGAUUUUUUCUUGGGCAAAGAGAAAAUGGAAAACCUUAUGUGAUCUACUAUGCGAGGAAGGCAUUGAAUGAGGCACAAAGAAACUACACAACCACCGAGAAAGAAUUGUUAGCUGUAGUUUUUGCCUUGGAUAAGUUUCGCGCUUACUUGGUGGGGUCCUUCAUCAUGGUUUUUACUGAUCACUUUGCUUUGAAGUAUCUGUUGACUAAGCAAGAUGCUAAAGCAAGGCUGAUUAGAUGGAUUCUCUUACUUCAAGAGUUCAAUCUCCAUAUCAAAGAUAAGAAAGGAGUGGAGAAUGUGGUAGCAGACCACAUUUCAAGGCUAGCUAUCGCACAUAAUUCCCAUGCUUUGCCCAUUAAUGACGAUUUUCUAGAGGGGUCUCUCAUGUUGGUGGAAGUUGUCCCUUGGUACGCUCACAUUGCUAACUACCUGGUCACGGGAAAAGUUCCAAGUGAGUGGAAAGCACAAGAUAAGAAGCACUUCUUUGCAAAAAUUCAUGCCUACUAUUGGGAAGAGCCAUUUCUAUUCAAGUAUUGUAUGGAUCAGAUAAUAAGGAAGUGCGUUCCUGAAGAAGAGCAACAGGGGAUCCUUAGUCAUUACCAUGAAAAUGCAUGUGGAGGCCACUUUGCUUAUCAAAAGACAGCCAUGAGGGUGUUGCAAUCGGGUUUCUGUUGGCCAUCACUUUUCAAAGAUGCCCACACCAUGUGCAAGAGUUGUGAUCGAUGCCAGAGGCUUGGGAAGUUGACACGCAGGAACAUGAUGCCUUUGAACCCCACUUUAAUAGUUGAUAUUUUUUAUGUUUGGGGCACUAACUUCAUGGGACCUUUCCCUAUGUCUUUUGGCUACUCUUACAUCUUGGUAGGAGUAGAUUAUGUUUCUAAGUGGGUUGAGGCAGUCCCAUGCAAACACAAUGACCAUAGAGUGGUUCUCAAGUUUCUUAAAGAGAAUAUCUUCUCAAGAUUUGGGGUGCCCAAAGCCAUAAUUAGUGAUGGGGGUACUCAUUUUUGCAACAAGCCUUUUGAAACUCUCCUAGCCAAGUAUGGGGUGAAGCAUAAGGUAGCUACACCUUACCACCCUCAAACUCAUGGACAAGUUGAGUUAGCAAACAGGGAGAUUAAAAACAUAUUGAUGAAGGUGGUGAACACAAACAGAAAAGAUUGGUCAGUCAAGCUUCUUAAUUCACUAUGGGCAUAUAGAACAACUUACAAGACCAUUCUCGGGAUGUCUCCUUAUCGCCUAGUUUAUGGCAAAGCAUGCCAUCUCCCUGUGGAAUUGGAAUACAAAGCUUGGUGGGCAAUCAAGAAGCUCAACAUGGAUUUGAGCAGAGCUGGGUUGAAGAGGUUCUUAGACCUUAAUGAGAUGGAGAAAUUGAGAAAUGAUGCCUACAUCAAUUCAAAAAUUGCAAAAGAAAAAUUGAAGAGGUGGCAUGAUCAGUUGAUUUCCCGCAAGGAUUUUCAAAAUGGACAAAGAGUCUUACUUUAUGACUCUAAACUCCACAUCUUUCCGGGCAAGCUGAAAUCAAGGUGGAUAGGUCAUUUUACCAUUCACCAAGUGCAUUCAAAUGGAGUAGUGGAACUACUCAACUCCAACAAUAUCGAGAACUUCAAAGUGAAUGGCCACCGUCUCAAGCCCUUUGUGGAGUCUUUUUCUCACAACAAGGAGAAAUUCAUCCUCCUUGAUCCACAUCAAGCUUAACAAGACCAAUUUUCUUGAUGGACUUAGUCUUUCUAAAGACUAUCGAGUCCAUAACUUUUUGUUUUAUUUUUUAUUUGAGAUUUUUUCGGUAUUGUUACUUGUUUUGUUUUUUAUUUUUCGUUUUAAUUUUAUUUGGUUUGAUUUAACUUAGGUUUUUGAUGAUCAAUUACAGGGGGGAUUUCAAAUAGAGGAAAAACCAAGAUAAUUCGCACACCCUACGAAAAUUUCGCAAGGCAUGCGAAAUUUAUGGCUUAUUUUGCAUGGGGUGAAAAUUUUCGUACAUCUUACGAACCAAUUUCGAACACUUUGCGAAAAUAAACCAACCCUGCGAAAUCAUUUCGAUUACUCUACGAAAUUUUCGUAGAGCAUGCGAAAAAUUUAGCACACCAAACACCAUUUCGCAUACUAUGCAAAAACCUAAGGGGUCUGCGAAACCAUUUCGCACCUCCAAAUCCAUUUCGCACAUUGUGCGAAAACCAAGAGGCGCUGUGCGAAAAUGAAAAGUCGCCCUGUCAUCCCUUUUUAAACCCCUCGAGCCCUAAAAUCUCCAUUUCGCAAGCACCCCUGUCCUUGCGAAUCCCUCAUUUUCCUCUACUACCUUGCAACCUCGUCCCUUUCCAUUUGAUAUUGUGCCCCGCGCACAUCUCAUUUCAGAGACUCGCACUCCGCGCCCCCUCAAAGCAUGGACUCGAGACCCACCUUCCAUUUCCGACGUGGCACGGACCCAAGGAGCCCUUUCUGCCCCUUCACUAAGACACACACCAAGGCAGAAAGCCUCCUUUGCUCAAGUGCCUAGUGAUUCUCCAUCUUAGGCCUCAGAGGCCUCGGAGGCCCCGUGGAUUCCACCUUCCGAGGGUAGAGCAGCCAUUGGUCCUUCCUCUUCUACUCCUUAGCGUAGAUACGAGACGAGGAGACCACCUACUACACAAGGGGCGACUACUUCGAGCCUUGAGAAUUCAGUACGAUGCCUUCCUGCCAAGAGGGUCAAGACUUCAGGUCCAAGUGAGUCAUCCAGAGCUUCAUAGCCUAAGCCUCCUGUAGAUUCCAAGGUUCCUACUGACAUAUCACCGGAGUCUAUUAUCAGAAGCCCGAUGCUCAUAGCACCGCCCAUUGAGGGCAACUCAGAUUAUAGAGCGAGAUCUUUCCACUUGGAGCUAUAUUUUGAUCAGGAGGCCAUACGACAGCAGCCUGAGCUCCGAGACUCUUAUGGCUUACUGCAGAGGUACCAUCUUGAGGAACUUAUGACUCCUCGUGAGUUUUUUUAUCCCAGAGUAGCACUAAACUUUUACCAGUCCAUGACUACUCGUGGCGUCCCGAGUCCUACCACGAUUCACUUCACCAUUGAUAGACGUCAUGGUAUCCUCAAGGCCAGACAUAUUACAGAGGCUCUACAAAUUCCUUUCGAGCUAGAGGAUCCAUCUGUUUUUCGCUAAUGGUCCCCAGUAUCUCAGAGGGACAUGGUCCGUAUUUUAUCUAGGGGAACAUCUACAGAUUCGAUCUUUCUACGGAAGGAGCUUCGACCUGGGAUGCUCCUCUUAGAUGUGGUGCUAUGCUCCAACCUCUUUCCCUUACAACAUUCGGUACAUAGGUGAUGAGCUAUUUUGGACGCUUUAUUCCGUAUAUCAGAGGGCUUCUACUUUGGCCCGCACCACUUGAUCAUGGUCUCCCUCAUCCACUUUGAGGAGAAGGUUCAUAGGAAGAAGCUUCAGAGGGUGGACACCAUUCCAUUACUAUUCCUGAGGUUACUUUGCCAGGUCUUGGAGUACAUGGGCUUUCCUACUGAGCCUCGGCUCGAGCUUUGCCGCCUUUGUCGAGAGUGAUCCACUCUCGACAAAUGGAAUUAGUUGGCGGGCUAUUCUGCACCUCCAGGAGCCCCUCCCAUGGUAGCACCUCCAAUGUCCCCACAGGCAAAGUAGGGCGAGCUCCCGGCAAAGACUGUACCACCAAUGCCCACACUUGAGGCUAUUUCUGCUGCUCUGCCUAUGACUCCUACUGUUCCACCAGUUGGUCCUUUUACAUCCGAGCCUUCCAUCACCAUCUCGGCUUCGGAGUUUCGCGCCCUUGUGCAUACCUUUCAGACACUCACCACCACACAUACUCCUCUCUUCUAGCAAAUGGUUGAGAUGUGUGCCCAUCAGGACCGGAAGACUACUAUACUCUGCCAAAUUCAGCAGCACCUAAGACUUUUGCCUCAACCUCAACCUAACCAUCCCAUAUCAUCAGAGCCUCUAGCUCCAACUGAGGAUACUAUUCCACCUGAGAACACUACCACAGUAGAGGUCCGGUUUCCACCACCUUAAGAGGCCACCACAGCUACAUCAGAGGAUGUGUCAUCUCCACUUGAGGCUCCCACUACUUGAUCAUAGGACAUAUCUUUAUCUUAUUGUAUUUACAUAUUAUAUUACUAGAGAUUUGUCCUUGUUUUGAUACUUUAUAUUCUGGGAUUGGAUGUAUUGCCUGAUGAUAUCUCAAUUGUACUUUCUCAUAUUAAUAUAUAGACAUCAAUUUUUUUUAGUAUACUUAGCAUUUUUCUAUUUCCUCUACUCAUUACUCUUUUGUUUUUUUUUACUCAUGUGGUUUCUCUUAUACAACUCAGACUCCAUUUCACUCAGGAGGUACCACUUCCUCCCUUUAUUUUCAAUUGCUCUUGAAAUAUUGAGUGCAAUGUUGAUCUUGGUUGGGGGGAGAGUUGAGGAAGGAAGUUUUGUUAAUAAUGCUAGGUUAAUUUGUUAAUUUAGUUACUUUCUGCUUAAUUUUAAAAGUUUUCACUCUACUUUCCAUGGUUAUUAAGGAAAAAUUCUCAAAAUGAAAUGGGAGAAAUCGAAUUCUUGCAUUUUUACUUGAAUCUUAGAAUUUGUAUCAUGCUUAUUAAAGUUGAUGAAUUAUUGAAACUCCUAUUGAAUUCAACCUUAUUUUUUCCACUUUAAUCUUACCACACACGGUGCACAUUAGGUUCCAGUUAUAAGAUAAAAAACUAUCUCACCCCCUAAACUUAGAAAAAUUUACACUUGGUACCUUUGACAUCGUUUUAAUAGUGUUGGGACACCUUAUAAAAGGCCAAUGAGCCUUUAAAAAAAAAAAAAAAAAAAAAAAGAGAAAGAACAAAGUAUUGCACUUGCCUUGAAACCUGAGCAAGAUCCGAGGGGUAUACAGUGAAAGUCUUUAAAACCUGGUGCCCUAAGCCUUGAUUGGUUGGGAGUCACCGACCUCAAUGCUCGUUAUAAGGGUGAAUAGGUGGAGUUUAACAUAUUGUAGGUGCUUGGGUAUUGAAUUUCAAUCUCAAAAGUCCGGGAAAAAAUCUAAGGAGUUAGUGGUCAAAAGAUCCUUAAAGCUUGAUGCCCUAAACCUUGAUUGGUUGAGAGUCAUUGAUGGAUCCCCGCUACAUGGACAUUUUAGAAAACAAUACCUUUAGCAUUGCACGCCUACAAUGAAAAAAAAAUGUGAAAUAAAAGAGGUGCGUUCUUAGCCUAUUGGAGGUUGGUCAGUUUGCUAAAGUUUGAGAAAUCUAGGUUGGGGGGAGAGAAUAGUCCGACAUACUAUAAUAAAAAACUAAUAACCUUAACACUUAGAUUUUUGUGGAAGAGUAAGGAUUGGACCUUUAGGGGUGGAAAUUCUUUUGAUGCUUAAAUUUGCAUAAUGCCUACUCUUUAUAAAUUAUGAUUAGGCAAGAGAUUUGAUGACUCUUGUUCAAAGUUGGGUUUUUCCUCUUUGAUGUUCCAUGAGAGAGUAUAAUCCUCAUCAUGCCACUUGAAAUCUUUUUGGAGUGAUUAACAUGAUUUUGUAAAUUAUUUUACUGUCUAUUUUUCUUUAUCUCUCUUUUAUUGCUAAUGGACUAGCAAUAUGUCAGUUGGGGGGAGUGAUUACUACUCAAAAAGUACUCUUUUAUAGCUUGAAACUAACUGUUUUAAACACUUUUGAGUAGGUGUUAAUACAUUUUAACUCAAUUGGCACAUUAAGGAACCUAACAAGGGUUACUAAUAAGUUUUUGGCAAGUUUUGGUGUUUUUGGUAGCUAUUUGAUCAUUGAAACAAGCCAAGAAUGAGGGAGAAUUUUGUGAAGUCCAUAGCAAUGCAAGUUAAAGCUCAAAUACAUGAAGAAUCCAAGCUUUGAAGCACUUCAUAGCCCUUUGCGAAGCCAAUCAGAGAUGCAAGGAAGAAAACCAGAGGAAAAAAUCCAACAACCAGCAUUUUCGCAUGGCUGUGCGAAAUUUUGCACACCAUGCGAAACCACAAGAAGUAGCCAAAGAAUUUUGCACACCAUGCGAAAUUUCGCAUGGUAUACGAAAUCUUCCUAUGCACCAACUCCGUUAUAUUUUUAUCUUCAGAUAUUUUGUGUAAUUUCCUAGUUUCUCCUUGUAACCAACCUAGAUAUUUUCUUUUAUAUCUUUUUUUUAUAUUUUUUAGGUAACAUCAUAUAUAGGGGGAGAGACAUAAGGAGGAUAUGGAUGUUUUUCAUAAAACACUUUUAAUUUUCUGGUAGUAAGAAAUAUACAAAGUUUUUUGCUCUGCCUUACCUUCUCAUUUUGUUUUCACCUAUCUUUCUAGCCAAACAACCUCUGAGAAUGAUUUCUCAGGGGAUGAGUAGUUAGGUUUUACGUUUCUUGGAGUGAGAGAAGCUAGGUGAAAGACCCAAAUGCUAAGGUGGGAGUUGUCCUUGCUUUAAAUGAAAGUAGUUGUUAAAUAUUAAUGGUUUUUAUUUUAAGGUUUAGCUUUAAAUCCCUUAAAAACACCUUGAAUGGCCAAUACUUGGUAAGCUUUUCGGAUUCUAUGGAUGCUUAUUGCUAGAUCCAUGGAUGUCAUUAGUUAUCAUUUAUGAGCCAUUGGAAGGUGGUUCAAGAUGAGAGUCUUUAGUGUUUGAAGCCAUUAAUGGGAAACAAUUACCAUUUUUUCAUGAAUCCUUUGGAUAAAAUCUUAAUUGCUAAAUAUAAAACUGGUUCGGGAGAUAACCAUCCUUUAUGUUAUUAUGCCCAAUGCAAGGAGAAGAUUUCGAAUCUUCUCAUUUGUCUAAGGAACCCGAUCCUAGUGACCUAAAGCUCCUAGAGACCUUUUCUUUGUAGUUAACUUCAUUUAUUGUUUUUGCUUAACUUAAAAUCAAUCUUUGCAACCACAAUUCCAUUUUCUUUAAAAGCUAAUUUUUAUAAGGAAAAGCACCAUUUUAUUUCCUUCACUAAGUCAACUGUAUGAUGAAAACCCAUCCCUGUGGACGAUCUUAGAGCCACUAUACUAUGUUAUCUAUGCUAUCCUAGUGUGAGGUGAUUUAGGUUUUAUAAAUUUUGUUGAUAACACCCGUCUGAGCCAGAAUCAAAUGGAACCACUGAACCAGGGACAAAUCAACAGCCUAUAUGGGAGGGACACAAGUUUAAUUGAUUUGCAUUUCAGCGUUAUAGAUAAGUAUGUUUUGGAAGAUUUGUUCUGGAAAUACUGCACCAAGUACGAUUCUUUUUCUCUUGAGUGAGUCCAUUUGCAUGCCAAUUAACGAGUUGAAAAGUAGGAGCACCUACCUCGUGCUCAUGGAACCGAAUGUCAGUGAAGUGGGGCUCCUUUUAGCCUCUUGUGUUUCUGUUCCAACCAAGGCGGCGUAGGGAAAAACAACAAUAUGUCUGUGCUAAAUAUCAACGCAUGAUAGAUGUUUUUUUUUUUUUUUUUGGUAUGUCAAGGCUAACGAAUGAAAUGCAUUAGCUUGUUUUGUGACUAUAACUGCAAAUGUCCAAAUUGGAGUAUCUCCAUUUCUCACUUCGGAUGGUUAACUUUAUAAACAAGAUAUAGGAAACAUGUGAACAUCUUGAGGAACAAUUCAAAUUAUUCAUUAGAAGUCCUGGGUUAAGUUCCAAGAUUUAAAUCAGACCCUUCUAGCAGCUUCAAGGGUACUUAGCAACCUAUAACAUAUUAAUGAAGAUUUAGGAUUUAGACUCCGGAAUACAAAUAAAUAUGUAUCUCAUGCUUUGACUAGCUUCCCUACAUAUGCAUAAAAUGGAGAUGACCCAAAAAAAAUAGCAGAAUCUAGCUUCCCUACAUAUGCACAAAAUGGAGAUGACCCAAAAAAUAGCAUAAUCGCCUUAGUUUCUGUGGUUAAGGUGAUUCUCCGCUUAAUAUCCACAUUGACUCAUUAUGCAAAAUCAACUGAGCUAAUUUUAUUUAUUUAUUUAAUGUCAAAUAGGAACUCCUAAUUAACUGAUUACUGUCGAAAAGUGCUAUUUUGUAGACCUAAUUAUAAGGGUUUUAAGCACCUUUGAGUAGUAAUCAUAUUCAUUUAACCUAAUUAAUUCAUUAAGCUCCUUAGUAAUUAGUUCUAACCAUUUUUAGUGGCAAGUUUACAUGUUUUUCAUCAGCUUAUGAACCAAUUCAAGCAUGCCAAUUGAUGGAGGAGCUACUUGGGCGAGUUAAGCAAGGAUUUUGGACGUUUACAGGCUUGAAUUUCAAGUGGAAACACGAGCACAAGCAAUGGGAACACCAUUUCGCAAGGGGAGGCAAUUCACCUUGCCAAAUGACCAAUUUCGCAAGGGGAUUUUCCUCAUGGUGCAAAAUUUGGUCAUUUCGCACCAUGAAGAAACCACCUUGCAAAAUUUCGCAAGGUGGAUUUAGGCACCUUGCGAAAUGCCAAAUUUCACAAGGUGGCUUUUCACCUUGCGAAAUUUGGACCUUUCAUCUUCCCCCCUUGCGAAAUGCCUUUGAAAUCCCCUGUUUUGAGACGCUGUUGAUGAUAUUCCACUGCCGGUUCUCCAAGAUAUUUUGCUUGACUUUUAGCUUUAUAAAUACCUAUUUUACCCUUGUAAUCAACCAAUGAAAAGGUUGCUUUUGUAAUAGCUCUUGUAAUUUAGCUUUUUAUUGUCUUUAAAUAGAGGUGAAGAGCCUCAGACACGAUCAUCUUGUAACCUGUAACUUUAUAAGUUAUAAGAGCACUUUUGUUCAUACGCUUCUUUUCUCUUUUCUUUCUCAUUUUCUUAGUAGCCAAACAUCCUUGGAGGAUGAAAUCCCCAAGGAUGAGAGGCUAAAACCUUUUAGUUUCUUGAAGUAAUGGAUGCCAUGUGAAGCUCCCGUGUCAGGAUGGAGAUUUCCAAGCCAUAAAUGUAAGUAGCUGAGCGUCAUAAAUGUUUUCAUUCAAAGUAAAGCUUUUAAUCCCUCUGACUUGCUUUGAAUGGCCAAUACUUGAUAACCUUUUGGUCUCAAUGGAUUCUUAUUGUUAGAUCCACUGACGUUCAUUAGUUAUCUCCUACGAGCCAUUGUAUUGCAAGUCGAGGAGAUGACCUAUACCAAUAAAAGAGCAUUUAUGAGGUUCAACUACCCUUUUUGUAAGUUUUCAAGGACUAAAACUCAGUUGUUAAACUCAUACCGGUUCGAGAAGUAAGCAUCACCUUAGUUGCUUCCCCAACUCGAGGUGAAAAGUCCCAAAAUCUCCAUUUUUACACAGUGAGUUAAGCAUGGCUAUCCAAAGCUUUAAGAAACUUCUUUUUCCAUCUUUUAACCUAUUUUCAUGUUAGUUUAGUUUACAACACCUUCAUCUUUUUAUGUUUUCAUCUUAACCUAAUUUUUAUUAAGAAAAGUUCACUCCAUCCUCCGAACUUCACCAGUUAAAGUAAAAACCCUUCCCAGUGUUCGAUCCUAGAGCCACUAUGCUAUAGUAGCUUUGCUACUUUAGUGUAAGGACCUUAGGUAUAAAUUUUGUUGAUACCCUUACAUGCCAAGCUACCAAGAGUCGGGUUAUCAUUAACCUAACCAUUGGCCUGUGUAAAUUGAUUUCACAUGCACAAUGUUGUAGUAGAAGUCCAUAUUUUGAAUUUUAUUUUUGUAAAGGUAAGGAAAAUGAAGCAUUGUGUAAUUAUAAAAAUAACUUCAUUGGAAUUCACAAGGUUCACCCAAAAUGGAGCUACAUCUGUAUUCUAUCCUACAGUAGACUAUAUAGAUUGUACAAUAGUAAAUUGCAAAUACAAUUAAUAAGUCUUGUGCUUCCUUACUAAUAAUCCUUUGACAUGAACAUUGCAGCACUAAGGUCCUCUUGGGAAGACACCUUGCACCCAUGAGAGCACUAAGAGGAAGCAAGGCAGAGUCAUGGGUGCAAUGUCAUGACUUGUUGUUGCACCAAGAGAGGCUUGGUGAUGCCAUGGUGUUGCAGUAGCAAGAAUGUUGCCUUGGCAGGGACACGAUCUAGGGAUAGAUGCCAAGAAAGGCUUAGCACUCACAUGAGUUGCACAAAGAUGAAUGUAAUAGAGCAUCAGAGAGACGUCUUGGCAAGUAAAUGAAUGGAUCCAAGAGACAACAACAUGAGGAGUUUCAAAUGGAUAAGGAAUGACUCAAAGACAUUUGAAAGCUACAAGUUGGAUUCUAAUUACGAUUGCAAUUUGAGUUUGAGUAGGAGUUUAGAUUUUGAUUGUAAUUGUAGUAUGAGUUGGACUAGGAUUGCUUAUCCUUAGUCAAUAUAGGAGCGGUUCGUGUCACCCUAUGAAAAGAGUUUGAGUAGGGACUAGGAUUGCUUACUCCUAGUCAAAUAUGGAGUAGGUGGUGCCACACCUAUAAAAAAAAGGGACAACAUGAGAGAGAGAGAGAGAGAGAAAGAGAGAGUGAAUUCACUAAAGAUAUUGUGGGAGUUUUGCUUUGUUACGUCUUGUAUUAUUACUUAGAAUAGGAAUAAAAUACAAGUUGGGGCUAGAGCCCCAUAAUUAAUCUCGUGUGCCUUUGUGGUUAUUCUUUAUUUGUCAUCUCGUGUGGAUUGGAUUAGGUUGACUUAGAGGGCUUCUAAGCACCACCUUUGUGGGUUAUUAUUUAUUUUCCAUCUCUUGUGGAUUAGAUUAGGUUGACUUAGAGGGCUUCUGAGCACCACCUUUGUGGGUUAUUAUUUAUUUUCCAUCUAUUGUGGAUUAGAUUAGGUUGACUUAGAGGGCUUUUAAGCACCACAUUUGUGGGUUAUUCUUUAUUUUCCAUAUCGUGUGGGUUGGAUUAGGUUGACAAGGAGAAAAAUUAUGUGGGAAAUUUGUGUUGGGACACUUACCAUAACCAAGUAAAAUCUACCAAGUCCUUUGUAAUAUCUUCAACAAAUAUUUUAGACUAGUUCUUUCAGUUAGUGUAAAGGAGGAAGAAGUGGUAUUGAUUCUAGAAAUAGGGUGUGUGUAUUUGAACUACAAUCCUUAUGAUCCUUAGGUCUCUAAACCUUCGUGAUGGGCUCCCUGACAUUUCAUAGGUUGUGCUACACAUGCGUUUGAAAUUUAGAGUGCGUUUGACAGUGAUUCCGGGAAGUGUUUUUGGCCUUUCUUACACUUGAAAAUUUUUAUUUUUCAAGUAUUAGAAAUGCUACAAACACUUUUGAAAAUUACUGUCAAACACACUCUUAGGAGCGCACAUAUAUAGUAGAAAACUAGAAAUUGUGGUUUUUUUAGGAUUUACUGUAAUGUCAUUAGGAGGGUAGUAAGUUGAAAUUGAGUAUGAACAAAUAUUUCUUUCUUUGGGAUGUUCUUCUAGUAGGUGCUGAUGAAACUGUUCUUUCUACUGCCAAUGUCACAUAUCAGCCAGAAAUUGAAAAUUUCAGUCAAGGUGUCCUCUGUUUUAGUGGUGAGGAAAGCUAGAAAUUUUAAGGUGAAGUUUUGUUAAAAACCUUAAGUAGCUGGGAUAUCAGGCCUGUUUUGCUUGAAAAAAAAAGUUGCAAGAUAACUCAUAUGCCAAACAGGUUCUGAUAUUGUGAAUCUAUCGGCAGACAUCAGUAAUCUCAUCUUCUGAGAUGGAUGUUGGGGGUGCAUGUGGUGGUGGAGGGGCAAGGUUUCAUUUGGUUUAUUUUGUUGAUGGAUAUUGUCUAGCCACCUGCGCCAAGUUUGAGGGGUGGUGGGUUGUGAUGACCCUACAAUUACUAUUAAUUUCUUCAUCUUUUACCGAUUAAAGUGUCCGAACAGUCGAAGUUACCCUUAUGCAUGUCAACUUGAUCACUUACCUCUUCAAUGGAGUUUAUGCUGGUUCAUUUAGGAACUGAUUUUUAUUGUUAUGUAUUAUAUGCUGAUGUUUAGGUCUCUCCAUCAUCACUAUAUACAAAAAUUCUAGGUUGAUACUAUAGGUUGAGAUUUAUUUUUUAAAUAAAAAAUAAUAAAAAUAAAAAUUAUGGUGAUGUUUAGUUGUUUUAUGGAAAAUUUUAACAAGUAAAAGUUAUUUUUGGGCAAGUUUUCAAACAAAAAGAAAAGUAAAAGUUGUUUUGACAAAAACAUAUAGAAAAAAAAAUCAUAGAAAAUAAAUAAUUUCCCCAUAUUCUAACUUUUUUGAAUUUUUCUCAAUGGGCAAAGGAAUAUCAAAUCAAGUUUGAGUAGGAUUUCUUAAUUUUUAAAAUAACUUACAAUUAAAAAAUUUUGGUGUUUUCAUUUUUGGACAAUUUUUUAUUAAGCAAAUGGACUCUGAGUCAUGCAAGAGAUAUGGUUCAUUAACCGGUCGAACAAUUUUUUUAAAUUAAUUUAAAAGUCAAAUACAUAAUCAAUUUCACAAAAUUUAUAAACAAAAAUAGGUUUAGAGAAGAUCUACACAUAAUUUUACUUUUCUAAUUUUAUUUUAUUUUAUUUUUUGUUGGAAAAUAGUCUUCAAAUCAUGUAAGAUUUAAUAGGUUAAAUUUGUUAACAAUAAAUUUUAAAUUAUAAAAUAUAAUCUGGAACUCAAAAAUCAAUUCAAGUAAUGCUAAAAAAAAAUCAAAUUUGGUAUAGAAUGACUUUGUAAAUUUUUUUACAAAACAAAUGAAUUUUAAAUCAAGUGAGAUUUAAUGCAUUAGAUUUUUAUCAAAUAUAGUAAUUUUAAAAAUAAAUUUGGAACUCAACAAUAGACACAAUAAAUACCAAAAAAUAAUGAACCAAAAUUGGUUUGGAAUAACUCCACAACCUUUUUUUUUUUUUUUUGGUGCACACGAAUUUUCUUACUAGGUAUAUUGCUUUCAAAUUGAGAAAGAUUUACCAUUUAGAUUUUUUUUUAAUGAGUUUAAUGGUAUUUUAAAAUAAUUCAAAAUUUAAAAAAUUGACUAAUUAAUAUUAUAAAUUGAUAAACCAAGACUAUUUCAAAAUGCAUUGGGGGCUAAGGGGGUUGAAAAUAGGGACAAUGGGAUGGGUUUGGGACAUGACACUCAUAUCUCAUUUCCAUUCCAAUUACACAGUUAUCUCCCAUCCUUAUCCCAAACUUGUGUUGGAGCAAGUUGAUUUGUUCCCAUCUUUGUUGACGAAAUGACUAAUAACCUCAUCCCCUCCUUAUCUUAGAUGUACAUUUUGUCAAAUUUGAUCAGGUAUGAUUGAUCCAAGCCCUAACCCUAAUUGGUAAUGAGUGAAUACUACACCUAAUUGCAUUCUUCUUUCAUUGCAAAAUAAUGAGAUUAUAAUAAUCUAGCAAAUAAGAAAAAAUAGUAUGGAAGUUCAAAUUAACACCAUAACUAUCAAUAAUUUUAAGCUUAUAGAUGACUUAAAUGAUUAAAAACUAAUGCAAAAUCCUAAAAAAAAUAAAAAUCAUAUAAAGAAUUCACAAGAGAACAGAAUGAACAAAAACCAAAUAUGAACAUGGGUCAACAUUAGUUAUGGAUUUGGAUUCCUUUCAAGGCCAAUCUUUGAACCAAGACUUCAUCAAAUCAACUACUUCAAAGGCUUUUGUGUUCUUCUUGGGUUGUGCUCUCAAACAAAGACUUCGAGGUGAUGUUCUAGAUGAUUGAAUUACACAUAUUUAGGGUGGAGAGAUUGGAGAAGCUUGAAGAUGCCAACGAUGGGUACAAUUGAGUGGUCAAUAAGAACAAUGUAGCCUAUGACUAGUUUGAUGUCAUGGUACAAGAGUUUUAGGCAUUGAGGUUAAAGCAAGAGCAACAUGGAAUUGAUUUCGGAGUCUUUCAGUUAGUGUAAAGGAGGAAGAAGUGGUGUUGAUUCUAGAAAUAGGGUUUUAAGUGGUGCGUGAUUACUACUCAAAAAGUGCUAUUUGAUAGCCUUUAAUUAAUCCUUUUUAACACUUUUGAGUAGUAGUUUAGGCCUUUUAACUCAAUUGGCAUGUUAAGGAUCCUUUAAAGCAAUUUUGAUCACUUUGUGCAAGUUUUGGUGUUUUUGUUAGUAUUUUGAUCACCAAAGCAAGUCAAGAAUGAGGAGAACUAUGAGGAAUCAUGGGCAAAGCUUAGAAUUCAAUUGCCAAGAGUGAAUCCGGAUUGCAAGGAGAAAAAGCAAAGAGAAUCUGUCAUGAAGCCUAUUCUUGAUGACAGUCGUAGCAGCCACUUUUGGAGCACUUUCUGAAGUCCAAAUGAUGCAAGCUAUAUACCAUUUCAAAGAUCAGGAAGUCAACAAUCCAAUGCUUCAAACGGUGCGCGAUUCGGAGUUGAAACGAAGAAGUUGCAGCCAUUACAAGCCAGUCACUCUAAAGUGUUGCGGAAUCAGCCUUUUGUUGCGAGAAUUUCGCAGCACUUUUGUACAGUAAGGUGUUUCUCCUUCUGACGAUGCACGAACCAUGCCGCGAGAGGGAAGCUAGGAACUUCAAGAUGGAAGCCAACUUUGCAGCCUGGUGAAGAUAGCUUGGUCUUGCGAAAUAAUUUCGCAGCCCUCUUGGGUGUCUGCGAAAUUUCGCAGGCACCACUUUUUUCCUGCGAAAUGGCUCCGGAAGCCUCCCGAAGCUUGCUACCGACAUUGGGAGAUAUUUUCCAUUAGAUUUUUGUUGUCUAAAUUCCAAAAUACUCCUUGUAAACCACCAAUUACAUGAUUCCUUAGUUUUUAAGUUAGUAAAAAGACCAAAUAUCUAUGUAAUAAUUAGUUUUAUAUUAGUUUGCUAUAAAUACCUCUCGGGAGCAUGUUCUCAGAGAGGAGUUCCUUCUGUAACCAUUUUGGUAAGCAAGUAAAGUCUUUUCUUUCUACUGCCUUACCUUCUCACUUUGUAUUUUCAUUUUAUUUCUAAGUUAUGAAUUCUCUGAGGAGCUUUCCCCAGAGAAUGAGUAACUAAACCUCCAAUUCCUUGGAGCUAAGGUUGCCGGGGAAGGUUCCAAGUGCAAGAAUGCAAAGCUCUGUGGUUUUAGCUAGUAAUGAAGAGGAAGUGAAAUCCUUUAGUGAUUUCAAUGUUUUUAGUUAACUUAAAACACCUUGGAGUCACCUGGGCCAACACUUGGUAAGGCAAGUGAUUUCCAACCGUGGAAAUGCACUAGUUUACCCCUUGCGAGCCUCUGGUAGGUGACUUCAAGGUAGGAUUUUCUGGAAUUACCAACACUUGGUAAGCUUUUGGACUCCUAGGAGACAUCCAUUAGUUAUCUCUUGCGAGUUUGUGAAGGGGAAUCCAAGGUUAAAGAUCACCUUGAAUGGUAAGUGCUCGUGAGAGGCAUGAACCAUUGCAAGUUGUAUCAGUGAGAGAAUUAAAGUGAAAUCUAAUUGAAGGAGUCUCUGUACAUCACCGGUUAGAGAAUUGACUAUAAGUUGAAUCUCUAAUGCGAGGAAAUGAACCAUCUGACCGGAGCUAUGUCUUUUGCAUGAGGAACCACCCCAGUGAACCUAAAUCUCCAAGGAAUGCUUUUCUUCCUAAAUUAUUCCAAACUUCUGUUAAGUUAGUUAGUUUAAGUCUAAACCUUUACCAAUCAAACUUUGUGUUUUAUUUCUUAAGCUAACCGUGAAAUGAAACAAAACCAAUUCACUUGGAAUUGGUAUCCUUGAUUGCUUGCAAAUCAUUCCCAGUGAACGAUCCUUAGAGCCACUAUACUAUAGUAGCUUUGUAUUUGCUACCCUAGUGUAUGGUGUUAUAGGUAUAAAUUUUGUUGAUCACUUCCUCAAUCAAGGAACACCAGCUGAACACAAAUCAGCUGAGACACCAAUUGGGCAUGAGUCAAAUGGCGCCGUUGCCGGGGAAUGAGUGUCAAGAUCAUUGUGAUACCAUUUUUGAGCACUUGUGAUUUUCAUCACAAGUUGGUAAAGUUUCUUUCACUUUACUAAUUUUCAUUCUCUCUUUGUUUAUUUACAAUCUAAGUUUAUCUUUUUAAAAUUUAGUCUAGUUUAAUUUUGCUAUUGUAGCCUUGUUUCUCUUGUUGUCCUCUGUUCUUGUUGUCCUCUGUUUUCAUUUUAGUUGCAGCUGAAUACUAGUUGUGUAUGCCAAAGUGGAUACGAGACAUUGGAGGUAGGCUUAUUAAGUGUGAUACACCUCAGAGAGGAGAAUUGGAAGUAAUCUUGAAUAUCAUGGAGGCUGCACCUGAAGAUCAGCAUAGUCACCAAGGUCGUCAAGACAAUCUCAAUGAAUUCAGAUCAAUGAGGGACCGUAUGCAUCCACCUCGUAUGAGUGCACCAUCAUGUAUAGUGCCCCCUACAGAGCAACUAGUGAUCAGACCAUAUCUUGUUCCACUUCUACCAACUUUCCAUGGGAUGGAAAGUGAGAAUCCGUAUGCACACAUCAAGGAAUUUGAAGAUGUUUGUAAUACAUUCCAAGAGGGAGGAGCUUCAAUUGAUUUGAUGAGGCUUAAGUUAUUUCCUUUUAAUUUAAAGGAUAAGGCCAAAAUUUGGCUUAAUUCUUUAAGGCCAAGGAGUAUCCGCUCUUGGACUGAUUUACAAGCUGAAUUCCUCAAGAAAUUUUUUCCUACUCAUAGAACAAAUGGCUUGAAAAGGCAAAUUUCAAACUUCUCAGCUAAAGAGAAUGAGAAAUUCUAUGAGUGUUGGGAAAGAUACAUGGAAGCUAUAAAUGCUUGUCCUCACCAUGGCUUUGAUACUUGGCUACUGGUGAGUUAUUUUUAUGAUGGUAUGUCCUCCUCAAUGAAGCAACUCCUCGAGAAAAUGUGUGGAGAAGAUUUCAUGAGCAAAAAUCCAGAGGAAGCUAUGGAUUUCUUGAGCUAUGUAGCUGAUGUUUCAAGGGGAUGGGAUGAACCAACUAAAGGAGAAGUGGGAAAGAUGAAGUCUCAGUUGAAUGCUUACAAUGCAAAGGCUGGGAUGUAUACUUUAAAAGAGGAUGAUGACAUGAAAGCAAAGUUGGCAGCUAUGACAAGAAGAUUGGAGGAGCUGGAGCUGAAAAGAAUGCAUGAAGUGCAAGCUGUUGCUGAAGCACCAGUGCAAGUGAAGUUGUGUCCCAAUUGUCAAUCGUUUGAACAUUUGGUAGAGGAAUGCCCUGCAAUUUCAGCUGAAAGGGAAAUGUAUAGAGAUCAAGCAAAUGUUGUUGGACAAUUCAGGCCCAAUAACAAUGCUCCUUAUGGAAAUACCUACAAUUCAAGUUGGAGGAAUCAUCCAAAUUUUUCAUGGAAGGCCAGAGCAACUCAAUACCAACAGCCGGAUCCACCAUCUCAACAAUCUUCAAGUAUUGAACAAAUAAUAGCUAAUCUCAGCAAGGUAGUGGGAGAUUUUGUGGGAAAGCAAGAAGCCACCAAUGCUCGAGUGGAUCAAAGAAUGGACAGAGUGGAUCAAAGAAUGGACAGAAUGGAGAGUAUGUUGAACAAAAGAAUGGAUGGAAUGCAAAAUGAUAUGAAUCAAAAAUUUGAUAACAUCCAAUAUUCAAUUUCAAGGCUUACAAAUUUGAAUACACUGCAAGAAAAGGGAAGAUUUCCUUCUCAACCUAACCAAAAUCCCAAAGGUGUCCAUGAAGUGGAAAGCCAUGAGGGAGAAUCAUCACAGGUGAAAGAUGUGAAAGCUUUGAUCACUCUAAGGAGUGGUAAGAAAAUUGAGCAGCCAACACCCAAGCCACAUGUUGAGAAAGAAGAAGAGAUGAAGAAAGGGAAGGAAAUGGAAGAUAAAGGCAGUGAGAUCAGUGAAGAAAAGAAGGACUCUGAUGCAACAAUGAAAGUAAUUCCAGAGAAGGAGCUUCUGAAGGAAGAAAUGCUGAAGAAAUCAACUUUUCCACCUUUUCCUCAAGCAUUACAGGGGAAAAAGGGGGUUAGAAAUGCAGCUGAAAUCCUAGAAGUAUUGAGGCAAGUGAAAGUUAAUAUUCCACUGCUGGAUAUGAUCAAACAAGUUCCAACGUAUGCAAAAUUCCUAAAGGACUUGUGUACUAUCAAAAGAGGGUUGACUGUAAACAAGAAAGCCUUCUUGACUGAGCAAGUAAGUGCAAUCUUACAGUGUAAGUCUCCUUUGAAGUACAAAGACCCUGGAAGUCCUACCAUUUCAGUCAUGAUUGGAGGAAAGGUAGUGGAGAAAGCCUUGCUAGACUUGGGAGCAAGUGUGAAUUUGCUUCCAUAUUCUGUCUACAAGCAACUGGGACUUGGAGAGUUGAAGCCAACAGCAAUCACUUUGUCUCUGGCAGAUAGAUCAGUGAAAAUUCCAAGAGGGGUAAUUGAGGAUGUAUUGGUUCAAGUAGAUAAUUUCUACUAUCCUGUAGAUUUUGUUGUUCUUGAUACAGAUCCUACUGUAAAGGAAGCUAAUUUAGUUCCUAUCAUCCUUGGAAGGCCAUUUCUUGCAACUUCAAAUGCAAUCAUCAACUGUAGAAAUGGGCUUAUGCAACUCACUUUUGGUAACAUGACACUGGAUCUAAAUAUUUUCUAUAUGUCUAAAAAGCAAAUCACUCCAGAAGAAGAAGAGGGUCCAGAAGAGCUAUGUAUUAUUGAUACUUUGGUGGAGGAGCACUGCAAUCAACAUAUGCAAGAUAAGUUGAAUGAAAGUUUUGUGGAUAUUGAGGAAGGUUUUUCUGAAUCUCCUAAUGGGCUUGCUACUCUACAAAGUUGGAGAAAGAUAGAAGGAAUUCUACCUUUGUUCAAUGAAGAAGAGGAGGCAGCUGUUGAAAAAGAAAUUCCAAAACUCAAUCUGAAGCCUUUACCUAUGGAGCUGAAAUAUACAUAUCUUGAAGAAAAUAAUCAAUGUCCUGUCGUAAUAUCUUCAUCUCAAACCAAGUCUCAAGUGAAGGAUGCAAGCUUCAAAUGGGAUCCGGGCAAACUGAAUCAGGAAGGGCAAAAAGUUUUGAUGUAUGACACAAGACUCCAUAUCUUUCCUGGGAAGCUCAAGUCAAGGUGGAUUGGUCCAUUUGUUAUUCACCGAGUAUAUUCCAAUGGAGUGGUGGACUUAUUGAAUUCCAAUGGCAAGGACAGCUUUAGAGUCAAUGGAUAUCGUCUUAAGCCGUUCAUGGAGUCAUUCAAAUCAGAAAAGGAGGCAAUCAACCUCCUUGAACCUCAAAAAGCCUAAGUGAAAUGGGUUUGCUGGACGUGGUUUUACCACAGUCCAAAAAUUUUUGUAAAUUUUGUAAAUUUUCAAGUUGUUUCCAUGCUUUUAAUCUUAGUUUUUGAUUUUAAAUCAUGUUUUUAGGUGUGUUUUAAUCGUUUUAUAUGAUCCCAGGCGGAAGAAAUUUCAAGGGGAUUGAAAAGAAAAAAAUCGGGUCGAAAUUGGAGCCGAAACAGAGCAAAAACAGGGGAAAAACAGAGCUCUGCGAAAUUUCGCAGGGUGAAGGAAACUUCUGCGAAAUUGGCAUUUUGCUGCCAAACCAUUCCGCAGCACUGUAGAAGCCUCUGCGAGUGUAUUUCGCAAUUGCGAAAGUGGAUUUGGCACACGAGUGCCACUUCGCAGCACAGUGACAUCAAUUUCGCAGCUGCGAAACUCACUGCGAAGUUGCUGCGAAAAUGGCAAGUUGCUGCGAAAUUGGCGUUUUGUUGCGAAACGUAAUCUGACCCCUGGGCUUCCGUUUUUCCUAUUUAUACCUGUCAAAAGUGCUGCGAAAAAGGUUUCAAAAAUUAGAGCACCAUUCUCGCAGCCCUUUCAUCUUCUUCGCCAAGCCACGCCGUCCGUUUCUCCGGUCGUCUUCUCCGUUUAGCAGCGCCGGCCAAAGAUCGAUAGCCCAAAAAUGGCACGAACGCGAGGGGCAAAGUCUUCAUCCCCUUCGAACCGCAAAAGGAGUCUGCGAAAGGAGCCAAGUUCAGGCUCUGUUCCAGAACCUGCUCCAAAGCCUUCGCCGUCGAGACCACAACCUUCUCCAGUGAAGCCGGCGCCACCAAAGCCGCCGGCAAGGCGAUAUUUAACCAGGUCAGGUGGUCAGCCAUUGAAGAAGAAAGCCAGAGUUGAGAGCUCUGAACCAAUCGAUUUGACUGAGCAAUCCCCUGAGAAAUCACCAAAUCCUUCACCGGUACAAAUUCCAGUGCCAUCACCGGUUCCCUCGCCAAUUCCCUCACCAGAAGCAACUCCAAUUCCAUCGCCGGUACCAUCUCCGGCACCCCAAGAAAAAGCUCAGGAGCCUCAAGCGCCAAUUCCAGAGCCCCAAAUUGCAGCUGAAGCACCUCUGGAAGAAGUGAUCCGAAGGCCAAUGCUGCCUCAGCCCCCAAUCGAAGGAAACCUGGAUUGCCGAACUCGGGCAUUCCAUUCUGAGCUUUGCUUCGAUUUAACAGCAUUCAGAGUGAGGCCAGAGCUUGCCCAAUCCUUCCAACUGCUGAGGAGAUAUCAUAUGGAGCAUCUGCUAGCUCCAAGGGAUUUUUUCUAUCCCCGGGUAGUCACGGAUUUCUACCAAACCAUGACAACCAAAGAAGUAAGAAAUCCAACUCUGAUUCAUUUCAUAAUUGAUGGAAGGCAUGGUAUUUUGGGAGCAAGACAUAUUGCUGAAGCCCUGCAAAUUCCUUUUGAGCCAACUCAAUUCGACAAUUUUAAAGCUUGGACAAAUCCUACUGAGUUAGAGAUGGUUAGCACACUAACCAGAGGAGCUGCAAAUCGAUCGCAUUUGUUGAGGGGGGAGCUACCUCCAGUUAUGUUUUUGAUUGAUGCCUUUUUGAGGCAUAAUAUCUAUCCCCUGCAGCAUUGGACCCAAAGAAGGGGAAUUCUCCUAGAAGCCUUGUACAAAAUGUCUGAAGGAUUCUUCUUUGGGCCUCAUCAUCUGAUCAUGGCAGCCCUUCUAUACUUUGAGGAGAAGGUUCACAAGAAGAAGCUUCAAAGAGCAGAUUGCAUUCCACUCCUCUUCCCAAGGCUGCUAUGCCAAGUUUUGGAGCAUCUCGGAUACCCCUCUGAGCCUCAGCAGGAAAGAAAGAGAAUAUGCCGUGAGCCUUUUACCCUUGAUAAAUGGAAUAAUAUGACGGCCUACAAAAUUGAUCAGCCUGGGCAGCCUCAGCCAGCAGCAAGGAGAGUCUCCCCAAGACAUAUACCUGAAGGUAUAACACUUGCUACUCCUGCCAUCCCUCGAGCUCCACCAGCUGCACCUGCUCCAUCACAGCCAUCCACAUCAGCUGAGCCGAGGAUGGCCAUCCCUAUAUCCGAAUAUCGAGAGCUGUGCCGUGCAUUGGAGACUCUUACAGCUUCUCAGAGCAAUCUUGCUCAGGAGUUGGCAGCCAUUAAAGCAUGCCAGGAGCAGAUGUUAGCCUCUCAGACUCAACAAGCUGCCAUCCUAAGGCAGCUUCAAGUCCAUUUCGAUCUGCCACAAGCUGUAGAGCCCUCUAUUCCUACUCCACCAGAGCCACACUCUCAGCCUUCAGAGUCUCAUCCUCCAGAACCCGAAGCACCAGCUGAUCCACCUACUGAGGAGGCAGAUCCUUCUGCCUAGCACCAUCACCCCCCUCAUCAGACAUUAUAUAUAUAUUUGCUGUUUAUGUUUUUAUGCAUGUUUGUUUUGUUUUAGUUGAAAAGAAAUCCCAGUAUUUUGGUACUAUAUAUGGGAUUCCUUGUGUUACUUGUCUUUAGUAUUGUAAUCACAUGAACUCAAAGUAAUACAAGUUGACUAUUUCUUGUUAAAAGUUAGCAUUAAAGUUUCCUUAUUUCCUUUUCUCACAUAUUCUAUUCUUUUUGAAACAUGUGGUUUUCCCCAAUCAAUAUUCGAAUUUGAUAUCAGCAUGGAGGUACCACUUCCUCCCUUUUAUUACAGUCACUCAAAUCACAUUGAGGACAAUGCUCAGUUCGGUUGGGGGGUAUGAGGAAGGAAGUAUUCUAAACCUUUUUGGUAUUGCAAUUAUAUUGGUUAAUUAGUUGUAGAUUUUACUUUUUACUAGUGUUACUCUAUUCUCCAUGAAUUUUGAGGAAAAAUUUUCAAAUUAAACCAAGAGAAAUUGAACUGUUGUUUUUCACUUGACUUAGAGUAUGGAUUAUGCUUACUAAAGUGGUUCAAUUGUUGAAACUUCUACUGAAAUUGAAUUGAGUUCUUCCACUUUAAGCUAUCCACACACUGUGCACAUUAGUUUCCGAUUAUAAGAUGAAAAGCUAUUUCCCUCUUGACUUAGUAUAUUUUUGGGACUUGGUAUAUUUGACCUCAUUUGAUAAAAAUUGAAACACCCUGCAAAAGGCCAAUGAGCCUUUGAAAUAAAGAAAGUUGUUUGCUUGCCUUGAAACCCGAGCAAGGUCUGAGGGGUAUAUGGUGAAAAUCUUUAAAGCCUGGUGCCCUAAGCCUUAAUUGGUUGGGAGUCACCGACCUCAAUGCUCGUUACAAGGGUGAAUAGGUAGAGUUAGCAUAUGGUAGAUGCUUGGGUAUUAGAAAUUCAUUCUUAAAAGUCCGGGGAAAAAUCCGAGGAGUUAGUGGUUGAAAGAUCCUUAAAACUUGGUGCCCUAAACCUUAAUUGGUUGGGAGUCAUCGAUGGACCCCCAUUACAUGGACAAGUCAGAAAGAGUACCCCAUAAAGCUACCUUAAAAAAAAAAAAAAAAAAAAAAAAAAAAAAAAAGAUGAAAGUGUGUUCUUUUCUUAUUGAUUUUGGUCAGUUUGCUAAAGUGUUGAAAAGAGAUAGGUUGGGGGGUGAGAUUAGUAGCAUAUUAUUCUCGGAACCUAAGGAACCAAUACACAUAGAUUUUUGUGGAAGAUUGAAGUUUAGUUCUUAGAAAAUGAAAUGAUUUUAAAACUUCAGUUUGCAUAAUGCACUCCCUUGAUUGACAGUGUUUAGCAUAGGUGUUAUGACUCUUGUUGAGAUUUGGGUUUGUAUUUCUUUAAUGAUUCAUGUGAGAAAUAGAUCAUCAUGCCACUUGAGAAUUAUUUUCCUUUUAGCAUGAUGUUGUAAAUUUUAGAUUAGUUUGCUAUUUAUUUUUUAUUUUCUCUCCUAUAUUGCUAAGGGACUAGCAAUAUGUCGGUUGGGGGGAGUGAUUACUACUCAAAAAGUGCUAUUUGAUAGCCUUUAAUUAAUCCUUUUUAACACUUUUGAGUAGUAGUUUAGGCCUUUUAACUCAAUUGGCAUGUUAAGGAUCCUUUAAAGCAAUUUUGAUCACUUUGUGCAAGUUUUGGUGUUUUUGUUAGUAUUUUGAUCACCAAAGCAAGUCAAGAAUGAGGAGAACUAUGAGGAAUCAUGGGCAAAGCUUAGAAUUCAAUUGCCAAGAGUGAAUCCGGAUUGCAAGGAGAAAAAGCAAAGAGAAUCUGUCAUGAAGCCUAUUCUUGAUGACAGUCGUAGCAGCCACUUUUGGAGCACUUUCUGAAGUCCAAAUGAUGCAAGCUAUAUACCAUUUCAAAGCUCAGGAAGUCAACAAUCCAAUGCUUCAAACGGUGCGCGAUUCGGAGUUGAAACGAAGAAGUUGCAGCCAUUACAAGCCAGUCACUCUAAAGUGUUGCGGAAUCAGCCUUUUGUUGCGAGAAUUUCGCAGCACUUUUGUACAGUAAGGUGUUUCUCCUUCUGACGAUGCACGAACCAUGCCGCGAGAGGGAAGCUAGGAACUUCAAGAUGGAAGCCAACUUUGCAGCCUGGUGAAGAUAGCUUGGUCUUGCGAAAUAAUUUCGCAGCCCUCUUGGGUGUCUGCGAAAUUUCGCAGGCACCACUUUUUUCCUGCGAAAUGGCUCCGGAAGCCUCCCGAAGCUUGCUACCGACAUUGGGAGAUAUUUUCCAUUAGAUUUUUGUUGUCUAAAUUCCAAAAUACUCCUUGUAAACCACCAAUUACAUGAUUCCUUAGUUUUUAAGUUAGUAAAAAGACCAAAUAUCUAUGUAAUAAUUAGUUUUAUAUUAGUUUGCUAUAAAUACCUCUCGGGAGCAUGUUCUCAGAGAGGAGUUCCUUCUGUAACCAUUUUGGUAAGCAAGUAAAGUCUUUUCUUUCUACUGCCUUACCUUCUCACUUUGUAUUUUCAUUUUAUUUCUAAGUUAUGAAUUCUCUGAGGAGCUUUCCCCAGAGAAUGAGUAACUAAACCUCCAAUUCCUUGGAGCUAAGGUUGCCGGGGAAGGUUCCAAGUGCAAGAAUGCAAAGCUCUGUGGUUUUAGCUAGUAAUGAAGAGGAAGUGAAAUCCUUUAGUGAUUUCAAUGUUUUUAGUUAACUUAAAACACCUUGGAGUCACCUGGGCCAACACUUGGUAAGGCAAGUGAUUUCCAACCGUGGAAAUGCACUAGUUUACCCCUUGCGAGCCUCUGGUAGGUGACUUCAAGGUAGGAUUUUCUGGAAUUACCAACACUUGGUAAGCUUUUGGACUCCUAGGAGACAUCCAUUAGUUAUCUCUUGCGAGUUUGUGAAGGGGAAUCCAAGGUUAAAGAUCACCUUGAAUGGUAAGUGCUCGUGAGAGGCAUGAACCAUUGCAAGUUGUAUCAGUGAGAGAAUUAAAGUGAAAUCUAAUUGAAGGAGUCUCUGUACAUCACCGGUUAGAGAAUUGACUAUAAGUUGAAUCUCUAAUGCGAGGAAAUGAACCAUCUGACCGGAGCUAUGUCUUUUGCAUGAGGAACCACCCCAGUGAACCUAAAUCUCCAAGGAAUGCUUUUCUUCCUAAAUUAUUCCAAACUUCUGUUAAGUUAGUUAGUUUAAGUCUAAACCUUUACCAAUCAAACUUUGUGUUUUAUUCCUUAAGCUAACCGUGAAAUGAAACAAAACCAAUUCACUUGGAAUUGGUAUCCUUGAUUGCUUGCAAAUCAUUCCCAGUGAACGAUCCUUAGAGCCACUAUACUAUAGUAGCUUUGUAUUUGCUACCCUAGUGUAUGGUGUUAUAGGUAUAAAUUUUGUUGAUCACUUCCUCAAUCAAGGAACACCAGCUGAACACAAAUCAGCUGAGACACCAAUUGGGCAUGAGUCAGUGCGUUAGAGGAUCAAGAAGAAGAAAAAGAAGGAACUGUUGGAAUUAGUAUGAGUGUGAAGAGAAAAGUAUAUAAAUAAGGGGAAGUAAAAGCAAAGUUCAAAAAGCUAUAUUUUUUUAUUGUUGGUGUAUGGUUGCAUGAUUAUCCCUAUAAAUAAUAGGAGUUUUUUGGUAUUCUACUAGUAGUUGAAGCAUAAUUUCAUAAAUUAAUAUUUAGAGCGGGGUGGGGUGAGUUGUGACAAAAUUCAUACCCGUCCCAAACCUUGGUUCAGAUUUUUAAAAUAUUCUCAAACUUAUCAUAUACCCAACUUUUAUAUUUCAUACUUGUCCUAAUAGAGGCACGUUAGGCCGGGUUACUUGAGUAACCUACAUAAUUGUCAUCCCUAGUUGAAAUACACUUUUUGGCAGUGGCCACCAACUGAGCUAGAAGCUUGAUUGAUUGACCUACAAGAUUAGUUCUCAUCAUUUUAAAAAAAGUUCUGGCUUUGGUUGUGAGUGCAAUUGAAUCUAAACUGGCAUUUGCUUAAUGCAUCUACUUCAAUCCUAAACUUCUUACUUCUUAAGCCUCAAUUGUUGUUAGGAUUUUGGAAAACCCAUUUCCUUAAAUUGUAAAUUUAAGAUAAAAUAAAAUAAAAGUGAGACAUUUCUUGAUUGAAUAUUGUUAAAGGUCCCUUGGCAUUAAGACUUGGUUGAAGCCUUGGAAGAUUAGUGGAACUCUCAACAUGUGUUUGAAUCUUGAGGAGAGUGGAUGUAAGCCAAAAUUUUGUCAAACCAUUAUACAAAUUGAGUUUGAAUCCUCAUUUCUUGAUUUCUUAUUUAUUUGCUUUUUCUUAUUAUUACUUGAAUUGUCAUUUGCAUUCAUUAAUGUUAAAAUUGGUUAUAAUUAACCAACACUAAUUCUCUUUCCCCUUCCCUUUCUUGGGUGUAAACCUAGGUUGGAUUAACUAGAUAAAUCUAUUAAGAUGGUAAAAGAAUAAUUAUUCUUAACAUACAUAAGAUCAUCUUCAAUCAAAUGACUCAUUGGCUAAUAUGUUGAAUUUGCUUAUUACUUGCAACUCAAAAUUGUGUUCUAGUUGUGUCAAGUCCCCAGUGUAUGGACAUUAAAUUUGUAGUACGUGAUGAGUAAUUAGAUGGUCCAACUCCAAGAAAGUGAUUGAAAAGUAGUUCAAGAAAGGUGCAAAAGGGAAUUGUUUUGGUAUUUUCGUUUUUAUUCUUGAAGGUGGCAGAGCUAAAAUUUGAGAAAUCAAGCAAAACAUACUGAAAUUACAUUGAAAGAAAGAAGAUGGGAGUUAAUGUCUUGCAGUACAUGAUAAGGACUUCAUGCAUGUAGUGUGACCCAUGUCUUGGACUGAUGCCAACUCACGGUUACACUUAUACCCUUGGUUCUCUCUUUACUACCUUGGCUAACCUAGAUCAGGCUAUGAGAUAGGCUCCUCACCACACCAUUACUUGCCCAUUAAUUAGAGACAUUUUCAAGCAAUGAGGUAACAUGGUGACACCAAGAGGGUCUAUUCCUCGCCCGGAACAAGUCUAGACUUGGUCUCAAAAAAAUGGAGAAAAAUGAGGUGUCGUUAUGUAGAAAUACAACAACCAUGCCUUCCUCAUUACUUAGAUUCAGAAUGUGAAGGUGAAAUUGAGAAACAGAAACUCUUGAAACCAAAAUGAAAAUUGAUACUUUUACGAAGAAUUACAACAACAUUAGAGGAAGACUACAUUCUUCCUCUUUAUUCCUACAUUUCUACACUACUUCUACUCCACUCCAUAUUUCUACAUACAUCUUUAAUCAGUCUUCCCUCCUUUAUAUAGAGCCAUCUUCACACAAAUUUCGCAAGGUAGAAAAGAGGAAUGAAACUUGGAGCAAGGUUCGACUACUGGUUGUAGCUUGUCAAGGCUGGAAGUGAACUUUUCUUGGCUUUCUGGGCAUGGGUAGUAACUUGUGGGUUCCUGUUUGGCAUAAAAAUGGCUAGAACAUGUGGCACUAUCUUGUUGGAUGAUGUGUCAAGCAUGUGGCAGCCAUCUAGUGGCGAUUAUGUCAAUUUUGGGAUGGAGAGUUGGCAUCCAAUUGCAAAGAAAUAUGACGUCUACCAACAUGCAAUGUAAACCUAUGUAGAUCAUAUGAAGAUAGAGAGGAAAAAUAUAGAAAUGGAUAUAUACCUAGAACUAGCUUUUUAUUAAAUGAAACGGAGAGACAACAAUGAAGGAAAAUAAAAUUUUUUGGCUUAUAUCAAAGAGUUCACAUUGUGUUACCCUAGGUUUUCUUAAAACUUACUUUUAUGAUAACAAAAAAGAAAAAACCAUUAUUGUUUAAUCCUUUGUUUUAAACGCAUGUAAGGUGUAAUUAAGUUAGUUCAAUGCAUUAAUUUAAGAAACUUGACCUAUCAAAAGUACAAAAUUAGAUGAAAUCCAUUUCAAUGGUUAAAAUGAUCAAAAUCAAACUUUUUCUAAGUAUUUUUUAAAAGCAUCAAUAGUGAAAGACAAUUUUAUAUUUAGUCGGAGUUUGGACAAAACUGAAAAACACACAAAAUCCAAGCGACCAUCUCUAGCUUGGAUGGUCGCUUGAUCCCACCUAGAGAUGUGCAUGAGUAAAAGGAUUUGAAAAUGGAAAUUGACUAUGUAGUCGAUCAAUUAACUUUGCAACAUCAUAUGCAAUCCUAAUUGCUAGUCAUCUAAUCAAUUAGGUAGUCAAUCAACAGGCCAAAAAUAUGUUUAUAAUGACUAUUUUGUACAAAAACCACCUGUAUAGUUAAAUAUAAUGCAUUUCAUUUAUAAAUCUUCUAAUUCUUGAAUAACGAUCCUAUCAUCCUUUGAAAGUUUUUAUUACACUUUUUUUACUUUUGUUCUAAAACUUACACAUCACCCUUAAUUGUACCAUGAGAACCUAGCUAUUUUUUAUUUUUUUUUUUGUAAUUCAUCAAAGUUAGCUUUUGUAUUCAUUGUUGUAUUAUUUUUAGUAUAACUUAGAAAGCUAGUGUUUUCAAGUGAGUAAAAUUAACUUGUAAAUAUUGUAAAGAUUCAUCGACAUGUAUCUUAAACUAAGUGUACAAGUUAAAACAUUUGCUAGUAGAUUUUCUCAAAAUUUAGAAUAGAGCUUGAGACUAUUGAAAUAGGUGGGGUUGCACCAAACCACAUCACAUCGUUGUUUGCACCUUUUUUCACUCUCUUUUACUUAGUUGCUCUAUAUUUGUUGUCUAGUAAUAUCCUAUAGGCUUGAUGGGUUAGGGAGCAUCCCUUUGUGAAAAAAUUUUAUUCAAUCCUUAGUUGUAUCACGCAUAUAUAAAAUGCCUCAUUGUUUUAAUGGUAUUCAGUCGUGGCAUCACAGAUAUGGGCAUCUAAAUUUUAAAAGUUUGAAACUUUUAUCUAAAGAAAAUAUGGUGCUUUGCCUUUUUGUAAAGCAUGUUGAUGAAAUCCAUGAGAAUUGUGUACUUGGGAAGCAACACCGAGAUGACUUUUUUUUUUUUUUUAUAAUAUUGUUUGUCCAAAUUCCCUACAAAUUAGGCCACCAGAUGUUCAUAAUUCUCCCUUCUUGAAUUUGAAAACUCGGACAAUUGGACAAUGCGACACCUAAGUCCGGUUUCUAAAUGCUAAAGUGAAAGGGUAGGUAUGGACCAUUGAAAUGUGAUCACAACUUUUCUCUGUAGCCAUGUUGUCUCUUUUUUCUUUUGCAUGAUUUUCUUACCUUAACAGAAUCAUAGACUUGUUUAGUCUCUAAAUGGGAUUAAUUUCAUCCAGCUUUAAGCUACUAUAUUAUAUCUAGGUGGAGGACUUUUAAGAGUGCAACCGACAUAGAGCACAUGGAAGUGGGUAUAUGGGACAUGAAAUUUCUUCUUAUAAAGAUUGCAUGAUUUUUAUAUUAGAGUUGUUGAGGCGCUAUGUAUUUAGCUUGUUUUGCAGUUAAAUUAAUUGGAUAAGUAGACAUUGGCGUUUCUAAAUCUACUGUGAAGUGCUUCAUGUACGUGUGAAGUAUUAGAAAUUUCUUUCUUGGCAACUUGUUUUUCUUUGCGGUCUACUGAUAGGUUUGACUAAAAUUAUAUUCCCUGUCAUGCUAAUUAAUUUUCACGUGCAUGCUCAAAAGAAAAGUAUGACCUUAGUGCACCAAAAUCACUUUGAUUAAUUUGUGAUAGGUUUUUGUGCAUCAUGACAUUAGCCUUAUUCAUUUAGAUAAUGUUUAGUUUUUAGAAAGUAUUAAGAAAAGGAAAAUAAAUAUUAAGAAAAAUAUUCUUAUAUUUGAUUGUAUUAUGAAAAAUAUCAUAAAAAAAUCAAAUAUAAUUUAAAUUAAUUAAUAAUUUAUACAUUUUCAAAUUAUUUAAUCUUUAUAUUGAAGAUAUAAUAUAAAUGAAAUGAGUUUUAAGUAUUAUAUAAAAGUGAUUUAUUGAUCUUACAUAUAUAUAUUUCUUUUUUUUUUCCUUCUAUUUUUUCUCUUUAUUUUAUUUUCCUUAUGUUUUCCUCAACAUUUUCCGGAACCAAACAUAGCCUUAGGAAAUCCACAAUUACCUUCAACUGAGUAGAUUCUGUUGUUUUAGCAAUGUUAGGCUGCUAACUUGUGUUGGUACGAACCUAUUAAGCCUAAAGAUGUAAUUAGUUAGGAUAUUCUUUUCCCUCUAGUCUUGUAGCUCCACGUGUACAGUUGGUUAGGACCUCAUUGUAUAUAAUGCUUGCCCUGUUAUUGUAGAAGACAACAAAGAUAAAUAAUAUUAACAUUUUUCCUCUCAUCUCUCUCUGUUUCCCUCUGUUUUCAUCUCCUCUCUCAUCUUGGUAUCAGAGCCUCCAUGGCUUCUUUCAAAGAAACCUCCGAAUCACCUUCUGCUAGCAUUGUUAAUGUGCAAAACCCAUUAUCUCAAUCAAACAACCUUCCUUCACCAGUAGCCACACCCUCUUUUUCUUUCUCGUCUAUGAAUCAACCUCUCACAGUGAAGCUGGAUAAUGGGAACUACCUCAUAUGGAAGAAUUAGCUUCUAAAUGUCAUCAUUGCUAACGGACUCGAUGAUUUCAUUGACGGAUCUCGACCCUGCCCUCCUCGAUUUCUCGAUCUGCAACAACAAACCCUCAAUCCAGAGUACUCAGCUUGGCAGAGAUACAAUCGACUUCUGAUGAGUUGGCUGUACGCAUCCUUGUCCAAAGAUAUAAUGGCUCAGAUUGUUGGGUAUUCAACAGCUAUGGAGAUUUGGAAUGCCCUUAAUCAGAUUUACUCUGCCUCUUCUAUGGCGCGGUUUACUGAGCUUCGCACCAAGCUUCAAACGCUCAAGAAAGAUGGACUCUCAGUUGGUGAAUAUAUUCAAAGGCUCAAAUCCAUUUGCAAUAGUCUUGCAGCAAUAGGAGAACCAGUUUCUGAGAAAGACCAUCUUAUCUAUUUGUUCAAUGGAUUAGAUUGUGAGUAUUAUUCUUUUGUUACCUCCAUUCAAAAUCGAUCUGACCAACCAACUAUUGACAAAAUCCAUAGCCUAUUGCUUAGCUAUGACUUCCGGCUUGAACAACAAAACUCUGUUUCUCUCCAUUCUGCCCAAGUCCAUAUGGCUCAUCUGAACAAGAAACCUUAUAAAUCAACUCCUCAACCUACAUUCAAUCAUAUUCACAUUCAACCUAGAUACUCUUCUCCACCUUUUAAGCCAACCACUAGUCAAUAUCAACCCAACAUUUUGGGCAAACCACAACCACAACCAUGACAGCCUCAACCUCAAUGGAAACCACAUUUUUCAAUCUAAAAUCAAAAGCCUCAGCGCCAAAUUUGUGGUAAAUUUGGACACACUGCUCUUAUUUGCUUCCAUCACACAAAUUUGAACUAUUCACCCCAACCUUCUCCUAAAUCUUUCAAUACUGUUCUCACCACAAAUUCCCAGCUCCCUAAUCCUCCAAAAUUUUCUUACCCUACAAUGGCUCAUCCUGCUGCUACGCAUAACACGGUUCCCGAUACAAAUUGGUACAUGGACUCAGGUGCUACACAUCACUUUACUCUGGACAUCAACGUGCUUGACACUGUGACACCAUUUAGUGGUUCAGAACAGGUGACAGUUGGGAAUGGUAAGCAACUCUGUAUCUCACAUCUUGGUACUGCAAAACUACCAUCUUCGUAUUCUCCUCCUGUUCUACAUCAGGUAUAUCACACUCCAAAAAUUUCAAAUAAUCUUAUUAGUGUUAAAAAAUUGUGUUCUGAUAAUAAAGUUUUUGUUGAAUUUUAUGCCACUCAUUUUCUUGUCAAGGAUCAGGUUUCGAAGAGAGUUCUCCUUUAGGGUCAACUUGAUAAUGGCUUAUACAAAGUUCAGUCGUCAUGCUCUCCUUCUGCUGUUUCCUUUCCUCCUCAAGUUUUCAUAGCCAACAUCAAGUAUCCAAAUCUGUGGCACAAGAGACUAGGCCACCCAGCUUUAUCUGUUGUUAAUCAAAUCUUGGAUUCUUGUAACAUUGCUCGAACACAGAAAAUUUGUUUUAAUUUUUUAAAUUCUUGUCAAUUAGCAAAGAGCCACAGGCUUCCUUUUUCUCUGUCUCCAUCCAUUGCAGAAAAACCUUUUGAGUUAAUUCAUACAGACCUAUGGGGUCUUUCGCUCGUUCGCUCUAUUUCUGGUGCUCUUUAUUUUUUACUUUUCAUUGAUGAUCAUACUCGUUUUACUUGGUUUUAUUUGCUCAAAACAAAAGAUGAAGCAUAUCCUACUUUUCUCAAGUUUCAAGCUCUCAUUGAAAAUCAAUUUAAUACCAAGAUUAAGGCUGUCCAAUCUGAUUGGGGAGGUGAGUUUCGAUCUCUCUCCAUACCGUUUUCAAAUAUGGGCAUUGUCUAUUGUUUAUCGUGUCCAUACACCUCACAACAGAAUGGGCGAGUUGAGCGAAAAAAUCGCCAUGCGAUUGUCCUUUCUUGCUUGCUCUAUGCCCUUAUCUUAUUGGCCUUAUGCCUUUCAAACUGCCACUUACCUUAUUAAUCGUCUCUCUACCCCUGUGCUGCAUCAUCAAUCCUCUUACUUCGCACUCUAUCACAAACUCCCAACUUAUACUCAUCUUAAGGUCUUUGGUUCCUCUUGUUUUCCGUAUUUGCACCCUUAUAAUACCCAUAAACUCCAAUACAGGUCACUAGAGUGUGCUUUUCUUGGUUACAGUUCACACCACAAAGGUUAUCUAUGUCUUGACAUUCAUUCUAGCAGGGUGUAUAUUUCUCGCCAUGUGAUUUUUAAUGAAGAUUCUUUUCCAUUCAAGAAUUUGAAAUCUUCUCUCUCUCAGUCUAUUUCUUCUUCCUCUUCUUUAUAAGUUCCUCUGUUCAUUCUCUUGCCUCCCCUUUCCCCAUCUCCUCUUAUUUCUUCAUCUAUACCUCAUUCUUUUCCCUCUUCUUCUUCUACCUCUAGUACUUGUUCCCCUCUCGUUGCUCCUACCUCUCUUCCUUCCUCUUCACACUCUGUGUCUCCAUCUAUUCCACCUCCUUCUCCACCUUCUCCGAGUGUGGACCUGCUUGCACCUUGUGUGAAUACAAAUUUACAUACUUCUUCUCGCACUCACAAUAUUCAUCCUAUGGUGACUAGAUCUAAGGUUUGUAUCUAUAAACCUAAGUUGUUGUUGAGUGUCUCCAUAGGUUCUCUCACUAAGCCUACUUCCUUUCUUCAAGCUAUUAAAGAUCCUUCAUGGAAGCAAUCCAUGGAAUUCGAGUUUGCUACCCUUCAACACAACAAGACCUGGCAUUUGGUUCCUUCACCUUCCUCAGGCGAAGUAAUCGGUUGUAAAUGGGUCUAUAAGCUAAAGCUUCAGCCUGAUGGCUAAAUUGAGAGAUACAGCCUGCUUAGUAGCUAAGGGUAUCAUCAAAUUGAAGUAUGGACUACUUCGAAACAUUCAGCCUGAUNNNNNNNNNNNNNNNNNNNNNNNNNNNNNNNNNNNNNNNNNNNNNNNNNNNNNNNNNNNNNNNNNNNNNNNNNNNNNNNNNNNNNNNNNNNNNNNNNNNNAGCUUCAGCCUGAUGGCUAAAUUGAGAGAUACAAGGCCUGCUUAGUAGCUAAGGGUUAUCAUCAAAUUGAAGGUAUUGACUACUUCGAAACAUUCAGCCUGAUUGUCAAGCUUUCUACUAUCUGUAUUGUGCUCAGUCUUACUUUUUCCCAGAAUUGGUGUAUUAGACAGCUGGAUGUUCAUAAUGCCUUCUUACAUGGUGACUUAGCUAAAGACGUUUUCAUGGAACAACUGCCUGGAUUUGUUGAUCCUCUCUAUCCUACUCAUGUCUGCAAGUUGGAUAAGUCUCUCUACUGUCUUAAAUAGUCACCUCGGGCUUGGUAUACUAAGCUGAGUACUUCUCGCUACACUUGGGAUUUGUUACUUCUAAGAAUGACUCUUCCUUAUUUAUUUGUCAUUCGUCUCAUGGGUUACUUCUUGUUCUUGUCUAUGUGGAUGAUAUAAUCGUCAUUGGGAGCCACUCUCCUCAGGUUACUCACCUUAUCCAACAGUUGCAUCAUUAGCUUUCUUUAAAGGAUCUUGGUCCUUUACAUUAUUUUCUGGGCUUGGAGGUUCAUCACACCCCUACUGGUAUUCACCUCAGCCAAGCAAAGUAUAUCACUGAUCUCCUUACCCGGGCGGCUAUGUUGGAUGCCAAGCCAUGUCCCACUCCUAUGUCCUCCAACACAUAUCUCUCUUUUCAUGAUGGAGUGGCUCUUGAAAAUGGUUCAGAUUAUCGAAGUUUUGUUGGUGCCCUUUAGUAUUGUACCAUGACACGCCCAGAUAUAGCUUUUGCAAUAAAUAAAGUGUGUCAAUUCAUGCACCAUCCCUCUAAUGUUCACUGGCAGGCUAUAAAACGUAUUCUCCGGUACUUAAAGGGCACAUCUCAUUUUGGUCUCUUCCUACAGCCUUCCUAUGACUUCAACAUCACUUGCUAUACAAAUGCCGACUGGGCUUCCUGUCCUGAUGACAAGUGUAGCACCAGUGGCUACUGCCUCUUUCUUGCCUCUAAUCUGGUUUCUUGGUCAUCUUCCAAACAAAAAGUGGUCUCCCGCUCCAGCGCCGAAUCAGAGUACCGAGGGGUAGCAAAUGGGGCUGCUGAAAUUGCUUGGACUGAAUCUCUUCUUUGUGAACUUUCCAUUACUCCCCCUCCCCUCAUUCUCUGUGACAAUAUCAGUGCCACGUACUUAGCUGCCAAUCCUAUUUUGCAUGCCCGCACCAAACAUGUGGAAAUCGACUAUCACUUUGUCACGGAACGUGUUCUUCAAUGCUCUCUUUUUGUCCAGUUUACACCUUCUGAUGAUCAACUUGCUGAUUGCAUGACCAAGCCUCUCUCCACCCAACGUUUCAUCACUCUACGCUCCAAGCUCACUGUUCUCACUAGACCAAUGAGCUUGAGGGGGGAUGUUAAGCCUAAAGAUGUAAUUAGUUAGGAUAUUCUUUUCCCUCUAGUCUUGUAGCUCCACGUGUACAGUUGGUUAGGACCUCAUUGUAUAUAAUGCCUGCCCUGUUAUUGUAGAAGACAACAGAGAUAAAUAAUAUUAACAUUUUUCCUCUCAUCUCUCUCUCUGUUUCCCUCUGUUUUCAUCUCCUCUCUCAUCUGAACCAAAUGAUCCAUGUUAACCUUGGCUUGGUUUGAUUUGGCUCUAUCUUAGAGAGCUCAAGGAUCACGUCAACUCUGGUUUCUACUAUUCAGGUCCAUUCCCAUAUGAACUGGUUCAAAUUUGAGAAAAUGGUAACAGACCUUUAGUGAUGUUGGUUUGGAGCCAGUUGCCAAACCCGCCCUGAGCUUUACCACUAAUGUCAAGGGAGAAAGCCAUUUGAACAAAAACAAUAGCUUCAAGGGACUGAAUCGUGGAUGAAAUCUGAUCCACAUUUCUUCUCAUUUUGGAAACAAAUGAGAACUUAACUAAGAAGAUUCUACGGCCUCAUAGUGCUUUUCCUGAUCUAAGGUUGGUUCGUUUCCCAAACUGUGAGAUGCACGUGCCAGACUUCAGAACUCUCACGCUCAGGAGUGUAUCCACGUGGUGGACAUAAGAUGGUGGCUUAAGAUCUGGUGUCGGUGGCUUUACUUUACUAGGAGAGUAGUGUGUCUUCAUCUCAUUCACUGCCGGAGGGUGGCGUAAGCAGUGACGCUAAGGUGGGGCACAGUCAAUAUCAUUUGCAUUUGACCAUUAUAGUUUUCUCCCGGCUUUAAAGUAACCUUAUCGUGAUAAAGGAUUACUAGCACUAGUUCAGAUGAUAGUCAUGUUAAAUUCGGACCAUGUUUGUGUCACAUUAUCAGCAACCAUGUGUUUAUGGUUCAUGCUUUCUGCAACUAAAAUUGAUAUAUAACCAGGUGAACUUCAAUCUAAAUUCUGAAAGUACUCAUGUGAUAGAUGGUGCCCGUCUGCAGAGUCCAUCAAUUGAAAAAUGGAGUGAGUGUAUCUAUAAGAGGGAAGGCUUGGAAAAUGUUCAGUUUUCUGGGAAUUCAACAAGGAUCUAAAAUAGAUUGUUUUCUUUGCUGAUUUCAAUGGUUGAAAUUUGAGAAGAUUGUGUCCACAUAACACAACUAUUACUGGUCCUUCUGUUGCAAUUUAUCCUCUAAAGCUCUAGCAUGUCUUCCAAUUCCCACUUCCCUGUUACUCCAGGAAAGCUAUUUCUGUCAUUGUGAAGAAGAAAAGAGAAUGUACAUAUCGAUGCUUUUAAGUGACUGGAGCAUUUAUAUCAGGUGGUCUGCAGCCAUAUAUGCCACUUUGUGAAGAUUGGAACAGUCAAUCACUAGGCUAUAUAUUAGUGUGGCCCAGCCACUUUAAUCAAGGACAAGUCUUCAUACUUAAAGUCAAAUUCUGCCUUUAGUCUCAUUAUAAAUUUCUGUUUAAAUAUUAAGCAAACAUUUGUUUAAUGCGAUUAAGACAGUACUAACUCAAUACCUGUUCUAUUUUUGGAUGCAAAUGCUUGAUGGUUUCAUCAUUGGAUGGGAUAAAGGUGCAUUCAUGAUUAGGAAUACUAGUAGUUAUAUUUUAAUUCUCUUUUUUCUCAAUGAGACUUGUUGGCACAAUUUUGCUGUUGAGAAACCUACCUCUCCAUGGAAAAUAAGUUGUGAUUGAUAGUACUGGAUAUAUUCAAGAAAUCUAAAUAUAGAUAGCACAAAAUAUUAUCGACAUAAAUAGCAUUAACAGCGUACGUAUGUCUCAGUGCUCAUCAGCUAUAAGCAUGGGGCAAACACUUACUAUGAGCAACUUACGUCAAAAUUCCAGAAUAGGACAUAGAAGUGACAGAUAUAGAACAUUGCAUAUGAGUCACAAGAAAGGAAAUUACGGGUGCAUAGCAGCUCUUAUUUUACAUACUACUACUCAUACUGAUCAAAGUCACUCAGUUGGGAUGGGUGGGAGUAGGAGGUUUGUGGGGUGGCUUGUGCGGAGGAGUUGGCAGCUUCUUUCCAGGACCUGGUUGCUUCUCUGCUGGAGUUGAAGGAGGCUUAAUCUUCCGAGGUGGCUUGUAUGAGUCUUCAGCAUUCUCAGCUGGAGGGUGACCAGGGUUGUGACCAUAAUGUGGUGGCUUCUCUCCCUUAGGUGGUUUGCCAACUGGGGUUGGUGGCUUGUAUGAGUCUUCAGCAUUCUCAGCAGGAGGGUGACCAGGGUUGUGACCAUAAUGUGGUGGCUUCUCUCCCUUAGGUGGUUUGCCAACUGGGGUUGGUGGCUUGUGUUCUGGGAGUGGCUUCUCCCCCUUGGGAGGUUUUUCCAAUGGGGUUGGUUUGUGUUCAGGAGGUGGCUUCUCCACUGGAGGCUUGUGUUCAGGAGGUGGCUUCUCCACCGGAGGCUUGUGUUCAGGUGGUGGCUUCUCCACCGGAGGCUUAUGCUCUGGUGGUGGCUUCUCGAAUGGGGGAUGCUUAGGAUAAUCAGCAAGUGAGGGGGCGGUGAGAACCACCAGGCCAAGCAACACCACUAGCAAAUAUGUAGGAGACAUCUUUGGGUUUGGGCUCAGAUGGUGCAAAACUAGGAGAAUUGGCUAGCCUUUUAUAGCGGAUCGUACCCAAUAAUGAAAUGACACGUGUCAUUAUGACCCAUGUGUAAUGGGGUCGAUUUGGGUCCUACAGUGUUGAAAACUUCGACAUCCACUUUUGGCCUUUUGCUUUCUCUACAGCCGCCUUGCUUUUUCCCUCUUUCCUUUUGUUUUCCUCCUGCCCCAUUCUAUCAACUAAACACAAUUAUGUAGUUGUUUAAUUCUUAAAUGAGAUAUUAUCCGUCAAUCGUAUUAUAUUUUAUCAAGAGAGAACGGAGUGCAAUGUGGCUGUAAUUUUAUCGUUUAGUUUUAUCUCUUGGACCACUGCAUUUUUGUUAAGAGGUGCAAUAAUACACGUCUUUAUCUGCCAUUCAAUAUUUACAGUAAAGAGAGGGCACAAAACUCUUCACUUCGCACCAUAAUUAUUUUGUUUUCUGGACACCCCGGGGCCCUUUGGUUGGUUUGGGGGUCAGAAAGUGAACAUCAUAGGGGGUUUUUCCCUUAUGUGCAUUUGUAUCUGAUGGCUUUAACUCGCCUUGUUACUACAAAGAAACUGUCACAGAUAGGAACUUAUUCCAGGCUGAGUAUCUCCUCAUAGACCCUAUAAAAGAAGACAAGUCAUAAUGAACAUCUAACCUUUGUUCAAUUUGAUUCAAUGCCCCCAUUGUGUCCAUCUCACAAAUCUGAAUUAUUAUAUCCAUUGAAUACAUAAAUUAAUGAAGAAAAUAUGAAACCCAAGAUACAUCUCUGCACAACCUCAACCCUGGUUGCUAUGUUUCCCUUCUAUUCACAUGAUUUGAUGCUAAUUGCCAAACUUGCAACAAGCCCUGAGUUUGACACCUAGUAUCGAUGGGCGAAUUUAAAGUCUCCUCCAAACAUAUAUUCCACAGCUUGAAGCUCACAGAAGAUGUUACAGGCAGGGAAAAACCUUCAGAGUUCGCUACCAAAGAUAAUUAUUAAGGAGAUAUCACAAAGAGAAUUCCAAGGGGUCUGAAUCAAAGACAAAUUGGUCGUUCGUGGGGGUUCUUACUUUCUUUUGGGUAUAACUCACUGAGGGCACUGUCUUUGUUAUUUGCAUUUCACAUUUAGAGUUCUGUUCUGGAAACAUAUAAAAGGAGCAUCAUUUUGUUCUUGGGUAACCCAUAGUCGUGAGUGGGUCCAUUUGCAUGCUACUUAGUUGAAAAGUUGGACCAUUUGCUCCGACGCCUACCUCCCGGAUUCCAUGCUCGGAUAAAACAAGAAUAAAAAAAAUAUUUAUAAUUUACAAAUGGGGGAAAGAAAAAAAUGUCAACAACAAACCAGGAAAAAAGAGUAGUAAAAUUCAUGUCACAUGCUAGUGAGAGAAGGGGUUGUUACACUCACUCGAAGUUCUUUCCAAAAUAUCGCAUGGUAUUUUAUUUUAUGUGUCAGCGCAGUUGUGAAUGGAACGUGCAAAAGUCCAAAUUGGCGUUUUUCCUUUUCCCGUGUAGGAUGGCGACCUUUAAUAAAUAUUUAAAACAAAAAACGAAAAAAAGGAGGGAAAAGGGAUCAGAAAAGAUAAAACAAUGUGUACAAGAGCUCAAUUAGUUUGCAAAUUACUGUUUGGAUUUUGAUAGUAUUUUAUUUGUCCAUCUAUAUUUGAUGGAAAAGAGAAUUUAAGAUAUUUCUGAAACAAAAGCAUUAGUGUAAAACUAAAUUAAGGUAUAAUUAAGUUAGUUCAAUGCAUUAAUUUAAGAAACUUGAUCUAUCCAAAGUACAAAAUUAGAUGAAAUCCAUUUCAAUGGUUAAAAUGAUCAAAAUCAAACUUUUUCUAAGUAUUUUUUAAAAGCAUCAAUAUUAAAAGACAAUUUUAUAUUUAGUCGGAGUUUGGACAAAACCAAAAAGCACACAAAAUCCAAGCGACCAUCUCUAGCUUGGAUAGUCACUUGAUCCCACCUAGAGAUGUGCAUGAGUAAAAGGAUUUGAAAAUGGAAAUUGACUAAAUAUUUAGUUGAUCAAUUAAAUUUGCAAUGUCAUAUGCAAUCCUAAUAGCUAGUCAUCUAAUCAAUUAGGUAGUCAAUCAAGUGUUUGUAAUGACUAUUUUGUACAAAAAACCACAUGUAUAGUUAAAUAUAAUGCAUUUCAUUUAUAAAUCUUCUAAUUCUUGAAUAACGAUCCUAUCAUCCUUUGAAAAUUUUUAUUACACCUUUUUUACUUUUGUUCUAAAACUUACAUAUCACCCUUAAUUGUACCAUGAGAACCUAGCUAUUUUUUUUUUUUUUGUAAUUCAUCAAAGUUAGCUUUUGUAUUCAUUGUUGUAUUAUUUUUAGUAUAACUUAGAAAGCUAGUGUUUUCAAGUGAGUAAAAUUAACUUGUAAAUAUUGUAAAGAUUCAUUGAUAUGUAUCUUAAACUAAGUGUACAAAUUAAAACAUUUGCUAGUAGAUUUUCUCAAAAUUUAGAAUAGAGCUUGAGGCUAUUGAAAUAGGUGGGGUUACACCAAACCACAUCACAUCGUUGUUUGCACCUUUUUUCACUCUCUUUUACUUAGUUUCUCUAUAUUUGUUGUCUAGUAAUAUCCUAUAGGCUUGAUGGGUUAGGGAGCAUCCCUUUGUGAAAAAAUUUCAUUCAAUUCUUAGUUGUAUUACGCAUAUAUAAAAUGCCUCAUUGUUUUAAUGGUAUUCAGUCGUGGCAUCACAGAUAUGGGCAUCUAAAUUUUAAAAGUUUGAAACUUUUGUAAAGCAUGUUGAUAAAAUCCAUGAGAGUUGUGUACUUGGGAAGCAACAUCGAGGUGACUUUAUUUUUUUUUCCUUUUAUAAUGCCACACCUAAGUCCGGUUUCUAAAUGCUAAAGUGAAAGGGUAGGUAUGGACCAUUGAAAUGUGAUCACAACUUUUGGCCUUUUCCUUUCUCUGCAGCCAUGUUGUCUCUUUUUUCUUUUGCAUGAUUUUCUUACCAAAACAGAAUCAUAGACUUGUUUAGUCUCUAAGCUACUAUAUUAUAUCUCGGUGGACUUUUAAGAGUGCAACCGACAUAGAGCACAUGCAAGUGGGCAUAUGGGACAUGAAAUUUCUUCUUACAAAGAUUGCAUGAUUUUUAUAUUAGAGUUGUUCACGUGCAAUGUAUUUAGCUUGUUUUGCAGUUAAAUUAAUUGGAUAAGUAAACAUUGGCAUUUCUAAAUCGACUGUGAAGUGCUUCAUGUACGUGUAAAGUAUUAGAAAUUUCUUUCUUGGCAACUUGUUUUUUCCUUGCCAUCUACUGGUAGGUUUGACUAAAAUUAUAUUCCCUGUCAUGCUAAUUAAUUUUCAUGUGCAUGCUCAAAAGAAGAGUAUGACCUUAGUGCACCAAAAUCACUUUGAUUAAUUUGUGAUAGGUUUUUUUGCAUCAUUUAGAUAAUGUUUAGUUCUAAGAAAAAUUUAUAUAAAAAUGGUUUAUUUAUCUUACAUAUAUAUAUAUAUAUAUAUAUUUUUUUUUUUUUCAUUUUUUUUUCUUCUAUUUUAUUUAUUUAUUUUAUUUUCCUUAUGUUUUCCUCACAUUUUCCGGAACUAAACAUAGUCUUACGAAAUCAACAAUUGCCUUCAACUGAGUAGAUUCUGUUGUUUUAGCAAUGUUAGGCUGCUAACUUGUGGUGGUACGAACCAAAUGACCCAUGUUAAUCUUGGCUUGGUUUGAUUUGGCUCUAUCUCAGAGAGCUAAAGGAUCACGUCAACUCUGGUUUCUACUAUUCAGGUCCAUUCCCAGAUGAACUGGUUCAAAUUUGAGAAAAUGGUAACAGACCUUUAGUGAUGUUGGUUUGGAGCCAGUUGCCAAACCCGCCCUGAGCUUUACCACUAAUGUCAAGGGAGAAAGCCAUUUGAACAAAAACAAUAGCUUCAAGAGACUGAAUCGUGGAUGAAAUCUGAUCCACAUUUCUUCUCAUUUUGGGAAAAAAUGAGAACUUAACUACAAAGAUUCUACUGCCUCAUUCAUAGUGCUUUUCCUGAUCCAAGGUUGGUUCGUUUCCCAAAUUGUGAGGUGCACGUGCCACUCUCACGCUCAGGAGUGUAUCCACGUGGUGGACAUCAGAUGGUGGCUUAAUAUCUGGUGUCGGUGGCUUUACUUUACUAGGAGAGUAGUGUGUCUUCAUCUCAUUCACUGCCGGAGGGUGGCGUAAGCAGUGACGCUAAGGUGGGGCACAGUCAAUAUCAUUUGCAUUUGACCAUUAUAGUUUUCUCCCGGCUUGAAAGUAACCUUAUCGUGAUAAAGGAUUACUAGCACUAGUUCAGAUGACCGUCAUGUUAAUUCGGACCAUGUUUGUGUCACAUUAUCAGCAACCAUGUGUUUAUGGUUCAUGCUAUCUGCAACUAAACUUGAUAUAUAACCAGGUGAACUUCAAUCAAAAUUCUGGAAGUACUCUUGUGAUAGAUGGUGCCUGUCUGCAGAGUCCAUCAAUUGAAAAAUGGAGUGAGUGUAUCUAUAAGAGGGAAGGCUUGGCAAAUGUUCAGUUUUCUGGGAAUUCAACAAGGAUCUAAAAUAGAUUGUUUUCUUUGCCGACUUCAAUGGUUGAAAUUUGAGAAGAUUGUGUCCACAUAUCACAACUAUUACUGGUCCUUCUGUUGCAAUUUAUCCUGUAAGGCUCUAACAUGUCUUCCAAUUCCCACUUCCCUGUUACUCCAGGAAAGCUAUUUCUGUCAUUGUGAAGAAGAAAAGAGAAUGUACAUAUCGAUGCUUUUAAGUGACUGGAGCAUUCAUAUCAGGUGGUCUGCAGCCAUAUAUGCCACUUUGUGAAGGUUGGAACAGUCAAUCACUAGGCUAUAUAUUGGUGUGGCCCAGCCACUUCAAUCAAGGACAAGUCUUCAUACUUAAAGUCAAAUUCUGCCUUUAGUCUCAUUAUAAAUUGCUGUUUAAAUAUUAAGCAAACUUUUGUUUAAUGCGAUUAAGACAGUACUAACUCAAUACUUGUUCUAUUUUUGGAUGCAAAUGCUUGAUGGUUUCAUCAUUGGAUGGGAUAAAGGUGCAUUCAUGAUUAUGAAUACUUGUAGUUAUAUUUUCAUUCUCUUUUUUCUCAAUGAGACUUGUUGGCACAAUGUUGCUGUUCAGAAACCUACCUCUCCAUGGAAAAUAAGUUGCGAUUGAUAGUACUGGAUAUGUUCAAGAAAGCUAAAUAUAGAUAGCACAAAAUAUUAUCGAUAUAAAUAGCAUUAACAGCGUACGUAUGUCUCAAUGCUCAUCAGCUAUAAGCAUGGGACAAACACUUACUAUGAGCAACUUACGUCAAAAUUCCAGAAUAGGACAUAGAAGUGACAGAUCUAUAUAUAUAGAACACUGCAUAUGAGUCACAAGAAAGGAAAUUACGGGUGCAUAGCAGCUCUUAUUUUACAUACUACUACUCAUACUGAUCAAAGUCACUCAGUUGGGAUGGGUGGGAGUAGGAGGUUUGUGGGGUGGCUUGUGCGGAGGAGUUGGCAGCUUCUUUCCAGGACCUGGUUGCUUCUCUGCUGGAGUUGAAGGAGGCUUAAUCUUCCGAGGUGGCUUGUAUGAGUCUUCAGCAUUCUCAGCUGGAGGGUGACCAGGGUUGUGACCAUAAUGUGGUGGCUUCUCUCCCUUAGGUGGUUUGCCAACUGGGGUUGGUGGCUUGUAUGAGUCUUCAGCAUUCUCAGCAGGAGGGUGACCAGGGUUGUGACCAUAAUGUGGUGGCUUCUCUCCCUUAGGUGGUUUGCCAACUGGGGUUGGUGGCUUGUGUUCUGGGAGUGGCUUCUCCCCCUUGGGAGGUUUUUCCAAUGGGGUUGGUUUGUGUUCAGGAGGUGGCUUCUCCACUGGAGGCUUGUGUUCAGGAGGUGGCUUCUCCACCGGUGGCUUGUGUUCAGGAGGUGGCUUCUCCACCGGAGGCUUAUGCUCUGGUGGUGGCUUCUCCACCGGAGGCUUAUGCUCUGGUGGUGGCUUCUUGAAUGGGGGAUGCUGAGGGUAAUCAGCAAGUGAGGGGGCGGUGAGAACCACCAGGCCAAGCAACACCACUAGCAAAUAUGUAGGAGACAUCUUUGGGUUUGGGCUCAGAUGGUGCAAAACUAGGAGAAUUGGCUAGCCUUUUAUAGCGGAUCGUACUCAAUAAUGAAAUGACACGUGUCAUUAUGACCCAUGUGUAAUGGGGUCGAUUUGGGUCCUACAGUGUUGAAAACUUCGACAUCCAGUUUUGGCCUUUUGCUUUCUCUACAGCCGCCUUGCUUUUUCCCUCUUUCCUUUUGUUUUCCUCCUGCCCCAUUCUAUCAACUAAACACAAUUAUGUAGUUGUUUAAUUCUUAAAUGAGAUAUUAUCGGUCAAUCGUAUUAUAUUUUAUCAAGAGAGAACGGAGUGCAAUGCAGCUGUAAUUUUAUCGUUUACUUUUAUCUCUUGGACCACUGCAUUUUUGUUAAGAGGUGCAAUAAUACACGUCUUUAUCUGCCAUUCAAUGUUUACAGUAAAGAGAGGGCACAAAACUCUUCACUGCUCUGCAUGUGUCCCAAAAAUGCGAUUGGACAAAUUAUGAUUUGCAUGCUAAAAAGAGGCAAAUGAGGUUAAUUCGCACCAUAAUUAUUUGGUUUUCUGGACACCAUAAAAAGAUGUUAUACAGGCAGGGAAAAACCUUCAGAGUUAGCUACCAAAGAUAAUUAUCAAGCAGAUAUCACCAAGAGAAUUCCAUAGAGUCUGAAUCAAAGACAGAUUGCUCGCUCGUGGGGGUUCUUACUUUCUUUUGGGUAUAACUCACUGAGGUCACUGUCUUUUUUAUUUGCAUUUCACAGUUAGAGUUCUGCUCUGGAAGGUUUGUUCUGGAAACAUAUAAAAGGAGCAUCAUUUUGUUCUUGGGUAACCCAUAGUCGUGAGUGGGUCCAUUUGCAUGCUACUUAGUUGAAAAGUUGGACAAUUUGCUCCGACGCCUACCUCCUGGAUUCCAUGCUCGGUAAAACAAGAAUAAAAAAAAAUAUAUAAUUUACAAAUGGGGGAAAGAAAAAAUGUCGGAAAAAAUAGUAAAAUUCAUGUCACAUGCUAGUGAGAGAAGGGGUUGUUACACUCACUCGAAGUUCUUUUCAAAAUAUCGAAUGGUAUUUUACUUUAUGUGUCAGCGCAGUUGUGAAUGGAACGUGCAAAAGUCCAAAUUGGCGUUUUUAUUUUUCCCAUGUAGGAUGGUGACCUUUAAUAAAUAUUUAAAACAAAAGACGAAAAAAAAAAGGAGGGAAAAGGGAUCACAAAAGAUAAAAUAAUGUUUACAAAAGCUCAAUUAGUUUGCAAAUUACUGUUUGGAUUUUGAUAGUAUUUUAUUUGUCGUUCUAUAUUUGAUGUAAAAGAGAAUUUAAGAUAUUUCCGAAGCAAAAGCAUUAGUUUGCUCUGUGAUGUCCCACAUCGAAUAGGGGAGAAAGUUUCUGGCGCUAUAUAUGUAGAGGCUCCUCUUAACCAAGUAGAUGCGUUUUAAAACCAUGAGGGCCCCCUUAGGUCCAAAGCGGACAAUAUCUACAUGAUUGGGUGUAAGUCAUUACAAAUGGUAUCAGAGCCGAUCCCCGACCCCGGUGUGGGGGUUUGUUUGGCCCUGUAAGGGGUGUUUGUCUGUUUGACCCCACAAUCCCAUGGGACACAACGAGGACGUUGUGUCUGCAUGGGGGGGCGUUUGUGAUGUCCCACAUCGGAUAGGGGAGAAAGUUCCUAGUGCUAUAUAUGUAGAUGUUUCUCUUAACCAAGUAGAUGCAUUUUAAAAUUGUGAGGGCCUCUUUGGGCCCAAAGCGGACAAUAUCUACAUGGUUGAGUGUAAGUCAUUACAUGCUCCAUGUCAAUUUCAGCAUUUCUCAUAUGUUUCACACAUACACAGAAGAGCAUCGUUUUUUAAAGCAUGCAUUUAUGUUGGAUUAAUUUGGAUUUUGUGGGAACUGGGGCAAGGAUCACAUGGAAGAGAGGUUGACUUUUUUCAGUACUUCAAUGGUUGAAAUAUGUGAAGGCUUGAUUGAUACUAAAGCUUGAAAUUGCGACUCUGUCAUUUGUAAAAAAAUAUGACAGCUUCCAUGCUCUCGUUUGGUUGCAUUGUCCGGUCGAGAGGUGCAAAAAGCAUUCUCUCUCUUCUAAUAGUCUUUUCGUUUAAAUCAAGGGAUUUGCCUUCCCGGUCGAGGUCCAAUAGAGGGUAACGGUCACCUACUAAACAUUAAAUGCUCCAACAACUAGUGAACUGAUCGACCCCAGCUCGACUAGUUGAGGUUACUUUUUGGUUUUCUUGUCUCCCGAGGUUAGAAACCUAUAAAUAGAGAGCUUCACUUCAUUUAUGAGUAAGAGAACACCUAAAUUUAUUUGUUUACCUACUUGUUUUUGCCAUAAAAGCUCUCAUUUCUUUUCUUGGUGUAUUAAAUCUCCAUUUGCAUAUCCUUUAGUGCACCUUUGUGAUUCAUUCUAGCCUUGAGUUGUAUUUAAGCCUUUGUUGAGCUAGGUUGAGAGUUUCAUACUUGUUUAUUGAGUGUUAAAGCCUUCAAGUGAGUUAAAACUUGAAGAGAUUGUGUAAGAGCCCAUUGGAGUCGGAAUCCAAGUGUAAAGGUGAUUAAAAGCUUGGUUGAAGCUUCAAGUUAGUGGAACUCUCACUCGGUUAUGAGCUUGAGAAGAGUGGACAUAGACAAGGCAGUGUCGAACCACUAUAAAAUCUGAGUUUGAUUUCUCUAACCUUAUCUCUUUAUAUUUGCUUCUCUUGUGCUUAAAUUUUUUGUGUUUAAAAAGAAUUUUUAAAAACUCAAUUCACCCCCUUCUUGGGAGUUUUUCUCUUUUAAGAUCAGCUUUUAUUUUCUCAAUUGGUAUCAGAACUAUGCCUCUUGUUUAAGACUUAAUCGUCUAAGAGGAAAUGGCUAAUCCAUCAAGUUCAUCUCACAUUGAAAGUUUUGCAACCAAUAGACUUCUUUUUUUUUUUUUGCGGGAACUGAUUAUCCCUAUUGGAAAACUAAAAUGACUUGGUUUUUACAAUCAAUUGAUUUAGAUGUAUGAGAUGCCAUUGAAGAUGACCUAACUUUUCCUUCAAAACUAGUUGAUGGAGUCAUGGUUCCAAAACCUAAGCAAGAAUGGGAUGAGCGUGAUUGAAGAAAUUUUCAAUUAAAUGCUAAAGUCGUUUAUACUUUGCAAUGCUCUAUGGACAGAAAUGAAUAUAAUAGAAUAUGUCAAUGCAAAUCGGUUAAAGAAAUUUGGAGAUUGCUUGAAAUAACUCAUAAAGGAACAAAUCAAGUUAAAGAGUCAAAAAUCAAUUUACUUGUUCAUAGAUAUGAAUUGUUUUUUAUGAAAGAUAAUGAAACUAUUGUUAAGAUGAUCACUAGGUUCACCAACAUUGUUAAUGGUCUUAAAGCCUUGGGAAAGACCUACAAGGAAUCCGAAAACGUGAUGAAGAUCUUGAGGUCACUUCCAUCAAAGUGGCAUACCAAGGUCACCGCAAUUUAAGAAGCAAAAGACUUGAUCAAGCUACCUUUGGAGGAGUUCAUAGGGUCAUUGAUGACAUAUGAAAUCAAUUUGGCAAAGAAGUAACAAAAAGGUGAAGACAAAAAGAAGAAGAACAUAACUCUCAAAGCUACAACUAAGGAAGAAGAAGUUGAAGAAGAAAAACAAAUUGAAGAAGAUGAAGAUUUAGCCCUCAUCACAAGAAAGUUCAACAAAUUCAUGAGGGGUGAAAGGUUUAGAAGAAGAAGGUUCACUUCUAGAAGAGACUUUUCUAAAAAGGAAUCUUCAUCUAAUGGUGACAAAAAGAGAUGGGAAGAGAAAAGAGACUUGGUGUGUUUCAAGUGCAAGAAACCGGGACACAUUAAAUAUGAUUGUCCUCUCUACAAAAGUGAAGUCAAGAGGAAAAAGAAUAAGGCAAUGAUGGCCACUUAGAGUGAAAGUGAAGAUGAAUCAUCCGAAGAAGAAAAUGAGAAAGAAGUGGCAAACAUGUGUUUCAUGGCAAUAGAUGAACUUGAUGAGGUAAAAUCUAACCUUAGUGAUUAAGAUAUACAUGAUGCAUUUGAAGAAUUGUAUGAGGAUUUUUAAAAACUUAGUUUGAAAAAUAUUUCUCUUAAAAAGAAAGUUCAACAACUUGACAAAGAACUUAGAGAAGUAAAAGAAAAAUUUUCAAAUGUUAAAGUUUCUAAAACUCAUCUUGAAAAAGAAAAUGAGAUUCUAAGAAAGAAAAAUGAAUAGUUGAACUCCUCUCUUUCAAUCUUUUCUUCUAGACAAAAAUCUUUUGAAAUGAUUCUAACUAGCUAAAAAUGUGUUUUUGACAAACAAGGGUUAAGAUUUAAAUCUUCAAAAAAUCAAAAGUAUUUUAAAAACUAUUUUGUAAAGGAAUCCACAAGUGCAAGUCCUUCCACUACUUGCAACUUUUGUGGAAGAGAAUGGCACAUUAGUAGUACGCCCUUUAAGAAAUGGUUCUCAAAAGAAUUUAAAUGCAAAAACUAAAAAAGAUUUGGAUUGAGAAAUCCAAGGUCACUAACCCUCAAGGACCCAAAAAGAUAUAGGUACCUAAAUCAACUUGAGUUUUAUGUUGUAAGGUUCAAAGAAUGAUAAGUGGUUCUUAGAUAAUGGUUGCUCAAGACACAUGACCGGAGAUGAAUCCAAGUUUGCUUUUCUUAAAAAGAAAAAUGGAGGAUAUGUUACCUUUGGAGACAAUGCAAAAGAAAGGAUGAUUGGUCAAGGCAACAUUGGUAAUGGCACAUCCUCUCUCAUUGAAAGUGUUUUAUUAGUAGAUGGUUUCAAACAUAACCUUUUAAGCAUUAGUCAAUUUUGCGACAAAGGUUUUUAAGUGAUUUUUUAAGCAUCUCAUUGCAUCAUCAAGGAUAUUCAAAAUGAUAAAACCAUUUUCAUGGGCCAUAGAUGUGAUAAUGUUUAUGCUAUAAAUAUUUCAAAAUAUGAUGGCCAUGAUAGAUGUUUUUCAAGCAUGCAUGAUCAAAGUUGGUUGUGCCAUAGGAGAUUGAGACAUGCUAACAUAGACCUCAUUUCCCAACUCAACAAAGAUGAACUUGUUAGAGGCCUUCCCAAAAUAAUUUUUUAAAAAGAUAAAGUUUGUGAAGCUUGUCAAGUGGGAAAGUAAAUCAAAAACUCUUUUAAAAACAAAAACUUCAUUUCCACAUCUAGGCCACUUGAGUUGUUGCAUAUGGAUUUAUUUGGUCCCUCUAGGACACCAAGUCUUAGAGGAAAUUCUUAUGCAUAUGCUAUUGUGGACGACUUCUCUAGAUACACAUGAGUCUUGUUUUUUAGUCAAAAGAAUAAAGUUUUUUAUGAGUUUUCAAAGUUUUGCAAUAAGAUUCAAAAUGAAAAAGGUUUUUCAAUUACUUAUAUAAGAAGUGAUCAUGGGAGAGAAUUCGAAAAUAUUGAUUUUGAAGAGUAUUGCAAUGAGCAUGGAAUUGACCACAAUUUUUUGGCUCUUAGAACUCCUCAACAAAAUGGGGUAGUUGAAAGGAAAAAUAGAACUCUUCAAAAAAUGACAAGAACCAUACUAAAUGAAAACAACUUACCAAAAUAUUUUUAGGCCAAAACGGUUAACACUUCUUGUUAUGUUUUAAAUAGAGUAUUAUUGAGGCUCAUACUUAAGAAAACUCCCUAUGAGCUUUGGAAAAACAAAAAACCCAACAUUAGUUAUUCCAAAGUCUUUGGAUGCAAUAUUUUAUAAUAAACACCAAAGACAAUCUUGGAAAAUUUGAUGCAAAAUUGGAUGUUGGAAUUUUCCUUGGUUACUCAACUUCAAGUAAAGCUUUUCGAGUUUUAACAAAAGAACCAUGGUUGUAGAGGAGUCCAUCCAUGUUAUUUUUUAUGAAUCUCCAAGAAAGAGAGAGGAUUGAUGAUGAUUUAGGUUUGAAGACCUCUAUAGGAAGAUUGCAAAUCGAAGAUAGAAGACAACAAGAAGAAAAUGGAGAGAAUCCAAAGAAAGAAGGAUCACCAUUGGCACUACCCCCUCAUCAACAAGCGCAAGGUGAAUCAAGUCAAGAGCUUCCUAAAGAAUGGAAGUUUGUCAUCAAUCACCCACAAGAUCAAAUUAUAGGCAAUCCAUCUAGUGGGGUAAGAACUAGAUCCUCUCUUAGAAAUAUUUGCAAUAAUCUAGCUUUUAUCUCUCAAAUUGAGCCUAAAAAUAUAAAUGAUGUUUUAGAUGAUGAAAAUUGGAUAAUUGCAAUGCAAGAAGAGUUAAAUCCAUUUGAAAGAAGUGGAGUAUGGGAAUUAGUACCAAGACCUUCAAAUCAAAGUGUUAUUGGAACUAGAUGGAUCUUUAGAAAUAAAAUGGAUGAAAAUAGCAUAAUUGUUAGAAAUAAAGCAAGAUUGGUAGCCCAAGGUUUUAAUCAAGAAGAAAUGAUAGAUUAUGAAGAAACCUUUGCCCCCGUAGCUAGGUUGGAAGCCAUUAGGAUGCUACUUGCCUUUGCAUGUUUUAAAGACUUUGUUUUAUAUCAAAUGGAUGUGAAAAGUGCUUUUUUAAAUGGUUUUAUAAAUGAAGAAGUAUAUGUUGAACAACCACCCGGUUUUCAAAGUUUCAACUUUCCUAACCAUGUUUUUAAACUUAAAAAGACACUUUAUGGUUUGAAACAAGCACCUAGAUCAUGGUAUGAAAAAUUGAGUAAAUUUCUUUUGAAAAAAAUGUUUUAAAAUGGGAAAAAUUGACACAACUCUUUUUAUAAAAACCAAAGAAAAUGAUAUGCUCUUAGUUCAAAUAUAUAUUGAUGAUAUCAUUUUUGGUGCUACUAAUGUCUCUCUUUAUGAAGAAUUUUCUAAGUGCAUGCAUAGUGAGUUUGAAAUGAGCAUGAUAGGAGAACUCAACUUCUUCCUUGGACUUCAAAUCAAGCAACUAAAGGAAUGAACCUUCAUCAAUCAAGCAAAGUAUAUAAGAGAUCUUCUCAAAAGGUUCAACAUGGAAGAAGCCAAAACAAUGAAGACUCUAAUGAGCUCAUCCAUUAAGCUUGAUAAGGAUGAGAAAGGUAAAUCCAUUGACUCUAUUAUGUAUAGAGGCAUGAUAGGUUCUUUGCUCUAUUUGACCACUAGUAGACCUUACAUUAUGUAUAGUGUGUGUUUGUGUACUAGAUUUCAAUCUUGUCUUAAAAAAUCUCACUUAAGUGUCGUGAAAAGAAUCCUCAAAUAUUUGAAAGGGACAAUGGACAUAGGCUUAUGGUAUCCUAAGAGUGAUAACUUUGAAUUAAUUGGUUUUUUGGAUGCUGAUUUUGUCAGUUGUAGGGUUGAAAAAUAAAACACUAGUGGCACUUUUCAUUUCUUAAGACACUUACUUGUCUCAUGGCAUAAUAAGAAGCAAAAUUUGGUAGCUUUGUCAACAGCAGAAGCUAAAUACAUAGCAACUGGUUUAUGUUGUGCACAAAUCCUUUGGAUGAAAUAAACACUUAGUGAUUUUGAUUUAUCUUUUGAGCAUAUUCCUAUUAAAUGUGAUAAUAGUAGUGCCAUAAGUAUAUCAAAAAAUCUCGUGCAACACUCUAGGACUAAGCAUAUAGAGAUUAGACAUAAUUUUCUUAGAUAUCAUACACAAAAGGAUGAUAUAACACUUGAAUUUGUAAGCAUAAAAGACCAACUUGCCGAUAUCUUUACAAAACCUCUAAGAACAUUUUGUUGAUAUUAGAGGACAAUUAGGAGUGAUUUCUUUAUGAUCUAAUGUGAUGAAUUCUUGAUGAAUAUACUUUUUGAUUGCAUGAAUUUCAUGUCAUAUAUGCAUCAUAUAGAAAUAUACUUAGAUAAUGGUCAAAUUUCGACCAAAAAUCAAAAUUCCCAUGGCAUUAGGCAUAAAAAUUUUGGAAUUUCAACUGAAAAUGGUAGGAGGAGGAUCACAAAAUGAGAAAGUAUGCAAAAAUUGAAAAAUCAAAACGUUGACCAAGCGGUCAAUCGGACUAGACCGAUCGACUAGUUUGUCGAGAUUUAGGAUUUUUAAGAGACUCCAACGCUUCAAUUUUUGCACCGUUCUCCUCUAUUUCUUCACGGUUUCUCUGAUUUUGUCUUUUAGAGACUAAUUUGAGUGCGUUUUGGAUCAAUUGAAGCAUUUUGGAUUGGAUUUUAGGAAGAUUGAAAGUUAAGGUUUCGGAUUUGGGUCGCCUUCUCUUCCUCUCGCGUGUCACAAUCAGCUUUAGCAUUGUUCUCUUUCCAUUUUCACACACCUAGGGUUUCAGUUGUGAGCAUCUCUCUCUCUUUACCAACCACUACUCCCUUGCUUCUUCCAUAUGGCUCCUAGGCGAGAGUCCGCUACUUCUAGGGCACAAGGCAAGCACCCAACUGAGUCGUCUCAGUCAAAGGCACGUCGAAAAGUGAGAUUUGACAUUGCCUUGUUCAGUUCCAUGGAGGACUACCAACUAUACAAGCAACACUUUGCUUAGAGACGAGUAGUUCCCAAGAGAAAUAUUAAUUUUCCUCAACUUCAGCAUUUCGAAUUUAAGGGUCUAUUUACUAGGAUGGUUGGUUGUCUAUUGUCACAAUUUCGGAGCCGGUUUUCCUGACCUUAGUGCGAGUUUUUUACUCGAGGGCGACUUAUGGCAUGGGUGGCAUGAUCAUUUCUACUGUUGGAGGAGUUGAGAUCUGUCUGGACCCAGAGAGCAUCUGCCAUAUUUUCGAUAUUGCUCUGGUUGGACUCAAAGUAUACAAGUCCAAAAUGUGGCCCAUUGUGCCAGGAUUUGAGCUUAGAGAGGUCAUUCAGAGGAUUUGUGAACUUCCAGACGCCCAGGAGAUGGGCAAACCAUUGCCACACAGUUUGACGGUCAUCAACAGGGUGCUACACCAUAUAUUGUGCUCUAUCUUUCUACCACGAAGUGGACAUUGAGAUGAGGUCUCUUAUUAUGAGGCAUUCCUUAUUGACUCCAUUCUAACGGAGAGACGAAUUCAUCUACUAUGUCAUCAUUCACUAAGCCUCCUCACAGUGACAUACCACCUCAUCAGGCACCUCUUGCUCCUGACCAUGCUCCAUUGAUGGAUUUAUUUACUCAUAUUAGCUCUCUAGGCACUCGCAUGAAGGAGUUUGUUGUAGUUAGUGAUACAUGGUUCUACUCCAUAGAGGAUCGCAUGGAUCAGUAUCAGACUGGCUUCACGUCACAGUUUGAGUAUCUCCAAUAGAGGAUUGAGCAUAUUGAGGAUCACUUGAGCAUGAGAAGAUGAUGGCUUUUCUAUGCUCUGUGUUUCCACCUCCACCUCGUCAACCUUGAUUUCUUAGAGACCCAUUGUUUUCAUUUUGUAAUGUUGCCAAAAGGGGGAGAUAUUUAGGAUCUAGGACUCUAUAGGAGACUUACAUGCAUAUCAUUUUCAUAUCAUUGUUUGGAUCGUACAUAUUGGAUAGUGAUACUUUUUACUUAUAUAUGAUAUGCCUAUAUGUUUCAUGUCUUACAUUGUUUCUUAUUGCAAAUUAUCUCUAACAUGUCUUGAUUAUCUUUUUUUUAACUUCAUAAAUUUUGAUUGUUAACCCAUGAUUGGUUUGAGGGGAAGAUUCUUCUUCUCCUAGAUAACCAAGGUUUGUCAUCAUAAAAAAAUUGGAGAUUGUUAGCCCAAGGGUUCUCCUAAUCAUGUUUUGAUGAUAACAAACCAUGCUUAAGUUACUAAUUGGUUUGAAUUAUAAAGAAUUUCAAGUGUUAAUUUGAAAAUUCAUCAAAGAACCUAAUGGAUGCAAGAUCAAGAUUUUUGGAAGACCUUUAAUCAUAAGAAACAUAUGUAAGAUGAAUGCAUGGGUGCACUUAAGAUUUGCAUAUCAUUUCAUGCAUAUUUGGAAAACACGGUUUAUGCUUUAAAGUUACAUUUCCAUCAAAAUUUGAGAUCCAUCAAAUGAACCUUAGGAAAAAUGUUUUAAAAUUGGCAUAUAAUUUUACCUAAAGACCUUGCCUAAGUGUUAGAAGCAAAAGGACAAAAAAAAUAUAGGUUUUCUGGUCAAAAAUGGUGAACCAGUCAAGGCAUUGUCUAAAUCAGCUCAAUCGGCCAAGGUACCGGUCGAUCGGUUUCCCUUUCCCUGUCGAGAUCUAGUCAAGAGGUACAAAAAUCACAAUCUCUGUCUCUUUCUCUCUUUGUCUAUCUUCCAGUAGUCUUUCCUUCCCGGUCGAGGGAUUUGCCUUCCCGAUUGAGGUCCGAUUGAGAGUAAUAGUCACUUGCCAAAUAUUAAAUGCUCCAACAGUUAGUGAACUGGUCGACCCCCACCUUGCCCAGUUGAGGUUACUUUUUGGUUUUCUUGGCUCCCGAUGUUAGAAACCUAUAAAUAGAGAGUUCCACUUCAUUUAUGAGCAAGAGAACACUUGCAUUUAUUUGUUUACCUACUUGUUCUUGCCUUAAAAGCUCUCAUUUCUUUUCUUGGUGCAUUAAAUCUCCAUUUUGAUAUCCUUUAGUGCACCUUUGUGAUUCAUCUUAGCCUUGAGUUGUAUUUGAGCCCUUUUUUUAGCUAGGUUGAGAGUUUCAUACUUGUUAAUUGAGUGUUAAAGCCUUCAAGUGAGUUGAAACUUGUAGAGAUUAUGUGAGAGUCGAUUGGAGCCGAAAUCCAAGUGUAAAGGUGAUUAGAAGCUUGGUUGAAGCUUCAAGUUAGUGGAAUCCUCACUCAAUUAGGAGCUUGAGGAGAGUGGACGUAGCCAAGGAAGUGUCGAACCACUAUAAAAUUUGAGUUUGAUUUCUCUAACAUUGUCUCUUUAUAUUUGUUUAUCUUGUGCUUAAAUUUAUUGUGUUUAAAAAGAAUUUUUAAAUACCCAAUUCACCCCCCUCUUGGGUGUUUUUCUCUUUUAAAAUUAGCCUUUAUUUUCUCACAAACUAUUGUAGUAUAGUGGUUUUUAGGUGUCAUCCAUUAGGAUGAAUUGUUCUCGGUAAUUAAGGCGUGAAUGAGAGGAGAAUUAAUGAUUGUGAUUAAGUAAAAUUGAUUUGAAAAUUCAUGGUGAAAAAUCAAUUUAACAAUGGUUUCUAAUUGAGAAAAACAAUGAAAUGUGAAAUAAAAUAAAAUUAAUAGGAAAUGAAAUUCUCGAAGUUAGAAUUUUCUAAAAAACAAAUUCCAUGGUGAAUGGAUGUUGAGAUCUAAUUUUCAUCAAGUUAGAUUGAAAACCGAAAUUUUCAUAUAAACUGAUUUUUUAUUUAGUUUUAGGUCUAGAUUUAAUUUCCCUUAAAAUUAGGUUAUUUAAUCCAAGAAAUCAAUUCAAAUCAUAUAUUCAAUUCAUCUUAAAUUAUCUUCCAAUUAUUCACACAAUGCAACUAUUCAAUCUCAUCAAAUCUAGCUUUUAAGAAUUUAAUGAAUCUACCUAGUUUGCAUUGUAAUAGUCAUCCAUGACAAUUUGAAGAGAAAAAUAAUUCAAUUAAUCAAUCACUUGGAUCAAAUUACCUUUGCAAUUAAAGUUCAUUUCUCUAAUUCACCACAGAUUUUGUCUCUAGAUCCUCCUUUCUCAAAGAAAAAUGAGAUUUAGCCACACAUGAUUGGAGAUUUGGUCUCAUAAGGCAUGUUUAGCUAGUGAUAAAAUGAGAGAAAAUAAAGAAAAAUAGAGAAUUCGAUUAAGAAAGAAAAUCUAAAAAAUUCUACAAUUAGAAAUGUCCAAAAAGCUUUUUCAUGAGAAAAUCAAGUUUCUAUUUAUAGGCCAAGGUCAAGUGGACACUUGACAUCAUCUAAGAGGUCUUCCGGAAGCUUCUUCAUCAAGAAAUCUGGAGUUUAAUAAUAAAAUGGUCAUUUCACAAGAGCUCAAACAAUUUCGCAUGAUUAUGUGAAAUAAAAAAUGCAACAACAGCAAUUUACAUCUUCUUGGAGCAUUUCGCAUGACUGUGUGAAAUUUUCACAUGAUCAUGUGGAAUCGACUUGACAACUCUCAUUUAGCCUACAACAUAAUUCCACCUUUUGGUCCAUUUUUCAUAGUCAUGCGAAAUGGAAAUAUUUGAUUUUUAAGUUUUCUUUUGUCAUUUCUUUCAUUUCCUUCUCUUGAUUCCACUUCAACUACCUCCGAAUCCUGGUCCAAACCAAUUGCAUUACUUCUUUCAUUAUGCAUUUGGAUCAUCAUCAACAUUAUUUGUUCUCUUCAAUUUGAUUCAUCUCUUUUGUCACCAAUUUAUCAAAAUCAUACCUUGAAAUGACUCCAAAACUUCAUAAAACUUGUUAGUAACUCUUGCAAGGGCAACAACAUAUUAAUUAAGUGUUUUAGGCAUAGUUACUACUCAAAAGAUGCGAAACUCAUGAUAAUUAUUAUAUAAAAUAUGCUCUUUUUGAGUAGUAAUCAACUUUCUUGCAUAAGCAGACCUUUUAGGGUGGAGUACUAAAGACCAAUAUGCUUGUCCUUGUUGUAAUAAAGAAACUUGCUCUUAUUGAUUGCACCAUGGGAGAAAAUUUUGCUACAUGAGUUAUCAUCAAUUUCUUCCCACCAAUCAUAGAUUUAGACGUGACAAGAGGCCUCUUAAUGGCAAGGAGGAACUGACACUCACACUUAUACAAUUAUCGGGCAUUGAUGUGUUGCAACAAUUAGAAUAACUUACACCAAUUAUGUUGGGGAAGUCACAAAAGGCAAACAUGAAAACUAAAAGGAAAAAAGAAAAAUGUUACAUAUCACCACAACUGGAAAGAAAAAAGUAUUUACUUUCAUUUGCCAUAUUGGAAAGCACUUAUUUUACAUCAUAAUAAUUUAGACAUAAUGCAUAUUGAGAAAAAUGUGUGACAAUAUAAUUGAGACAUUGUUCAGUAUUGACGAAGAAACAAGGACAACCUAAAUAGUCAUCUCGAUUUACAAGCUCUAACUAUUAGAAAUGAGAUUCACCCAAUAGAAAGCAGGACCAAAUUUAUUUUGCUUGCAACAUGCUACUCACUCACCCCAAAUGAGAUUAAGGAAUUUUGCAAGUUUUUGAAAUCAAUAAAGGUCCCCAAUGGCUAUUCUUUCAAUAUCUCUCGUUAUGUGCAACUCAAUGAAAGGAAGAUAUAUGAGCUCAAAUUGUAUGAUUGUCAUGUCCUAAUGCAACAACUUCUCUCACUUGUAGUUCGUGGAGUUCUACAUAAGAAUGUUUGUGGAGUUAUCAUAGAAUUGCGUAAUUUUUUCAAGCAAUUGUGCUCAAAGGUGUUAGAAACAAAUCACUUACACCAACUUGAGAACAAUAUUAUUGUCAUACUAUGUAAAAUGGAGCAAAUAUUUCUUCCAUCAUUCUUUGAUAUUAUGGUGCAUUUACUUGUGCAUCUAGUAAGGCAAAGGUUGCAAGACUUGUGCAAUAUUGUUGGAUGUACCUAAUUGAACGAUAUUGUUAUAAUUUCAUAUGAAUCAUUUAAUUUUAUUUUAUAUUAUGUUCAGUUCAUUAACAUGUACAUUGGUCUACAUAUGGAUGAUGAUAGGUACCUAAGCACUUUAAAGUCAUAUGUGCGUAAUAGAACUUUUCUAGAAGGUUCUAUUGUAGAAAGGUACCUUGCAAAAGAAUGUACAACAUUUUAUUCUAGGUACUUGAAUGAUGUGGAAAUAAAGUAUAAUCACAAUGAUAGAAACUUUGUUGGUUUCAACACUAGAGGAGAUGAAAGGGGUUAUCUUUAAACAUAUUGGACAUGCAUUGGGAAAGCCCAUAUUUCAUUAACUUAGUUCAAAAGAGUGGUCACAAGCACAUUUAUAUGUGUUGACAAAUUGCGAAGAUGUCAUACCAUUCAUUGAGUAAAAAAUUUAUUUGAAUUUUAAUUAAAGCUCUAGUUUAUAUCCUUAAUCAAUGUUUUUUAAAUUCACAAGGAGCACAAGCAAACCAUCAAGGCUAGACCACAUAUACGUGUUUGAGACGUAGAUUUAAUUCAUAACAAGGAAUUUAUCAAGUGGUUUGAAAGACAUGUAAGUAUAUUCCUUAUUAUAAGGGAUUUAUUUCACAUUAUGUUUAUAUUGAAUCCAAACCUAUUAUUGAAUUGUAGGUUGAACAAUUACAUAAUGAAGGUCAUAUAUCUGAACACCUUCUCACAUUAUCAUGUGUUCCAAAUUCAUUAGUUACAUGCUUCAAAUGAUAUAUUGUCAAUGGAUUUAGAUCCCACAUUAAAGAACGUGAUAAAAAAGUUUUUAAAAAAAGACUCAGAAUAAUGGAAUUGUUGUAGUUGCAAAAACGUCAAGCUUUACAAGUGCAUGUGAUAUGAGUCCAAUUAUUAGUGAUGCUCUCUACUAUGGUGUUCUAACUAAAGUUGUUGAGUUACAUUAUCUUGGUGAAAAUAAGGUUGUUUUAUUCGAGUUUGAUUGGUGGGAUGUUACAAAUAUUGGAAAAUUGAUAAAAGAUGAUGAGUACAAUUACACAUUUGUUAACUUUGCAUGAAUUCUAACCACGAACGAACGAUUUGUACUUGCAUCUCCAGCAAAGUAAGUGUUCUAUGUGAAGAAUGCGAAUGAAUCAGAUUGGCAUACUAUCAUGGAGAUGCAACCUCAAGACCUCUAUAAGAUGAACGGGAUAGGAUCCAAUGGUGAUUUUGAACCAUUUCAACAAAGUGAACUACAUGAUCACUAAUAUAUCUCAGAUUUAGUUGAUGAAGAUAUAAUCAAGUGGAACAAAAGUGAUGUUUUAGGACUAAUCAUCCUAAAAAAUAUUGUAGUUUCUUAAAAAAAAAAUGAAAAUGAAGAAGAUAAUUGAACCUUUGUCAUACUUUAAAAAGCAACUAUGCAUUGUUCAUUUUGUAUGUUUUGGUUUUCUUCAUUUAAUUUCCUGAUUUUUGUGAUUCAAUGUCAUAUUAUUGAUCUUGAAAUAUUUUUCUAAUUUUUCAUUCUACGAUGGUUUCAACAAGGAUGACAUCAAGUCAAAAAAGGAAAUGUGGUCCCACACACAAUAUUGCAUUACAGGGAUUAAGGUCAGGGAAGAAGGUAAAAGUUGCAUUUAAUGAGUACAAUCAAUUGGUUAAACAGAAAAAUGGAAAACACUUAUCGAGCUACAUAGGGACACUUGUAUCUAACCAACACAAUGUACCUCUCCAAGCUAGUGAUUGGAAAAAUGUUCCAAAUGAUGCAAAAGAGAAAGUAUGGCCUUUGUUUUGGUAUGUUGUAUUUCUCACUAUAUGAUGUCAUUUCACUGUUAUUCUAUUUUGUGACUAACGUUUGAAUCAUAUGUAAGAAAAAUUUGAAGUAGAUAAAGACUGAAAAGAUUACAUGUUGGGUAUAGCCUCAAAUAAAUAUAGAAGCUAUAAAAAUAUGAUGAAUGCAAAAUACUAUGACCCUUGGCAUAAGGAUGCAUGAGGAGAGGUUAAUACAUAAAUCACCAUUUGUCUCUGAUGUUGAUUGGAAGUGGCUUGUCUCUGAUGCAUAAACCAAAUCCCCCACUGAAUGUUUGAUAUUUGAUAGCAGGAAAAACACACCCGCAGCUAUACACCUCCAUCAUUCAGAUAAUUAUAGUGGGGGAGAUGAUUCAUGGUUGCCCUUAUACCCUUUAUUUGCACCAUCUAUUGAGAUUCUUUAUCAUGGCCAGGUUUUACUGCAGCAAUAAGAUAUGGUGGCAACAAUUUUAUCUAUAGGUGCGGUUCCAGACCGCCUCCAUAGGUGCGGUUCCUGACUGCCUCCAUAGGUGCCUCUUCUUGUAAUGUUUGUUCUGGGAAUUACACUUGAAAGCCUUAUCGUGAUAAGGGAUUACAAACACUAGUUCAGAGGACAGCCAUGUUAAACUUCCACUAUGUUUGUGUCACAUUAUCAGCAGCCUAGUGUUUAUUGGUCAUGCUAUCUGCAACUAAUAUAACCCGGUGAACUUCAAUCUAAAUUCUGAAAGUACUCAUGUGACAGAUGGUGCCUUUCAGCAGAUAUCAUCAAUUUAAAAGUAGUGUGUGUGCCUAUAGGUGGGAAGGCCUUGGCAAAUGUUCAGUAUUCCGGUAAUUCAAGAAGGAUAUAUCUAAAAUAGAUUUUCUUCUUGCCCAUUUCAAUAGUUAAAAUUUGAGAAGAUUGUGUCCACAUCACACAAAUAUUAUUGGUCCUUCUGUUGCAAUUUACCUCUGAACAUGUCUUCCAAUUCCCACGGUCCUGUUACUCCAGGAAAACUAUUUCGGUCAUAUUGAAAAAAAAAAUAUUAAAGAAGGUACACAUGCUUUUAAGUGGACUGGGGCAUUCAUAUCAGGUGGUCUGUAUCCACAUAUGCCACUUCGUGAAAGGUGGAACAGCCUAAUCACUAGGCUAUUUAGUGUGGCCCAGCCACGUUAAUCAAGCACAAGUCUUCAUACUUAAAGUCAAAUGGUGUCUUUAGUCUCAUUACACAUCGCUAUUUGAAGAUUAACUCAUCACUAGUGUAAUGCGAUUAAGACAGUCCUAACUCAAUAUUUGUUCUAGUUUUGGAUGCAAAUGCUUGCUGGUUUCAUCAUUGGAUGGGAUAAAGGUGCAAUCAGGACUAUGAAUACGUGCAGUAAUACUUCAUUCUCUUUUUUCUCAAUGAGACUUCUUGGCACAAUUUUGCUGCUCAGCAACCUACCUUUCCAUGGAAAAUCAGUUGUGACUGAUAGUAAUGGAUAUAUUCUAGAAAGCUAAACAUAGAUAGCAUUCAAUAUUAUCGAUAUAACAUUAACAGCGUAUGUCUCAAUGCUCAUCAGCUACAAGCAAUGGACAAACACUUUGAGUAACUCACAGCAGUCAAAAUUCCUAAACAGGACAGACGUGACAGAUCUAUAUAUAGAACACUGCAUAUGAGUCACAGGAAAAGAUAAUACGGGUACAUAGAAGCUCUUAUUUUACAUAUUACUCAUACUGAUCAAAGUCGCUCAGUUGGGAUGGAUGGGAGAAGGAGGUUUGAGGGGUGGCUUGUGCGGGGAAGUUGGCAGCUUCUUUCCGGGAGCUGGUUGCUUCUUUGCUGGAGUUGAAGGAGGCUUAAUCUUCCGAGGUGGCUUGUAUGAGUCUUCAGCAUUCUCAGCAGGAGGGUGACCAGGGUUGUGACCAUAAUGUGGUGGCUUCUCUCCCUUAGGUGGUUUGCCAACUGGGGUUGGUGGCUUGUUUUCUGGGAGUGGCUUCUCUCCCUUGGGUGGUUUGCCAACUGGGGUUGGUGGCUUGUGUUCUGGGAGUGGCUUCUCCCCCUUGGGAGGUUUUUCGAAUGGGGUGGGUUUGUGUCCUGGUGGUGGCUUCUCUCCCUUGGGAGGUUUACCAAUUGGGGUCGGUGGCUUGUGUUCUGGGAGGGGCUUCUCUCCCUGGGGAGGUUUAGUGGGUGGCUUGUGUUCUGGAGGUGGCUUCUCCACCGGAGGCUUAUGCUCUGGUGGUGGCUUCUCGAAGGGGGGAUGCUCAGGGUAAUCACCAAGUGAGGGGGUGGUGAGAACCACCAUGCCAAGCAACAACACUAGCAAGUAUGUAGUAGACAUCUUUGGGUUUGGACUCAGACAGUGCAAAACUACGAGAAAUCGCUAGCCCUUUAUAGCGGCUCGGACCUAAUACUGACAUAAUAUAAAAUAAAUAUUAUAUUUUAUCAAGAGAGAACAGAGUGUAAUUUUAUCAUUAAUACCGAUCGAGGCCAAAGAAAGAAGACCCAUAAUCCAUUUCCCACAAGCAUACACAAUGCAGCUGUAAUUUUAUCAUUUACUUUUAUCCCUUGGACCACUGCAUUUUUGUUGAGAGACACAAUAACACAUUUUUAUCUGUCAUUCAACAUUUACAGUAAAGAGAGGGCACAAAACGCAAUUAGAUAAAUUAUGUUUUGCCUGCUAAAAAGAGGCAAAUAACUUUAUUUGCAACAUAAUUAUUUUGGUUUCUAGUGACCCCGGGGCCUUUCGGUUGGUUUGGGAUCGGAAAAUGAACAUCAUAGGGGGGGUUGUGCCCUUAUGGGCAUAUAUAUCUGAUAGCUUCAACUGGCCUUGUUCCUAGAAAGAAAUUGCCAAAGAUAUAAACUUAUUCCAGGCUGAAAGUAGAUGAGAGUCAUAAUGAACAUCAACCUUUGUUCAGUUUGAUUCAAUGCCCCCAUAGUGUUCAUUUCACAGAUCUGAAUGAUUAUAUCCGUUGAAUACAUAAAUUAAUGAAGACAAAUAUGAAACCCAAGAUACAUCUCUGCAUAACAACCCCAACCCUGGUUGCUAUGUUUCCCUUCUUCUAUUCACAUGAGGAUACUGGUUAUAAUUGUCAAACUUGCAACAAGCCCUUUGACACCUAACGUCAAUGGACGAAUUAAAAGUCUCCUUCAAACGUCUAUUUCACAGCAUGAAGCUUAUAAAGGAUGCUGACAACCUUCAGAGUUAGCGACAAAAGAUAAUUAUCAAGGAGAGAUAGUUCCAUGAGAAUUCCAAGGAGUCUGAAUCAAAGACAAAUUGCUCACUCAAGGGUUCUUAUUUUCUUUUAGGUACAAAUCUCUUGAGUGUUGUUAAAGAAACACGUCACUGUCAUUUUGAUUUGCAUUUAACAUUUCACUUUUGUUCUGGAAGGUUUGUUCCGGAAACAUAUCAAAUGAGCAUCAUUUUCUUCUUCGGUGACACAUGGUCGCGAGUACGUGGGUCCAUUUUCAUGCCACUUAGUUGAAAAGUUGGAAAGAAAAAACAUGCCAACAAGAAGAUAGUGAGAGAAGGGGCACUUCAAGCCUUUAACAUGAACAAACAGUAAAUAAAAGAUGUUUCUCCACUCAUAAAAGUGUGUUAGAUAGCAAUAUAACGAAUCACAUCCAAAAUCUUUACUAGGCUCAAACAUAAAGAAGACUCAUUUUUAAGAAAAGAUAAAAAUGGCAUUGUCUGAUAGUAUCCAAUACACGAGAUGGCACUUAAUUUGUACAAGAUCUGUCAAUGCUGACGCACAUUUUCUGAUUAAAAAAAAACUGAUCAGUCAAAAGCAAUGAAGAGAAGUGAUGACAAUGAAUGAUGCUUCCAAUAUUUUCACCCCUUAUAGUGUUCUUCAUGAUUCAGAUAUAUAAUUGGAAAUAGAACAACCCUAUGCCAUACAUUCGUCUAAGUAUGGUGUCUAAUUUUUUGUGUCAGCGGUUGCGAAUGGAGCGUGCAAAAGUCCAAAUUGGCGUCUCUCCAUUUCCACAUAGGAAGGUGACCUUUAUUGACAAAUACCCAAUAUUUGUAGACAUUCCUUAAAUAUCAUAACUUCUUGUUGAUUUGAAAAUCAUUUUUCAACUACCAUGUUUUAAUAAAUAUUUUUUAAAAUGUAUUUUUAUCAAAGUCCACCAUGAUGGAUAAUAUUCACCAUGCAAUAAUUAAUAAAGUACAAACUAAGCGAAAUGAAAAGCAUUUUCUUUGCUUUGAGUUGAUUUUGGUUGCAUUGAGUUGAUUUUGGUUUCAUGGUUUUUUCAACUCUUAUUUUGAUUGGAAGAUGUCAAGAAAAGAAAACAUAAAGAAAAAUUAAAAGGGAAAAAAGAAGAAAAAUAAAAAAAAAUAGAUUUAAAAGUUAAUAAAUUAUUUUUUAUAUUUAUUUUAAUUCAUUUCACUUAUUUUUCUUUUACUAUAUAAAAUUUAAAUAAUUUAAAUUUUAUAAUUAAUUUAAUUACAUUUCAUUUUCUUCUAUAUUUAAAUAUUGGAAAAAUAUUUUACUUAAUAUUUUUUUCUUUAAUUUCUUUGGCAUUUUGGGAACCAAACUUAGCCUUUAAAAUAAAAAACAAAAAAAAAAUGAAAAUAAGGAGGGAAAAGUGAGAAAAGAUAAAAACAAUAUGUAAAGGAUUUGAAAAGUAUUAGUUUGUAAUUACUAUUUGGAUUUCAAUAGUAUUUUAUUUGUCUUUCUAUAUUUCAUGUAAGAGAGAAUUUAAGAUAUUCCCCAAGGCAAAGCAUUAGUUACCUGCAAUCAGUGGUGAUAAGGCUCCAAGCCAAUUUUGGGCCCCAUAUCUUAAGACAGUACAAUUUCCAUUUCAACAUUUCUGAUUUCUCAGAUGUUUCACAUACCACAGAAGAACAUUGUUUGUGAAAAUAUGCAUUUAUGUUGGAUUUUGUAUGCUGUGGGGACUGGGGCAAGGAUCAUAUGGAAGAGUGGUUGACUUUUUCUGUACUUUAACGGUUGAAAUAGGAUAAGCACGGGCAUUUGUGAGGCUUAAUUGAUUUUGAAGCCUGAAAUUGCGUUUCUGUCAUUUUGUCAAAAAAAUGGCAGAUUCCAUACUCAUAUGUUUGGCCUGUGGCCAUGUACAGAUGCCAUUUAGUGACCAGUUUGUAACUGUCAAUCGUUGCGUUUUGACUCUGCCUCAACAACAUCUGCCAUUGACGGGUUUUCAUACUUGCAAAUCAAAUAGUCUUUCGUCCCAUCAGGAAUUUCGGUUUAAAUAUUAUUAAGCAUACGUUUGGCUGACAAUCAUUAUCCAGUUCAUGAUUUGGUUUCUUACCCUUAAUCAAUGGUUUCUAAGUGAAUAUAUGUAGAAGGAAAUCCGAAGUGUAGACAGUAGUAUCGAUAACUCUCAAUAUUCUCUAUAUAAUAGAAUAAACAGCGUCAUAGUGAUCGUCGCCUACAAGCAAGGUACAAAUACCAAAACGAGUGACUCACAUAGACAUCUCCCAACAAGAUGUAGUAGUGACUGACACAUGGACACAAUUAACUCGUAGAAAAGGAUAAGACCAUUGCACAGCAGCUCUUAUUUUACAUACUACUUAUGCUAACCAAAGUCAAUUAGUUGGGAUGGGUGGGAGAUGGAGGUUUGUGCGGUGGCUUGUGGGGCGGAGUUGAUGGCUUCUUUCCAGGAGCUUCUGGCUUUUUCAUCGGAGCUGAAGGAGGCUCAAUCUUAUGAGGCGGCUUGUAUGAGUCUUCUUUACUCUCGACAGGAGGGUGGCCAGGGUUGUGAUCAUAAUGUGGUGGCUUCUCUCCCUUAGGUGGCUUGCCAACUGGGGUUGGUGGCUUGUGUUCAGGAAGUGGUUUCUCUCCCAUGGGAGGUUUAGCAAUUGGGGUUGGUGGCUUGUGUUCUGGGAGUGGCUUCUCUCCCUUGGGAGGUUUAGUAGGUGACUUGUGUUCUGGAGGUGGCUUCUCCACCGGAGGCUUGUGCUCCGGUGGUGGCUUCUUGGUUGGAGGGGGCUUGGGGUAAUCAGCAAGAGAUGGGGUGGUGAGAACCACCAGUCCAAGGAACAACACUAGCAAGUAUGUGGGAGACAUUUUUGAGUUUGGGCUGAUCAGAUGAUGCAAAACUAAAGCAUUACGUGACCUUUUAUAGCAUGUAGCUCCCAAUACCCACUAAGUAUUGUGGGGUCCAUUUGUGCCCUACGGGGUUGAAAACUUAGACAAUUGGGCAAGGACCCACCUGACUAUGGAGGACUAGUGAGGUGUGAUCAUAGCUUUAGGAUUUUUCUUCCUCUGCAGCCGUCGUGCCGUUGGCAUGAUUUUCUUAAUCUUAAAUAAAGGCAUAGUUAUAGAGUUGUUUAAUCUCUAAAUGGGAUUUUAUAUAUAUCUUCAGAUAGCCAUUAAUAUAUUUGAUGAAGAAAGAAAGACAAGUGCAUACAACAUGUAUACGACUAGCUUUCAUGGAGUUCAUUUAUGAUCAGUUUUCCUGUACAUGUAAACCAGGAUCAUAUAUAUGUUUCUGUUCCACAACUAUUUUGGAAUCUUGUUUAUCAGUUUUUAUCAUUAUAAUGUCACAUAGGCUGCCAACUUGGGCGCUAAAAGAACCAGUUGGGCUAGUUCGUUUCAGAAUUUCAAUGUGGAUUCAGGAAUUGUUUUGUAAGAUAUGCGAAAUAGUAGAGGGAUGAAUAGUGUUUCAUUAAUAAAAGUGUCCUGUAAAUUAGAAGGUGUCAUAGAAACUAUAAUCAAUAAAUAACUUUUUUUCCCCACGGGUGGUGUUUCUUGUGGGGAUCAGUGACUGGUUUAGGUUCACCCAAAAUGAGUUCAGACUAAAAUUGGUUUGAGUCAAUGCCGUGUCUCUUUUUUCCAGAAAUCAACUAUUUUAUGCAUUGAAUAAAUCAUACAAAGAAAAUAUGAACGCCCGCAAAACCUAAACCCUGGUUGCUAACUUUCUAUGUUUCAGUUCUAUUCACGCAAGAAUAUUAGUUUAAGUUUGGGAAAAAUGGCAACUUACCUAGUGAUUACUUGGUUUUGGUUUGCGACUAUUUACGCAACCAACCAUGAGUUUGACUUUAACGUCAUGGGUUGAAGCCUCCUACAGGAAGGGAGAAAGCUCCACAGCUAGCUCCAAAAGAGAAUUAUCACAUUGAUAGCUCCAGAGAUUCCCAAGGGGACUGAAUCAAAGACAAGUUCCUCACUUUUUCUUCUUUUGAGGCCAAAUAUGAACCAAGGAUCACACAACCUCAUUCAACUUCAUAAGUUUGAUUUCAUGCAGUUGAACACUGGGUGAAGGCCAUGACAAGAAUUGAUUCAAAAAUUCUAUCACUCUUUUAAGUAAUGGAAGAUUAUUAUCUCUGAUUGGCAUCACAACAGCACAUGCUCCUAGAUCUUUCUAGACACUCCAUGCAAUGAAAGCACAAUGGAUCUUGUAACGAUAGAAACUAAGCCAUGCUACAGUACUAGAUGAUGAGGUAAAACUAGUAGACACGGGUGGCAGCCUAUAUGGGAGGGACACAAGUCUAAUUGAUUUGCAUUUCAGCAUUAUAGAUAGGUAUGUUUUGGAAGAUUUGUUCUGGAAAUACCGCACCAAGUAGGAUUCUUUUUCUCUUUAGUGGGUCCACUUGCAUGCCAAUUAACGAGUUGAAAAGUAUGAGCACCUACCUCGUGCUCGUGGAACCGAAGGUCAGUGAAGUGGGGCUCCUUUUGGCCUCGUGUAAACUUGAUUCAGAAGUGAAGUUAAUAGUCUUCCAUUCAGAUGGAUACAUGGGAAUUUUUCUCUUUUAUUUAUUUAUUUAUUUUUUUUUUGUGUGUGUAUGUCAAAGGAUAAUGAAUGAAGCGCGUUAGCUUGUUUUCUGACUGGAACCGCAGAUGUCCAAAUUGGAGUUCCUUCAUUUCUUACUUAGGAUUGUUACAUGUAUAAACAAGGUAUAAGAAAUAUGCCAACGUGUCUUGAGGAGUUAUUGAUUAGAAAUAACAAGUCACCCGACUGUAGAGUUCCAAGAUUUGAAUCUUCAGACCCUAUAGCAGCCUCUGGGGUACGUGGCAUCCUAUAGCAUAUUAAUGAAGGCUUUUUCGAUUUAGACUUCACAAUACCAAUUAAUAUGUAUGCACAAAAUGGAGAUGACCCCAAAAAAAACAGAAUCGCCAUAGUUUAUGAGGUUAAGGUGAUUCUCCACUUAAUAUCUACAUUAGCUAAUUAUGUAAAUCAAAUGAACUUCUAUUUUUCCUUUUUUUUUUUGGUUUAUGUCAAAUAGUAGCCCAUAAUUAACCCAACCAUUAGCCUGUUUGAAUUGAUUUCACAUGCACAAUGUUGUAGUAGUUCAUAUUUUGAAUUUUAUUUUUACAAAGGUAGUUAAGGAAAAUGAAGUAUAAUAAUUAUAAAAGCAGACUAUAUACACUACAAUAAUUGUUAGAAUGGUAUCUCAAAUUCUAAUUUAAAAUAUUAUUUUUUGUAAAAGAAAUAUUAUAUAGAAUAUUUCCUAAUUUUAUAAAUGAUUAUAAUUAGAUCUUUAUAAAAUAAGGAAAGUUGGUAAGAAUAUCUUUAUAAAUAUUUUAGGUCAUGAGAGAAAGAAAUGGGAUAAAAAUGUGAUGAAGAGGUGAAAUAAGAGAGUUGAUUAGGAUAUAGAUGUGAAGAAGAAAGGGAUUCAAUAUAUAUAUAUCUUUCAAUUACCACAUUAAAACCCUGUGAACCUUUUAUAUGGUUUACUUUAUUUUUAUAUUCCUCCUUUAAUAUAUUUACAUUAAUGCUUCCAUUGGCACAACAAUAACGAAUUACAAAUACAAGCAACAAGUCCCAUGUUUUAUUACCAAAAGCAGGUAAAAUCCACCUAAUAUAUUACAAUAUAUUCAUCCAAUAUUUUAGACCAAUUCUUCACCAUAAAUAUCAUAAUGUGGCUUUUGUUCUUUCUUAAAUUUAAAUUGAAUUGUCUUAUAUCAAUUUGUUUGUGAUUUUUUCAUUAACUUCACUUUCAUUUGGUUAUCUUUGGUUUUUGAAAAGUAUUAAGGAAUUAAUUAACAAAAUAAUGUUAAGAAAAAUAAUUUUCUCUCUUUUGAUUUUGAUUUUGUAGUAGAAAAAUAUAAUUAAAAUUAUUUAAAAAGUAUGUAAUUUUAAAUUAUUUAAUAUUUAGAUAAAAAAAAUAAGUCUAAUGAGUUUAAAAUAACAUAUAAAAAUAAUUUAUUUAUUUUAAAUUUAUUUUUUAUUUUCCAUUAUGUUCUCUUUCUCUUUUACUUUUUCAUAUUUUUUCUUACGAAGAAUCAAACACAACCUCAUAUUAUAUGUCAAGUGUUUGUCUAUAUUUGAGCAAUGUUAGAUACGGCCAUGGAUUCAUCAAACUAAACUGAUUUUAAUAGAUACUUCACAAAUUGAUUUAUACACUAAAUCAUUGGAUAGCAAUGAUGCAUUGGAAUUAAACGUAGGAUGAAGCUCGAAGAACACUGUUUGUGUAACAACAUAUUUAUGAAAUUAUGCAAAGGAUGAGCUUCGGGGUAGUAGUACAAGGUCAUUAAUGGAGAGCCGUGUUAAACCUUGAUUGUGAUUGGAUUCCGUUAUCAGCAACAGCAACCUUGUUUGUAACCUUGAAAGUCAUUCUGUCCACAUCGAAACUCCAAUUUGACGUUUGUAAUUACCAUUCCUGGAGUGUUCCUUGAUUGAAAUUUAAAUAAUAAUUGCGGCCCACAAGGAAUAUUUUCGAUUCUGUGGGAAUUUGACAAGGUUUGUUAGAGAAGACUGGUGACAUGUUGACUUCAAUGGUUCAAAUAGGAGACGUAUGUGGAUUUGGGGGGUUUAAUUGAAACUGAGUCCCUAUGGCUUUUUAAUAUUUGCAUUGAGCAGUCUCCAUGUGACUUCCUAAUUCCCACCAACCCUCCUGUCCAUGCUGUGAAACUAAAUUGUAAUUUAUCAGCCUUUGUCAAUGGUUUCUAAAUUAAAGAUAUAGACCAUGCAUGUACUUUAAUAAAAGCAAAUCUAAAGUGUAGAUAGCAGCAAUGGUGACACCCAAUAUUCUCCAUAAAAUAGAAUUAGAAUAAGCAGUGUUACAUUGUUCAUGAUCACCUACAAGCAUACAAGAACUUCCAUGAAUAACUCAUAGCAAUUGCCAACAGGGCGUCGUAGAGACUCAUACAUAGAACACUAUCCACCCAGAGGAAAGGACAAGACCAGUGCGCUGCAGCUCUUAUUUUUCACAUGUAUACCACCACUCGUAAUAACCAAAUUCACUCAGUUGGGAUAGGUGGGAGAUGGUGGUUUGUGGGGUGGCUUGUGGGGAGGAGUUGGAGGAGGCUUUAUUUUCUGAGGCGGCUUGUAUGAGUGUGCAGGAGGAUGCCCGGGAGUGUGACCAUAAUGUGGUGGCUUCUCUCCCGUAGGUGGUUUGCCAAAUGGGCUUGGUGGCUUCUCUCCCUUAGGAGGUUUACCAAUUGGGGUUGGUGGCUUGUGUUCUGGGAGUGGUUUCUCUCCCUUGGUAGGUUUGCCAAUUGGGGUUGGCGGCUUAUGUUCUGGGAGUGGCUUCUCUCCCUUGGGAGGUUUGCUAAUUGGGGUUGGCGGCUUAUGUUCUGGGGGCGGCUUCUCUCCCUUGGGAGGUUUGCCAAUUGGAGUUGGCGGCUUAUGUUCUGGGAGUGGCUUUUCUCCCUUGGGAGGCUUGCCAAUUGGGGUUGGCGGCUUAUGUUCUGGGGGUGGCUUCUCUCCUUUAGGAGGUUUGCCAAUUGGAGUCGGCGGCUUAUGUUCUGGAAGUGGCUUUUUUCCCUUGGGAGGUUUGCCAAUUGGGGUUGGCGGCUUAUGUUCUGGGGGUGGCUUCUCUCCCUUGGGAGGUUUGCCAAUUGGAGUCGGCGGCUUAUGUUCUGGGAGUGGCUUCUCUCCCUUGGGAGGUUUUGUUGGUGGCUUGUGUUCUGGAGAUGGCUUCUCCCCUGGAGGCUUGUGCUCCGGAGGUGGCUUCUGAAAUGGCGGGGGCUUGGGGUAAUGAGCAAGAGAUGGA